CAUCUGUGUCUUCCCCAUCACCCUCACUUUUACCAAUCACCGAUGUUGCUUCUGAUUCUUCAUCCCCUGGACAUUUUUUGGUAAGGGGAGGUCCACAUAGUCCUCUGUUUCCAUGGUAUCUUGAAGGUGGAAAGGACUGGAGCUGAGUGCUAGAUGGGAUUCUCCCUGAAAAGUGAUUAUAUGACAAGUCUAGGUAAUUCAGUAAGCUCAUCUGAGACAUGCCUGAUGGUAUCUUCCCUGAUAAAUUGUUUCUGGAUAAAUCCAAAGUCAAAAGCUUUUUCAUCUCACCAAUAUGCUGUGGAAUCUCUCCAGAUAGAGUAUUCAUUGAAAAAUUCAGGGCAAUCAAGUCUGAAAGAUUGGUAAUUUCAUUUGGGAUUUGUCCUGUUAGAUUGUUGCUGGACAGGUCAAUGCUCUUCAACAAUUUCAGAGUUCUACUAAAUUCACGUUCAUCUCCUUGCCACUCAAUCAUUGCAUGGUCAACAUAUGUCCCCCAUUCAUAUAAACUAUUGUUUACAAAUGUUGGAAACUGUACAUCUUGUGAGAAUCCUCCUUGGUGAACCAUGCUCGUAAGAUUACUCAAACAUGAGGGGAUGCUUCCAUGGAGAUUGUUCAUUGACAAGUCCAAAACUUGAAGAUUAGGUAACUGACAUAACUGUAAAGGGAUGGAUCCAAAGAAGUUAUUUGAUCUUAGGAUAAGAACAUACAGCCACAAUAAGUUUUCCCCAAUCCAGACAGGCACAUUACUAGAAAACUUGUUGGCCCCCAAAUUCAAUGAGAUUAAACCCAUGCAAUUUUUUAAGGACAAAGGCAAUUCUCCAGAGAAGUUGUUCUUGAAUAAAUACAAGACCUUGAGUUGUAUCAAAGAUCCAAUAGAGGGAGGAAGACUUCCAAAGAGAUUGUUGUGUCCGAGAUUAAGAACUUGUAGUUGAUUGAAAUGCCACAGACAGUCCGGGAGUUGUCCGGUUAAUGAGUUAUGAGAGAGGUCAAGAAAUGAUAAUAACCCACCAACAGCUUGGCAUAUGAAGGAGAUUCCUCCGGAGAAUUUGUUUCUGGAAAGAUUUAAUAUUGACAAAGUGGAAGGAACAUUCAGUAUCGGACCAUGAAAGCUGUUGGAACUCAAAUCUAUCGCUGAAUAUUGGUCAAAUUUUGAUGAUAAAUCUGGUACUUUCCCGCUAAUGUUGUUGGAAGAGAGAUUCAGAUAUUCUAAUUGAGAAGGCCAGCUGUCCCAAAACUCUAGAGGAAUUGUGUCCGAAAUUCCAGUAUUGGAAAGAUCAAGAAAGGUAAGAUUUUUAAGUGUCUGAAUAAUCCAUUUGGGGAAGCGAGGCCCUAGCAGCUUGCAAGAGCUCAGAUCAAGAUAUUUAACAUAAGAGAUGUUUGACAAGUGAUAUGUGGAAGGAACUGUAAGAUUAUUAAAAGAAAGGUCAAGGGUUCGGAGGCUGGGUAGUUCCCACAGUUUCUCACUUAUACUUCCAUUUAAGUGAUUAUGAGAUAGGUCCAAGUAUCGUAGGGAUGAAAACUUUUGGAUCUCAAUGGAAAAUGACCCUGUAAAUUGGCUUCCUUGAGCAGACAACUCUUGUAAUGAAAGGGAUGUGCAUCCAGACAAGUUGUGGAGAAAAUCAGGAAAUUUGACAGCAGCAGAGUUGUUAGAGAUGGAUAAAGUUUCCAGACUACAGAGGUUACCAAGGUAUUUGGGUAUCCCAUCUAACAUGUUGCCAGAGAGCAAAAGAACACGAAGCUUAUUGCUGGUUAAUGGGAACAACCAACGAUACAUGGAUGAGGUUAGAUUGUUGUCUUGUAGAGAAAGGGUAUGAAUGGAUAAAGAAGAAGAAGAAGAGUUGAGAAAUGAAGAAGAAUAUGGAUACAUGACCUGUGACAGCUCACAUCCCUCUAAAGAUAAAUAUGAGAGUUUCCGGAGACUCAGAAUGACAUCUACCCAGUGAUUUUGUUUGGCUAGGGAAAUCCCACCCAUUCUCAGGGACUGCAAAUGAGAGAGAUGAGACAACCACUCUACCUUUUCAACUCUACACCUUCCAACAGAAUUAAGAUGAAGGUGCUGCAAGUUGGUGAGGUUUCCAAACUCUGGAGGGAUGGGUCCAUAAAAAGAGUUAACGGAAAGGUCAAGGUAACUUAACUCUGUCAAGGAACCAAUUGACCUGGGAAUGGUCCCAUUAAAAUGAUUCACGCUAAGGUUAAGGUACCUUAAUCGAGUCAAAGAACCAAUGAAGGUGGGAAUGAUUCCAUUGAAAGCAUUCAAGCCAAGGUUAAGGUACCUUAAUCGAGUCAAAGAACCAAUGAAGGUGGGAAUGGUUCCAUAAAAAGCGUUACCGUAAAGGCCAAGAUGAUUCAAGUAGGUUAAGUUAAGCAGUGAAUGGCUUAUCUCACCUUGAAGCCAAUAUUCAUUGAGAUCAAGCCCUGUGACAUGACCUGUUUGGUUGCUGCACACGACUCCUCUCCAUUUACAGCAAUCAUCAUCUUCUGCUGUCCAUGUAGAGAGAUAAUCAUAAGGGUCUUGAAAGGGAGCUUUGAAAAGAAGGAGAGCAUCUCUCUCCUUAUCCAAACACUUCUUUUUCAUAUCAUUUCCUCCUGCAGCUACCAAUUGGCUGCCAGUUGUAGUCACAAGGAGUAGCAAGAGAAGUGAGGAAAUUAUAAAAACACAAGAAUUCAUAAUGUAAAUCAAAAUCUUAUGUGCUGAUUUUUGGUUUGUAUUGAUGCCUGCCUAUAUGAACUGCCCCCAUAAGGGUUUAUAUAGUCUCCACUGUCAAGAUGAAUGACUAUAAGUGGGUGGCCAUUAAUUGUGUGGAAUUUCUUUCCCCAUAUUAAACUUCAAAGACUUGCAAGUCUUGGCAAUUUGUCUUUAUUAUAGUAGAUAUCUUUCCCCAUCUUCUGAUAUGAUAUUGUUUGGUAUAUGAUAUAAAUCCCCAAAUGCAAAACUAAUGGAAUCUUUCAGUCAAAUACAAAUCUACCAAUGAUAUCAAUAAUGAUAUUAUUUGGUCUUUUCCAUUGUUAAAAAUGAUAUUUAAGAUAACACUGCAUUAAUAAUGAUUCGAUUUAAAACAGAUUAGGAUGAUAAUUAAUACAAUUUUUCAACGUUCUUUUGUCCAAAUAAAAUGACUAUAAUUAAUAUCAGCUAUACUCGAUCGGGGACCAAAUAUAGUCAGUUUAACUGAAACAUGGACCAAAGCAUUUCAAGAACCUCAAAUAAGGACCAAAACUAAAAAUUUCAGCUAUACUCAGGGACCAAAAACGUUUUAUUUUACUCAAAAAUAAACAUAACAUACAUAAACAGAAGUUUUCAUUUGCAACAAAUCCUACCUUCUGUUUACCUAAAUUAAGCUCCUGUGAAUCAAAAAUCACAUAUUAAAGGCUCCAAUUCUGCAACUGUCUUUUCUGACCAGCAAUUUGUAGCUUCUGAAGCUCCACUCCAUUCACCUCUAUCAUUUUGCACUACUCAUUUAAAAUUUUUUAAGAAAAUCAUGUUAUUAAUAUUAAUCUCAAAGACAACGUAUUGAUGUAUUAAGUAUUAUAGUAUCCUACUUUCAUAGUUUGCUACCUCUUGAUGUAAUACAAGGGGUAUGUUGGCCAUUUAAAGACAUCCAGGAGAAUACUUUUUCCAAAAAAAAAAAAAAAAAGAAGCCGUUAAACUGGAUACAAAUUACUAAAAAUAAUUAUCGAAAUGAUCAACUUAGAUUCUGCUUCAUAGAGGUAUGUAGAUAACUAGUUCUUAACUGAUAUGAGUAUUAUUAUAUGAAAAUAUAUUUUUGCUCGUGUAUUGAAUGUAAAAAACCGUGAAAGUAUAAUGAUGUUUUAGUUACAAAACCUUAAUUGAGAUGCUCAUUACAAUAUGAUAGAUAAUUUUCUUUGUACAUGAAUUAAUUUUUUUUUUAAAAAAAAUACAUGAAAGUAUAUCCAAUAAAACUUUCAUUUUACUCUCUAUGAUAACUGUUAGAAGAACACAUUAAGUAAUUAGUAAUUAGCCUAUCCAUCAAUUAAACUACAUAGCUUCUCCAGUUCAUACUUUCAAUUUUUUUUUUUAUAAAAAAUACAAAUUGCAAAAUAUCACAAGAUGAGAAAAGAUAUCUACAAUAAAGACAAAUUCCCAAGACUUAUAAGUCUUUGAACGUAUAAUUUGGGGCCAUUAAUUCCAAUUCUGCAUCUAUGAUUUUUCUUAUAGUCUUGUUCUAAUUUUAUGGAGAAUAAGUAUUGAUGGAAAUUGUGUAUGCCUCAUAUAAGUGGCCACCAAUUUGAGGCCACCCUCAUGGGCCCAGGAGCAUGUUUGGGCCUUCUAACACAGACCAAGAAUUACUUGUUGUGGAGCCCACUUUUAACAAUUCUCAUCACAUCACUUUUUUAAAAGUGAUGUAUCUUUGAAAAUAUCACAAGUUUGGAAAAGAUCUUGAUAAUAAAUUCAAAUUGCCAAGACUUGCAAGUCUUUGAACGUCUAAUUUGGGGCAGUGUAUUAUAACUCUUCAUCUUUAAUUUGUCUUCUAGUUUUAGGUUCUAAUUUCAUGGAAAUUAAGCAUUGUGUGUUCCACCCAUUUAGAAUCAUUCAUCUUCAUGGAGACUAUAUAAACCCUCAUGGGCCUGUUCAUAAAGACAUCAACACAAUACUAAAAUGUCUUAAUAGAGAAUAAAUGAAAGUACAAUACUGCAAUAACAAAAAGAUUAAUGAAUGUACGUUGCUAUUUCUUACAUUUAACCCUUUUGCAUUUGACCAAAUGUAUUAUCAUCAAAGUCACAAUACAAAUUAUCACAAAGUGUAGUAGAUUAUGGUGUUAAUGAGAAGCCGAAUACAUUUGCUCUCAUCCAAAACAAUCGAUCAACUUAACCCCUGGUGAUUUUAGCAUUUACCUCUUCUAAAAGCUAAGUUUGAAAGAUAUCAUCAACAACACUAAUUCAACUGCAAUCAAAUAAUAUUAUGUUGCACCUACUUGUGCAGCUAGAUCCGUUUGUUUAUUGCUGGGUUUGAUAUGGAGAAUGUUAGUGAAUGCUAGUGUACACAAACAUUAGCUUAGCAAUGUAGGCACAAUCAACCAACAGAACAGAUGCUCAUAAGGUAGCUGGAAGAAAAGAUCAGAUAAAGACCAGAACACGCUCCAUUUUUACAUUUAUAUUAUUGAUAACUGAGAAAUAAAACCCAUCGAUCAGUAAAAAUCAAUGGCCUUUUCCAUGGCAAAACCCUGAAUUUGCAGGUUAUGCAAAUAAUAUAAACUCACAAGUCUGUCUCCUAAUCUAACAAUAGAUUAGAUGCACCUGAAGAAUACCCAAAAUGAAGCAACAAUACAGAAGUAGGACAUCACCUAGGCAAUGAUGUGUGCGUGGUUGCUCUGCUACGAUGCUCGGAUUUGGAACCCUCGUUGACUGAUUUUGAUUGUAGAGGAAAAAUGGUGUAUUGGAUGGCACAUAGAUCUCACGAUCCUAUCUGGAUCUUGCGAGCAUAAUCACGAAUCUUGUUUCAAAAUCAGAAAUUAAUUUCUGAUGUAUCGAUCACGAGCGCGAUAAACAAAGCUUGUCCAGUCAUACAAGAGCAGCCUGUUUGUGACCUUAGAAUUGGGAAUUUGGUCUAAAAUGGUAAAAGAAAGGUUUUUUUUUUUUUCCAGGUUAAGUAUAAUAACUUUUAUCAUAUUCUCUAAGUCCCAUAUAGGGACAGGAUUUGGCCCGAAAACCCGAAUCGAACCGAAUUAGAUCCGAAUAAGCAAUUCGAUUCAGUUUUCGGGUAUCUAUAUAAGGCUUAUUCGGUUUUCAGGUUAUUUGGUCCGGGUUACCCGAAUAAGGGCUUAUUCGGUCCAAAUUAAAGGAUUGAACCGAAUAUGAAAAGUCACAUUUUUUUCCACUUACACGAUUGCUUAUUCGGUCUUGUGUUCUAUCGAUCGUUACCCAAAAUACCCACGUAAUAUUUAAUAUUUAACUUAUAUACUUAUAGAUAGAUUUUUGGGUGUUUUACAUGUUUAAUGUUUAGUGUUUAAUAUGUUGUUUAAGAAUGUGGUCGUUAGAUUUUACAUUUUAUAUAUCAAUAAUAGUUAAUCUGUGUUAUUUGUCUUUAUCAUAAGCUACAAAAGUCAUACAAAAUACAAUAUUUAUAAUCACAUUGUAAAUGUUAUUUGGAUUAUUUGGGUUAUUCAGCUCCUUAAUUAUCUUCUACAUGUUAUUUGGGUUAUUUAGGCCGGAACCGAACCGAAUUGAAUAAUACCCGAACCGAACCGAACCCGUAUUGCUUAUUUGGUUCGGUUUUCGGUUCAUAUAAUUACCCUUAUUCGGUUUUCGGUUUAUUCGGGUUCGGAUCGGUUCGGUUCCGACCUGAAUAACAUCCCUAGUCCUAUAUAAACAAAAUUAAUAAAUUUAUAAAGGCCUUAGGGUAUUAAAAGAGGAAAAAGAAUGUCCCGAACUUUUACCAUACUUAUGAAAAAAAUUAAAAAUUAUGUCUUCUUUUAAUAGAAAAAACAAGAAAUUAGGUAAUUUAUUCAUUUUUGGGAUAUUACAAAGUUCACUCUAAUUCAAUGGAUUGAUUUGUUGAACCAAAUGUUAGGUGAGUAUACUAGAUGCUUAGGUGGCCGGUAGGGUUAUAUUGAAACCCAAUACACCUUAUUUGAUAAUCUGGUUAACCCUAAGUCGUAUAAGGAGGAGGGAAAUGGAACCAUUUUCUUUUGUGGGAAGGGUUCUACUUUGAACACACCAAUCUAUAUUACCAUCCUGUACCAUUAGGUUUACUUUUUAGUUUAUUAUUACCUUAUUAUUAUUGACUUUACUUUUUAAAUUAUCAUUACUAUAUAAUUAUUAUUUCAUUACUUUUUAAUAUUAUUUCAAUAUAACCUAAUCAAUAAAUCAUUAUUAUUUAAUGAUUAUAAUUUUAGCUUUUGUUAUUUAUUUAUUUGUUUAUUUUGAUACUUCGUGAUCAUUUAGCCAACGAUUUAAGUUCAUAUGUACUGCUAUUUUACUGGACUCCAAAGCAAUUACAUGUCCAUUAUUUUACUACUAUAAUCUAAAAAAAUCUUUUACGUCGUAGUAUAUUGUCAUUAUGAAAUUAAAAUAACGUUAAUUUUUAGACUAAUUUGAAAAUGGCUAACUAAAAAAAAAAUUCUAAACUGACUAUCAUAUUUAUUGUUAUAAAAUAAUAGUUUGUGAAUGACCAUUGGAUUCUUUAUUUCUCUCAUAACUCCCCAUCAUUAUUUAGCAUUAGUAACAACCAUUUCAAUGUGUUUUAUGAAUGUAAUAAUACACCAUCAUAAUGUGCAUUCAUAUUAUAGCUCAUCUUUCAUCUUAUUUGGAUAGUAUAAAUAGUGAGCUAUAUGUAUUAGGCAUCUGAUGAUUUUCAUCACAAAUAUUGGAAUAAAAGUUCUCUCUACUCUCAUGUCUUUCUUUACUCUAUAAAUUAUCUUAUUAUUUGAUCAUAUUUUAUAACACGUUAUCAGCACGACUCUACCAUAGAGCUCUAACUCCUUAUUGUUCUUGUUAUUUUCAGGUAUAUAUUUUUAAUAGUUUUACAUAUAUAAUGCUUACAACUUAUUUUAAGGAAUUUCUUAACUAACAAUUCUUUAACAUACAAGUCUUUAUUUUGACUUUUAUUUUCAUUAUGGAAAAUCAUGCUAGAGAAAACUUUCUCUAGUUUUCAUAUUACUAACAUGCUCCUGCAGUAGCAAUAUCAAGAGAAAAGUUUAAAAUAAAUAUGAAUUAAUCUCAUGUCUUCUUGUGGCUAAACAAAACAAUGAGUUGUUGAUGAAAAAUCACCAAUCAAUCCCGAUCGGUUCUAGUGCAUUUCCUGAAGUGAAUGCCACAUCAUAUAAUCAUAAUAGUCAUGGGUCUAACCGUGGCCGUGGAGGUUAUUAUAAUUAUCAUAAAAAUAACAAGAUUACAAGUAACCACCAGAAGUUGGAAAAUAGCAAAAAUCCACAUCCUAAUGAUAAAGUGGUCAAGGCAAAAAAAAAAGUUUAAAAUGUUUGUCAUUGAUGUUGAAUGACCGAUCAUUGGUCUUGUACAUAUCGCUUGCCAAAGCAUUUUGUUGAUAUUUAUCAAGCUUAUCUAAAAUCUAAAGAAAAAUAAAAUAUCAAAACAAAUUUUAUUCAAAGUGAUAUUCAUGAAGAUCAAACAGAAAUGACAUAUUUGGAUGUUGCCGAUUUUCUUGUCUACCCAGAAGAGACAAGUGGUGAUAUGGAUGGUGAUUGGAGAAUAAUGUGUAGUUUUGUUUCAUGUCAUAUAUUAUGCUUUUAUGUCAUAUUCAUAUUGUGAGAAAUGAUACCAUCACAAUCUUAUUAAUGAAAUAAAAUAUGAAUUUAUUUCUCUAAGAUGAAUGUUUCUUAUGUUUUAUUUAUUUAUUGAAAAGAAAUAUGGAUAUUCGCAAAAGAAAUAAUGAAGAUAUAUUUCUUGCAGACAAUGCAAUAACACAUAGCAUUUUUAAUAAUGAAAAAUAUUUUUCUUACAUAUCAAUUAGAGAGCAAAUGUUAAUAUAAUAACAUGUAAUGGAAAAAUGAUUGAAAGCUCCGGAAGAGCGAAUAUAAUAUUACAAGGGACACUAUUACAAAUUANNNNNNNNNNNNNNUAUUUUCGUCUAAAUCACCAAGAUUGAAGGCUCCGGAAGAGCGAAUAUAGUAUUACCACAAGUGACAAUAAUUACAACUGGUGAUAUAUUAUUUCAUUAAAAUCAUCAAGAAAUUUAUUAAGUUUUAAGGAUAUUCAGUCUAACGGAUAUCAUAUUGAAACAAAUAAUGAUGGUAAUCAAGAUUAUCUCAACAUUACAAAAAUGAUAUCGGGUAAGAAAAGUUUUUGGAAAAAUUACCUGUAUUUUCCUCUCGAUUGUACUAUAAAAAUAUUACAAUUAUUCAUACUAUUGAAAAUAAAAAAGGUAUGAUAAUACCUUCAAAGUUUGGCAUGACCGGUUGGGUCAUCUCAGAUCAAUUAUGGUAUGUAGAAUAAAUAAAACUUCGAGUGGUCAUUCCUUGAAAAACCAGAAGAUUUUUCAAGAUAAUGAAUUGUCUUGUGUUGUGUGCUCUCAAGGAAAAUUAAUUUCCCCAUCCAUCAUUAAACAAAGUUGGGUAUGAAAGUCGUAGUUUUAUAAAAAAAUCAAAGGGAUAUAUGUGGACCAAAUCAACUACCAUGUGGACCAUUUAGAUAUUUUAUGGUUUUAAUUGAUGAGUCAACUAGAUGGUCACAUGUGUGCUUGUUGUCUAGUUGUAAUUUGGUUUUUGAAAGAUUACUUGCAUAAAUAAUCAGCCAAAAGGCACAUUUUCCAGAUUACCCAAUUAUGAAAAUUAGACUUGAUAAUGUUGGAGAAUUUACAUCAGAAGCUAUUAACGAUUAUUGCAUGUCGAUUGGAUUGAACACCCUGUUACACAUGUUCAUAUGCAAAAUGGUCUAACUGAUUCAUUAAUCAAACGUCUUCAAUUAAUUGCAAGACCAUUACAAAUGCGUUAUAAACUUCCUAUAUCGAUAUGGGGGCAUACAAUUUUACAUGCAACAUCAUUUAAAUUCAUAAUGCCAACUAGUUAUCAUUAGUUCUCCCCUAUUCAACUGGUUUGCAGUUAGGAACCAAAUAUUGCACAUCUAAGGAUGUUUGGAUGUAUAAUUUAUGUACCCAUUUCUCCACCUCACCGAACAAGAAUGGGUCCUCAAAGAAGAAUGAGAAUUUAUGUUGGAUAUGAAUCUCCAUCUUUAUUAAAUUAUUUAGAACCAUUAACUGGAUAAUUAUUUAUAGCUAUAUUUGACGAUUAUUAUUUUGAUGAACAUAUUUUCCAACAUUAGGGGAAGAAAUAAAGAAGUUGGAAAAUAAAAUCUCAUGUACUAGCUAUAAUGAUCCAGUUAGAAUUGAUAUCCCAGAAGAAAAAAUACAACUACAAAUGAAUCUAAGUCAUGCCUGAGGCGUGAAAGAACAACUUGUUCUAAAGAUAAAAAUCCUUGAAAAUAAAUGGGAAAAAAUAUAAUGAAUGGUCAAAAAGAGAAAACAAUAUCUUUUGAAAAAAUUAAUGAAGCUCUAGAAGAGCCAAUGACAUAACAAAAGAAUAUAAGGUACCUGAAAAAAAUGAAAAUGAUGAGAUCUCAAUAAAUUAUGUCAUGACAGAAAUAAGAUGGAACCAACAUAAGACAGAAGUCGGCGAUAAUUUUUCAUAUCAUGUUCCGCAUGUGAUUAUAAAGAAAAUGAGGAUCUUGAACCAAAAUCUAUUGAGAAAUGUAUGAAUAGAAAAUAUUGACCAAAAUGGAAAGAUGAAAUAAAUAAAGAGUUCAAUUCUCUUACUCAACGAAAAGUUAUUGGACCUGUAGUCCAUACACCAAACAGAGUAUGAACAGUGCGACACGAAUGGGUAUUUGUGCGCAAAAGAAACGAGAAAAAUGAAGUUGUGAGAUAUAAAACAAUACUUGUUACACAAGGUUUUACCCAAAGGCCUGAAAUUGAUUAUGAAGAAACUCUCGGGUAGUUGAUGCAAUUACAUUCAGUUAUUUUAUAAGUUUAACAAUAUAUGCAAAACUGGAGAUGUGUCUAAUGGAUGUAUUUACCGCCUAUUAUAUGGUUNUUGAAAAUUAUAUUUAUAUGAAAAUCCCAGAAGGGUUUAAGGUGCCAGAAGCACAAACUUCUAAUUCUCGUGAAGUAUAUUUGGUAAAGUUAAAUAAAUCUUUGUAUAGAUUGAAACAAUCUGGCCGUAUGUGCUUCAAUUGUUUUAGUACAUUUCUAUUGAAAUAGUGCUAUAAAAAUGAUCCAUUAAGCCCAUGUGUAUUCAUAAAACGAUGCAGAUAAGAGUUUAUUAUAAUUGAUGUUAUUGUAGAUGAUUUGUACAUAAUUGAAACUCCUAGAGAAUUGGAAAAGGUCACUUCUUGUUUGAAAGAAAUUUUUUUGAAAUGAAUGAUCUUGGGAAGAUGAAAUUCUAUUUGGGUCUUCAAAUUAAGCACACAAAAUGGAGUUUUUGUACAUUAAUAUCUAGAAACGGUGCUAAAAAGGUUUUAUAUGAAUAACUCACAUCCAUGAGUAACCUGAAGGUGGUAAGGCAAUUAGAUGCCAAAUAAGGACCAACUUCAGCAUCAUAAAUAACAUGAAAAUCUUCUUGUUCCAGAAGAACUAUAUCCUAGUGCUAUUGGUGCACUAAUAUAUCUUACUAUUAAUACAAGACCUGAUAAAUCUUUUGUCGUAAACUUAUCAGCAAGAUAUAGUUCUUGUCCAGCAAGAAGAUACUGGAAUAGAGUCAAACACAUUCUUUGAUAUCUUCGAGGUACAAUAGAUAUGAAUUUAUACUAAUCAAAUUCAUAAAAUGCAAAGUUAAUUAGUUAUGCAGAUGCGGGAUAUUUAUCUGAUCCACACAAAGCUCGAUCCCAAACAUGUUAUUUAUUCACUUGUGGAGGUAACGUAAUUUCUUGUCAUUUUGUUAAACAAAAUUUAGUUGCUUCUUAUUCUAACCAUGCAGAGAUUAUAACAAUUUAUAAGGCAAGUCAUGAAUGUAUUUGGUUAAGAAAUUUAACUCAACACAUUUGCAAGAAUUGUGGUCUAACUUCUAAAAGGGAUGUUCCAACCAUACUAUAUGAAGAUAAUACAACUUGUAUAGCUCCAUUCAAGGAAAGAUUUAUCAAAGGCGACAAAACCAAACAUAUAUCACCAAUUCUUUUUUCACUCAUGAUCUUCAAAAAGAACGUGGCAUCAACAUCCAGAAAAUUCAAUCAAGUAACAACUUGGCAGAUUUGUUCACUAAAGCGCUCCCUACAUCCAAAUUUGAAAACAUGGUACGAAAUAUUGGAAUGCGACGCUUUAAGGAAAUCAAGUGAUGUGAUGAUCAGGGGGAGUUGGAACAUAUUGUACUCUUUUCCUUAGCUAUGUUUUUCUCACUGGGUUUUCUUAGCAAGGUUUUUAACGAGGCAAUUGUUCGAAAUAUCUAUUAUUAAUUAUGUACUUUUUUUCCUUAAUAAAUGGUUUUUCCCAUGAGGUUUUACCUAUUAAGGUUUUAACGAGACAUGAUACAAUCGUCAUUAGUUUGUGAAUGACCAUUGGAUUCUCCAUUUCUCCCAUAACUCCCCAUCAUUAUUUAGCAUUAGUAACAACCAUUUCAAUGUGUUUUAUGAAUGUAAUAAUACACCAUCAUAAUGUGCAUUCAUAUUAUAGCUCAUCUUUCAUCUUAUUUGGAUAGUAUAAAUAGUGAGCCAUAUGUAUUAGACAUUUGAUGAUUUUCAUCACAAAUAUUGGAAUAAAAGUUCUCUCUACUCUCAUGUCUUUCUUUACUCUAUAAAUUAUCUUAUUAUUUGAUUAUAUUUUAUAACAUUUAUGAUUAUAUACAUAGUUGAUAAAAACAUUAAAUACGACAAUACGCCAACAUACCUUUGGUUAAGUUAUAAGAAUGAAAUGGAAUUUAAAUUGUACAAUUUAAUAAUCAAUAAAUCAUUAUUAUUUAAUAAUUACAUUUUUUUACUAACUUAAUAAAUAUUAAUGAUUUUAUAUUUAUUUUUUAUUAAGAUAAAAAAACAACAAUAAUAUAGUUUUUAUAAUAUAAUAACAUAAAUACUAUUAUAAAAAAUAAAAGUAUAAAUAAAUUUUUAUCAACCUAAUAUCAUCGAUAUUAUAAGAAAUAAAAUCCGAACAAAUCUUUAUCAUUUUUUUAAUUUUAAAUAUUACAUAACAAAAAUCCAAGACAAAAAAUAAACAACAACUAAUCAUCUAUAGUCAUAACAGAUGUUUUCUAUAGGUCUGAGGCGCUUAUAAAAUUCUAGAUGCAACUUAUAUAUAGUUUCCCAUUCGGCUGCGGAUGAGUCUUUGUGGCGGAUCCAUAUUGCUGAAAUAGGAGGCAUCGGGUACUCUCCUUCUAACUGUGCCAUCACAUAGUGAUUGGUGUAUACGUGUGCAAGUGUAAGGACACGAUGAUUUUGAAACUCACUAUGAUUUUGAAACUUACUAGGACCUCUCCAUAGAGGGGAAAAGGUUAUAGAACCUAUUAUGGUGAAAAAUUGAAAUAUCACACCAAACCUGUUGGCUAUCAGGAUACUUGUCUCGUCUCAGGCAUAAGCAUAUAGUGUUCUGGUGGUGCUAUCCUAUCUAUCAUGAAGAAAGACAAUGAAUCAAGUACUCUAUCGCAUCCAAUGAAAACUCUAGAAUAGUCUUCAUAUGAAGUCAAUAACUCAUCAUACAGUUCUCGUACGGAUGAUCAUCAACAUUAAGAUUUCCAUAAUCCACAAAUACACAAGGCUUAAAAUCAAGCGUUCUCCAAAAAAUAUCAAUUGAAUCCAACGGAAUAGGUGAACGUAUAGUAAAAAAAUCAAAAUGUUAUAAAGUGAUUAUACAUAUAAACAUUGUCAAUUUAAUACAAUACAUUUGACAUACCUGUAUCGACAUUCAUCGCAAGUUUGUGAGCACAUGGUAAACUAAAACAUGUCCGUAGUUAACAGCCACAAUUCUCAGGAGUUGGUACAAAUCUUUUUAACCGAUGAAGCUCUUCUAAGAUUUUAUCCAAAGCAUGCUCUGAAACAUGAUGUCGUAGUGAAUUGAAUAUCUCAUCUUUAAACUUUGGCUUACGAAUGAUUAUGCUCCUUGUGAAACUCUCUUUAAUAGUUGUGUCUUGUGACUGUACAACUCUUUCAAUAACAUAUAUGAAUUUUACGGCAAGGUUUAUUAAUAGAUAUCAUAAAAUUAAAAGGUUUAAAUUAUGAAUUUGAUGUAUCUAAGGGUUAAUUUGUAAAUAAACAAGAAAAAAAAAAGCAAUACAAAAUAUUUUGCAUUAAUAUAUUAUAAAUUAAAUAAAAGUCAUUGGAAAAUACUUUAUUAUAAGCUUAUAGUAAAUAAAAUUAAUUUAACAGUAAGGUUUAAUAAUAAAUGUCGUAAAAUUUAAAUGUUUAAAUUAAGAGUUUGAUGCACCUAAGGUUAGUUUGUAAAUAAAUAGCCAAAAAAGAUAUAAAAAAUAAAGGAAUAGGAAAAGAUAUAAAACAUUAGUGGCAUCUUAGCAGCCAAAAAGGGGGGCGCGUGGCUUUUUUCUUGAAAAAGAAGUGCAUUGGUUUUUGUAGAGUGCAUAUUGAUAUUAGAUGGGCGCCAUUAAAUUUUGUAAUAUUAGAUUGGUGUAUAAUAGGGUUCAAUAGUUUGGUGUGUAAAAUAAAAAACCCUUGUGGGAAUUUGAAGCGAAUGAAGUGCAACUUGAUCGGUUUGUCAUUGUGAAAGGUGUAGGUGCACUUGUGGAUAUCAAUGUCCAAAAUGGGUUUCGUGGAUUCUAAUGAUGUAGACUCUUUGGUUGCCCUAAUUUAAGAGCAAAGGAAGUAAAUUUUGCACAUGUUAAUAAUGAUUUUACUUUUAAAGGAUGUAAUGGUCUAACCUACUUGAUGAAGAGAAGAAUUUCAAAUAUUUUUCUUGGAUAUACCAUGCAUUACCCAAUUGGACCCAACAAAUAGUACAAUGAUAAAAUGUUUGAUUUGUACACGCUUGCAAUGCUAACGAUACUAAAAUUGAAGAAAAUGUAGAAAAUGAAGUUGACUCGUUAAAGGAAUGUGGAUAAAUCGAGUAUCCAAUUUCAAGAUCAGCUCCCAAAAGUUUUUCAAAUCACAAGGAAAUAAGUUCCCACAUUAGGAAGUUAAAUAUCAUUUUCCAGCCAUUUAAAAGUCAAUGCCACAUAAAAUAUAUAUUACAUAUUUCAUAAAUCAGGAAUGUAAUGUACGGAUACAAUUAUUCUUAACCUGAUUCAAUCUCCUAAUCCAAUUUACCAUGUUAACAGCCCUAGACCCACUCUGUGAUGUACCAACGUCAUCUUUCCUAAAUUGGUUCCUCUUAUUGUAACCCACAUUCUUUUUUCCUAACCUAAUAAACUCACUAUAGUAUUUUACCACACAUAUACACUUCUUCUUUCUCAUCAAAUCCCAAUGAGCUCGCCGUAGUACUUAAUGACAUAUGUACACAUCCUCUUGUUCAUUACAUACUAAGUUUUAGUAUUUUACCCACAUGUGUAUGGUGCUGUUUGUUUUUUUGAAAAAACAUCUUCAGACCUGUUAUUGUUGUGCGACGCAACACACGCGGAACACGUUUCAUCUCGCAGCUGUUUGUUUUUCAGAAGUCUUCGGAUUAAAAAAUAUUUGUGCGUGUUCUUCUUGGUGCAACACUUGUUUUGUCUCUUUCUACCUCUUCCAACCUCUUUUUUUUUCUUGCUACAAUAUUGAUUAUAUAUUGCUGAAAUCUUAUUUCAUUUUUUUUCGUUUUUCUUUUCUUGUUGAACUUUUUUCUUUUUUCUAUAUUGAAUAAUAUUAAUUUGGUGAUGAAAUAUCAUUAUUUUAUGCUAAAAUAUUUUUAUUUUUUGUUAAAAUAUCAUUAUUUUUUGUUGAAAUAUCAUAAAUUCUUGCUGAAAUGUCAUACAUUAUUAAAUUUUCGGUACUAAAAAAACUAUUUUCGUAUUAUAAAAUCAGUUAAUUUUAAAUUUUUAAUAUCUGCAGCAGUAUGCAGAUGCUAAAAAAACAAACGCGCUUCUUAUUACAGUCUGCAGCCGUUUGAUCCACCUCUUCUACUACAGAGGGCUACAAAGGUGGUCCGCAGACUUUAUGGAUUUUUUAUUUCAAAAAACAAACAACACUUAAGUUUGCACACAUAAGUGAGACAUUAAUGGAAUGUCAUCACAAACCCUUAGUAAAAUUUCAAGAUCCCAAUCCAAGUGAACUCUCAAGUCAAACCUAGUAUGAGUGUACACACUCAGACUAGAAAACAUUUUUGUCAGAAAACUAUAAUGCACACAUAAUUCAAACUCUUGAAAAUUUCUUUUUAUGGAUGUAACAUCCAUAAAUUUAAACUUUUUCAAUCAUAAAUAAAAACUCAAAUAGCAUUGUUUACAAAAUAUUUUCAAAUCGAUAUCCAUCAGAGUGUCCCAUAAAUCAUAACAUAAGGAUGAGGAGCGGUAGGUCACGCCUUUGCCUUGCCAUGAUCUCCUGAAGUACCUGAAACAAUAAGCUGAAAACUGUAAGCCCGAGGGCUUAGUGAGCUACCCCCAAAAUACCAAUACCACACUGACAAUACCAUAUCAGUAACAAUCAAUCAAUCAACAUGCAUACCGGGCCAUCGGCCUGACUGGACCGCUCUACAGGGCCUACAGUCUAUCUGGAUCUAUCCCGAGCCUUCGGCAUGACUGGUCCGCCACGUGGGCCUACAGUCUCCCCGGACUGCUCAUAAGGUGUGUUGGCCUACAACACAAAGCAGGAUUGCCUCAACCCAACCAACGAGCAAAUAACUAUGUGCGCAUAGCUAUCAUAUAUUGGCAUAUACAAAAAUCAAGCAUAUCUAUCAUUGGUCAUCAAUCAUAGAAUUCUCUCGUAACUAGAGUACCGACCUAGCAGGUCACUAACAUACCAAUCCCUACGGAUCAUAAGAGCAUAGAAUACUGUCUACCCUGAUUCCGAUCUAUCAAACCAUGACCACAUAUAGCAUACCAUAACAAUAACAACUAAAGGGUCGGCCUUGGUGCCAUAUACCCUAUCGAUAUAGUGAGGAUAACUCACCUCGCAGAUGUCGACUCAGAAGGUAAACUCCAACUCUCGGAUCACUUGACACAGGAUCCACCACAUAUUAUCAUAGCACAAUAUACUCGUAAGUCCUUAACCUUAUAAGGUACUUCAUAACCCCUAAUCAACCCCUGAUCAAAGUCAAAGUCCUCAAUCAAGGUCAACAGUCCAUGUUGACCUCGACUCGCCGAGUACCCUCGGCUACUCGUCGAGUUCCUUGAAGCACAUUCCAACUUGCCGAGUCAUCGGGGUGACUCGUCGAGUUCCUUCAAUUCCCGAUCAAACAUUAAGGCCACCCGUCGAGUUUCCCUCAUUGCAACUCGACGGAUACACACGCAUACACAUCCAGGAGAAAACUCAUCCGACUCGCCAAGUUGUUCUUCAACUCCUCGAGUCUAUGGCAAUCAUCAUCGGACUCACCGAGUUGUUCAUCCAACUCGUCGAGUUCACGGCCAUCUUCAUGUGACUCGCCUAGUCAACCUUGCAACUCGCCGAGUCCAUUCAGUCCUUUUUCCAUACAGACUUAUUUUGAGCCAUGCAGCGGCUCCAACUCACAGAUCCAAGCUUCUAGGGCAUGCUUAUCACGUAAAGUUGCAAACUUCACGUGUAUGCAUGGCUUUAAAGGCUCCAAAUGCCAAAUCUAAGCUCUUAAUGGGGUUUCAUGCCCAAAAGGGACCUCAACCACGACCAAAACUAUGACUUUAUGCUUCUAGAAUCCAAAGAGGGUCCAGAUCUGAAGUUACAACUUCAGAUCUCGCCCAUAGCUUAUCAUACCAACUUGAUAUUCCAGGAAAACCCUAAAACUCAACCAAUAGAGGAGAUCUAUAAGGAAAAAGACGGUUUAGGUACCUUUAGAAGAUGAUAUCUAAGAUGAGUGUUGAUUUCCCACUCUAAAUUCUCCAAUCUCCUCCUCCUCCAAGUCUCCCCCUUCCAAAGAUCCUCUUUUCAAGCUCCAACACACACAAGGCACACACACACACACGAAUAAGGGCUCUCACGGACUCUUUAAAACUGUAAAGAGGUCCAAGGGAGGCUAAGAUCCCUUUAAAUAGGGGUACAAACCCCGGGAUUUAGGGUUUCAUCUGCUAGCUCCUACUCACCGAGUCCCAAUAUGGACUCAUCGAGUAGGUCACUUAACACACGAUCCCACCCCACUGCUACUUGACGAGUAGGGCAACCUACUCGUCGAGUAGAGCUUAACCUAAUACAUUUUAUUUAAAACAAUACCUAAGAAUCGGAGUGCUACAACUCUCCCCCACUUGAACUAGACUUCUCCCUUGAAGUCCGCUGGAAUAAACAAUGCCAGGUAAUGCUCGCGCAUCUCCGCCUCCGGCUCCUAUGUCCACUCGGAUCCCCUCCGAUGUUCCCACUGUACCUUUACCAAAGGUAUUUCCUUGUUCCGCAAUAUCUUCUUCUUCUUUUCUAGAAUAGCCACAGGCCUCUCCACAUAGUUCAGGCGCUCAUCGACCUGAAUGUCAUCCAACGAUACCACUGCCUCCUGGUCCAUAAUGCAUUUUCGCAAUUGCAAAACAUGAAACGUGUUGUGGAUCCGGCUGAGCUCCUCCGGAAGCUCUAGCCUAUAAGCCACCCUGCUAACCCUGGCAAUAAUUCUGAAUGACCCAAUGUAACGGGGACCCAAUUUUCCCCUCUUCCUGAAGCGGAUCACACCCUUCCAGGGUGAGACCUUCAUGAGGACCAUGUCACCCACCUGAAAUUCCAACUCAGAUCGGCGUCGGUCGGCAUAACUUUUCUGCCGACUCUGAGCGGUCUGCAGUCGCUGUCUAAUAUGUUGUAUCAUCUCGGUAGUUUGCAGAACUACCUCUAUCCGACCCAUUACCCUGUGCCCAGCCUCACCCCAGCAGACAGGGGUCCUACACUUCCGCCCAUACAACAGCUCAAAAGGCGGGGCGCCAAUACUGCAAUGAUAGUUGUUGUUGUAGGAGAACUCUGUAAGCGGUAGGUGGGAAUCCCAACUCCCACCGAAAUCAAUGACACACGCCCUCAACAUAUCCUCGAGGGUCUAAAUGGUCCGCUCACUCUGCCCAUAAGUCUGCGGAUGGAACACUGUACUAAAAUGCAGCCUUGUACCCAGUUCCUCGUGGAACUUCUGCCAAAAGCAGGAAGUAAAUCUAACAUCUAGAUCGGAAAUAAUGGAAACUGGGACCCCAUGGCGAGAGACAAUCUUGCGGACGUACAUAGCGGCCAACUUCUCCAUCGACGAACUCUCCCGUAUGGCUAGGAAAUAGGCACUCUUGGUCAAUCAAUCCACGAUGACCCAUAUAGCAUCGAACCCCUUUGCUGUCUUCGGAAACUUUGUGAUGAAAUCCAUUGCGAUCCGUUCCCAUUUCCACAUGGGAAUCUCCAGAGGCUGCAGCUUACCGUGCGGCCUCUGAUGUUCGUCCUUGACCAUCCUACGUGUCAAACACCUCUCAACAAACCAAGCGAUAUCUCGCUUCAUACCAGGCCACCAAUAACUCGAAUUCAAAUCACGGUACAUCUUGGUGGUUCCCGGGUGAAUAGAAAACCAAGACUUAUGAGCCUCCUCCAUCACUGUCUGCCGGACCCCUCCGGACAUCGGAACCCAAACCCGACCGUAAAGGAUCAAUAAUCCGCGGCUAUCUUGAAAAAAUCGGGCGCUUUCGCCCUUAAUCCUUUCCAACUUCCGGUUCUCCGGCCACAUACCCUCAAUCUGAGCAUCCCUGACCAAACCCACUAGCGGGGAAUCCACCACUAUCCUCAUACACUUGGCUAGGGUAGAGGACCCAGCUGACUUGCGGCUCAAAGCAUCCGCAACCACGUUCGCUUUACCAGGAUGGUAAAGGAUCUCACAAUCAUAGUCCUUGACCACAUCCAGCCACCUGCGCUGCCUCAUGUUCAGGUUCGGCUGAUCCAUGAUGUGUCUCAAACUCUUGUGAUCCGUGUAUAUAGUACAACAGACCCCAUACAUAUAGUGCCUCCAAAUCUUGAUGGCGAAGACCACUGCUCCCAACUCAAGAUCGUAUGUGGGGUACUUGUCUCGUGCGGCUUCAACUGCCUCGAUGCAUAAGCUAUCACUCGUCCCUCUGCAUGAGGACUGCCCCCAAACCUGUGAUGGACGCAUCAAAAAAUACCACAAAAUCCUCAACUCCCUCGGGGAGUGUCAACACCAGCGCCUCGCACAAACAUCGCCGCAGGGUCUCAAAUGCCCUCUGCUACUCAGGGCCCCACCGGAAAUCCACCCCUUCCUCGUCAGACGAAUGAAUCUCCGAUAAUACCCUGCUAAACCCUAGAAACUCAUGAUGUAUGAGGGAGAUUUCGGAGUCUCCCACUGCAUAACUGCCUCCACCUUGGCCGGAUCAACCAAAAUCCCCUCCUGGUUAAUGAGAUGUCCGAGGAACUUGACCUCUCGUAACCAAAACUCGCAUUUCGAGAACUUGGCAUACAACCGUUCUCGCCUCAGAACCUCCAGCAGCUCCCUAAGAUGCUCCUCAUGCUGCUCUCGAGUCUUGGAAUACACCAAGAUAUCAUCUAUAAACACAAUGACUGAGCGAUCGAGCAUCGGUAUGCUGGCUUGGUUCAUCAGAUCCAUGAACACCGCUGGCGCGUUGGUGAGCCCAAACGGCAUCACCAUGAACUCGUAAUGACAAUAACGAGUCUGAAACGCAUUCUUCUCCACGUCUUCCUCUCUUACCCUUACCUGGUGAUAUCCUGAUCUCAAGUCAAUCUUGGAAAACCAAGAUGCACCCUGCAGCUGAUCGAAAAGAUCAUCUAUCCUCGGGAGCGGAUAACGGUUCUUCACCGUUAACUUGUUCAGCUCCUUAUAGUCAAUGCACAUCCUGUGCGAACUGUUCUUCUUCCUGAUGAAAAGGAUCGAUGCUCCCCAGGGUGAACUACUCGGACAAAUAAACAACUUACCCAUCAACUCCUGCAACUAAGAUGAUAGCUCCUGCAUCUCAGGCGGUGCCAAACGGUACAACGCCUUGGUGAUAGGGGUCGCACCUGGCACUAGGUCAAUCCUGAACUCAACCUGCCUCUCCGGAGGCACUCCGAGUAACUCCUCUGGAAACACAUAAGCAAACUCCCUCACUACCGGGACCUCAGAAACUGAGAGCUGCUCUCUAACCCGCGUAUCUACCACAUACGCCAAAUAACUGGCACAUCCGUGCUGGAUAUACUGUCGAGCCCUGAUGGCCGAACAAAACCCUGAUCCCAACCUGGUACCCUCACCAUAUACUACAAGUUCUCCCCCACUUGGGGUUCGAACCACCACCCGCUGUCCCUCACAGUCGAUCAUGGCGCCAAAAUGGCUAAGCCAAUCCAUCCCUACAAUCACACAUACAUACCUCAUGGAGAUAGGAAUCAAAUCUAUCAGGAAGAACACCCCAAAUAUCUCCAACUCACAUCCCCGGUAGACCGAAGAAGCAGAAACCCCGUGCUUGUUGGCGAUCGAAACUCGUAACGGGCACUCAAGAUCAUCCAUCGGCACACAAAACCCUCUAUUGAAAGUCUGAGAUACAAAAGACCGACUCGCCCCCGAGUCAAAUAAUACCAAGGCGGGCAAGGAAUUCACUAGAAACGUACCUAAUCACAGGUACAAUGAAUAAGCAUAACACAAAUACAAUAACUGAGACAGAGAUUAGAAACGUACCAGCAACCACGUCCGGUGCUGACUUGGCCUCCUCGGCCGUGAGUUGGAAGGCGCGACCCUGAGCCUUUGGAGGCUCCACCUUGACUAGCCUCCCAUCUUCAAUCCUCACAGUAGCUGGCGCGGAACCCUACGUCGGCUUGGCGGCGAGCUGCGGACAAUUGGUCUUUACAUGACCAACCUGAUGACACUGGUAACAAAUCUUCAUAUCUGUUGGAGGGGCGGACUGACGGCAGUCCCUGGCAUAGUGCCCCUCCUUGCCACAUUUGUGGCACCCACCUCUUGCUCGAGAAACCCCCGAAUGAACCCUGCCACACUUUCCACAAGUGCGGCUCUAAUGACCCCCAGACCGUGUAUCAGCGGUCUUAGACCGCUUAGGCGCCGGCUGAGACUGUGCCGGUGCCUGACGCUACUCCUUCAGCUGCAGCUCUAUCUCCAACUCACACCGCCUCAUGGCUUCCUGAAGGUCCAGGAGGGUAUCACAUCGCCGUGUAGACACAAACUGUUGAAUAUCAGUCUUGAGCAUACUCAGAUAACGAGUCAUCUGAGAUUGCUCCGAAGCAAACUCUGGGCAAAACAUAGCCCUCUCCGUAAACAUACUGGUAAUCUCCAUCACAGACUCCCCAUCCUGUCUCAACAUCAAAAACUCCUGAGCAAGUCGCUCCCGCUCGACGCGUGGAACGUAGCGGGUGCGGAACACAUCCCUGAACUACUCCCAAGUAAUAGUAGCCCACUGAUCAUCAGUAUACGACCCAGUCGUCAAUCUCCACCAGUCUUUUGCCCCAAGCCUCAGUAGGUUCAGGGCACACCUGACCUUCUGGUAAACAGGGCAUGAGCAUGUGAAGAAACAACCCUCCACGUCAUACAACCUCCGCAUAGCCCUGAUCGCAUCCUGCGUACCAUCAAAUGUCGGGGGCUUCGUAUUAUCGAAGUCCCGGUACUGGAAAGCCCUGUCGGCUCCUCCACCAACCCCUGCUGCAGUUACAGCCGAAGUGGAUGCAACGACAGCUAUCUCUGCUAGAGCUGCAUAAUGCUCAUCAAAGUACUCAACCAUCGCGGUCUUAAUCGACCCAAACAUCUCUGGCAGCUGCGCUCGAAACGCAACAUCAAUCUCAUUGUGCAUGAUCUCUCGGAUCCUGGCAUCUAACUCCUUGGUCCCUAUCAGUACCACGAGCUCAGGUGCUACCAGCACCUCCAACCCUCCGUCUCCUGACCCCGAUCCUGAUCCUGACCCUGAUCCGGAUCUAGAAGCAACACGUCUUGUCACCACCAUACUGAAAUAUAUAUAUAUAUAUAUANCAGCCUUAGACACUAUUCCAACACACACACACACACACACACAUAUAUAUAUAUAUAUACACACACACACAAGGCAUCAGAUAAAUAACAUAAUGUCGGGAGACCAAAACCCACAAACCCUAGGGGUUGUGAUUUCCUUGCUACGUGUAUGGGUCCUGUGCUUUCAGUAGUAUGGGCCCAUACUACCUUCCACACCUACCCAUAUUUGUCUCAGGUAUCACCACAACGCCCAUAACAAUAUCAUCAACAUAAAAAUGCGCUCAACCCUCACUUCUAGGGGAAUACCAACUGUCUCGCACCUAGUCUCACCACUUAUCAUGACUCACACAUCCAUGAAACUUCCAUCAUCCCCUACAGCGCUAGUGCAUGCUAGCUGAACGUAAGGCUGGACACAAUAGACUUUCGAAUAUCCAAUCCUACCCGAAGGCCGAAUCAACAUUCUCAGGCUAUAAGGUCUUUAUUACGCACAACCGUGAUACAUACACUAAACAUCUACAAUUAUGAUUUCAAUUCCACAUACAAGAAACCCUAGGCUAAUAGGCAUCAUGUAAUCAGGCAAAUCUAUCAUGCGCUUCCUAAAGAUCCCUAGCCUAGCACUAGCAUGCUGUUCUAACAUACUAGAAUAUCAAAUAACUGUAUGGUAUUUUGGGGUUUACUUACAGGCUCCGACUGAUCGUACCCUUUGCAUCCUCCAUCCUUUAUUUUGAAAACCAUUUUUUCAAAAAAAAAACUUACUUUCCGAAAAUCCCCUUGAUUUGCGACUGGAUUCACAAGAUUGCUCCUCCAAUUCACUCAAACCAAUGCUCGGAUACCAACUUGUAACAUCCAUAAAUUAACGCCAAAUUUAAACUUUUUCAAUCAUAAAAAAAACUCAAAUAGCAUUGUUUACAAAAUGUUUUCAAAUCGAUAUCCAUCAGAGUGUCCCAUAAAUCAUAACAUAAGGAUGAGGAGCGGUACGGUCACCCCUUCGCAUUUCCAUGAUCUCCUGAAGUACCUGAAACAAUAAGCUGAAAACUGUAAGCCCGAGGGCUUAGUGAGCUACCCCCAAAAUACCAAUACCACACUAACAAUACCAUAUCAGUAACAAUCAAUCAAUCAACAUGCAUACUGGGCCAUCGGCCUGACUGGACCGCCCAAAAUGGCCUACAGUCUAUCUGGAUCUAUCCCGAGCCUUCGACAUGACUGGUCCGCCACGUGGGCCUAUAGUCUCCCCGGACCGCUCAUAAGGUGUGUUGACCUACAACACAAAACAGGACUGCCUCAACCCAACCAACGAGCAAAUAACUAUGUGCGCAUAAUUAUCAUAUAUUGGCAUAUACAAACAUCCAACAUAUCUAUCACUUGUCAUCAAUCAUAGAAUUCUCUCGUAACUAGAGUACCGACCUAGCAGGUCACUAACAUACCAAUCCCUACGGAUCAUAAGAGCAUAGCAUACUGUCUACCCUGAUUCCGAUCUAUCAGAACAUGACCACAUAUAGCAUACCAUAACAUUAACAACUAAAGGGCCGACCUUGGUGCCGUAGACCCUAUCGAUAUAGUGAGGAUAACUCACCUCGCAGAUGUCGACUCGGAAGGUAAACUCCAACUCUCGGAUCACUCGACACAGGCUCCACUACCUAUUAUCAUAGCACAAUAUACUCGUAAGUCCUUAACCUUAUAAGGUACUUCAUAACCCCUAAUCAACCCCUGAUCAAAGUCAAAGUCCUCAGUCAAGGUCAACAGUCCAUGUUGACCUCGACUCGCCGAGUACCCUUGGCUACUCGCCGAGUUCCUUGAAGCGUAUUCCAACUCGUCGAGUCAUCGGGGUGACUCGUCGAGUUCCUUCAAUUCCCGAUCAAACAUUAAGGCCACCCGUCGAGUUCCCUCCUUGCAACUCGACGGAUAUACACGCAUACACAUCCAGGAAAAAACUCAUCGGACUCGCCAAGUUGUUUUUCAACUCUUCGAGUCUAUGGCAAUCAUCAUCGGACUCGCCGAGUUGUUCAUCCAACUCGUCGAGUUCACGACCAUCUUCAUGUGAAUCGCCGAGUCCAUUCAUCCCUUUUUCCAUACAGACUUAUUUUGAGCCAUGUAACGGCUCCAACUCACAGAUCCAAGCUUCUAAGGCAUGCUUAUCACAUAAAGUUGCAAAAUUUACGUGCAUUCAUGGCUUUAAAGGCUCCAAAUGCCAAAUCUAAGCUCUUAAUGGGGUUUCAUGCCUAAGAGGGACCUCAACCACAACCAAAAUUGUGACUUUAUGCUUCUAGAAUCCAAAGAGGGUCCAGAUCUGAAGUUACAACUUCAGAUCUAGCCCAUAGCUUAUCAUACCAACUUGAUAUUCCAAGAAAACCCUAAAACUCAACCAAUAGAGGAGAUCUAUAAGGAAAAAGACGGUUUAGUUACCUCUGGAAGAUGAUAUCUGAGAUGAAUGUUGAUUUCCCCACUCUAAAUGGUCCAAUAUCCUCCUCCUCCAAGUCUCCCCCUUCCAAAGAUCCUAUUUUCAAUCUUCAACAAACACAAGGCACACACACACACACACGAAUAAGGGCUCUCAAGGACUCUUUAGAACUAUAAAGAGGUCCAAGGGAGGCUAAGGUCCCUUUAGAUAGGGGUACAAACCCCAGGAUUUAGGGUUUCAUCUGCCAGCUCCUACUCGCCGAGUCCCAAUAUGGACCCGUCGAGUAGGUCACUUAACACGCGAUCCCACCCCGCUGCUACUCGACGAGUAGAGCAACCUACUCGUCGAGUUGAACUUAACCCAAUACAUUUUAUUUAAAACAAUACCUGAGAGUUGGGGCGCUACAAUGGAUGCAAAAACAUGUACAUAUAAUAUAACUUAUAAAGUAUUAUUCUACAAACAUGUUCCACAGAUAAGUAUAAAACCAUGUAGGGAUGUGUCUCCAGGUAGAAACUCACCUCAAUAACUUUAUAUCUAACUCAUUUCAAACUUGUAACGCCUUUUAUUCACCACUUACUACUGACUAUAAUCAAAUGGUUAUAAUCAGACAAAAUUACUCCAAUGAAGGUGUUAGGUUUUCUUUGUUGGAAACUAUGUCCAAGGUCAUUAACUAUUAAUAAUAUUUUUAAUAAUAACAUGGUCCUUUUAGGUUGCCCUCAAGACCCAAAUUGAGUAGAAUAAAUAAAAAAGAAAUUGGUUUAUUAAUUAUUAUGGUUAAUAAUUAAUUAGAAACUAAUUUGAAAUAUAUUUUGGGAAUUAAUAAACAAUUUAAUUAAUUAAAGGGUUUAAUAUUCAUUAAUCGAUAGUUGAUUAAUCAGGAAUAAUCCAAAACCCUUAUGAGAUUAGGGCUGGAUGAAAAUCACUCCAUCCCACAUGGGAAAAUGAGUGAAUUUUGUUCUAGGUUCCUUGUCCCACAUGGGAAGGCGUACUAAACCUAGGAAGGGAUCCAAGGCUAUGAAUAGGGCCUUAGGGAUUUCAUUCUUCCUUGUACCUUGGCUUGAUGUUUCGCCAACUCUUCUUCCUUUCCCUAUUAGGGACAAUUUCUAACCUUCUUAGGGUUUGGAAAAUUAAUCAUUCUCCUAGUUAUUUUUAUUCCACUCUUUUGUGUCAUUAGGUGUGAUACCAUUAGAGGGAUUCUGGUGUGGGUCCUCUCAUCCAAGCAACUUCAUGAAGGAUCAAGAUCUCAAUUAUGGAGAUCAUGGGCUACAUAAGAGGUAUGUUUUCUUCUUAUUUUUUUAUUUAUGUUUUGUAGGGUAGAUGUAACUAGCAUGAAUCCAUAUAUCCAUAGGUUGCAUGUACAUUUAAGUAUAUCGUAGUUUCGAUUUUUCCGCUACCUAAUUUAGAGUGUAUUUGAUGCAUAGAAAACCCAACAGUGGUAUUAGAGCCAUUGGUUCAUGAUUACAUUCACCCUAGAUACAUAUUUUAUGUAAACACUUGUUUGAAAUUGAAUGAAAAAGAUAAAUAAAAAUUUCAUAAGUGUAGAACCUAAUUGUUGCUACGACGUGAGAUCAUAGGAGAUGAAUUUAGUUUGGGAUGUUAGAUCAUGUGUGUGCUCGACUUUGGAUGUGAUUGGAUUGUCAAUCAGCGGUAGGACCAUGGUCAAUGGUUGAGACCACGUGGAAAGUGUUGUAGGACUGCGGGAUAGCCUUAGCAUUCACAAGCAGCCAGACAGUGUGGAAAGUGUUGUAAGACUGCGGGAUAGCCGUAUCAUUCACCAGCAGCCAGACAGCGUGGAAAGUAUUGUAAGACUGUGGGAUAGACGUAGCAUUCACUAGCAGCCAGACAACAUGGAAAGUGUUGUACGAUUGCAGGAUAGUCAUAGCAUUCACCAGUAGCCAGACAACAUGGAAGGUGUGGUAAGACUGCGGGAUAGUUGUAGCAUUCACUAGCGGCCAAAUAGCAUGGGAAAUAUGGUAAGACUGCAGGGUGGCCUGUAGCAUUCAUUAGUCAAUAGAUAGUGUAGAAGUGUUGUAAGACUGUUGGGUGGCCCAUAGCAUUCACUAGUUGGCAGAUAUAGUAGAAAUGUUGUAAGACUACGGGGUAGCCCAUAGCAUUCGUUAGUUAGCCGUUAGUAUAAGGGUAUAGUAAGACUGCGGGGUGGCCCGUAGCAUCCACCGGUCCCUAUUCGGCAGUGAGAAUGUGACAUAUAUGUGGUUCAAUCAUGGAUUCCUUCAUAUAGUUUAGACCAGACCGGGACAACCUGCACGAAUGUGAGUAGGCCACAGUAUGAUCAGAUUCUAGGAAUGGUAGGUCCUUGGAGACCAGGCAUGAUGUAAGGCUAUAGUGGUUCUGGUAGCAUUCACUUUUCAUAUUAGAUUCGGGGAUGAUGGGUAGUCGAACUGUUAUGAUUAGGAGGAUCAAAAGGAAUAAUGGAUCCAUGAGUGGCAAUAUGGUUAGGGUAGAUUUCGAUAGACGAAGUUCUUUUUGGAAGUCGUAGGAAGUGACUGUGAGGUUGCUCUUUGGCUCAGCAACCGGGUAGGAAUCUGAUAUUCCGGAUAGCGGAUGUGAUUUGGGAUUUGCGUAGAGUAGAUUGUGGACAUGAAGAUGCUAAGACACUUGUAGUUGGAUUAAAUAAUCUUAGAGUAAUUAAUUUGACCCUGUUGCGCAGCUCUCGUCUGAGUCUAACCGUUGCAGGGAUGAAUCUUCUACUCGAAGGAUUAUCUGAGCCUUCUGUCAAAUAUAAGUAUUUUGCAGCUGGUUAUGGUCAGUGGCUUAGUUUUCGUAGGUUGCAUCAAGAUAAUCAGGGUUGCAAGUAUUAUGGUUGGUCAGUUAUUCGUUGAGGUUUUGGCAUGGUAAUUUUUCAGCUUAGGCGGUCUGUCGGGGAGAUAGACCAUUAUAGAUUUCGGAUCUCGGGAAGGUAGAUGUGGUUUUUUGUAUGAAAGUAAGGAUUUAUCCUUCAUCGGGUUUGGAGAGUCUUGCUUCGUUGGGUUCAGUUGCCUCGGGAAGACCAUUGAAUGCUCUGUAUGAUGGAUGCAUCUUUUAGGCUGUCGGGUGACAGUAUUCGUUGGAUUCAGAAUGGGUUGUCGGUUGUGAGUGGGAACAUCGAUGGGAUCAUAGCAGAAAAUGGGAGCAUGCGAAAGUGGCAUGUGAGUAGUAUCCGGAGUGGGUUGCUGCAGCAGACUUCGAGGACGAAGUCUAGUUUAAGCAAGGGAGAUUUAUAACAUCUUGAGAAUCAUAAGGUUCAUAUUGCAUGCAUGGGCUUGAUCUAAUUAAGUAUGGAGGUUUUUCAAGCCUAGAACGUUUAAUUGCUAGCUUGGUGUUGGAGGUAAGGCUUGCAUGCGGGGCGUUCAUAUCUUGAACGCUCAGCGUUCAGUGCAUGAAGUGGACACAGAGGCCAAGACGAACGCGGGGAGUUCUAGGGAGAAACGCAGGGCGUUCGCCGUCUGUACUCAAAAACCCUAAGUGUGCACUAUUGAAACAAGUUAAGACCCAAGGUUCUUCAUUCUUUCUGCCUCCACUGUACCUUGAGCCUCAUUCCGAAACCCUAACCUUAGUUGUGAGUGUGUGAGCUUGGAAGAUCAUCUUUGAGUGUAUUUUGGUGUUCUUGAAGGAGAGUGAUCACCUUAGAGUCUCAUUGAUCAAGGAAGAGCUUUUGGAUUAAGAUUCUCUAGCUCAUUUGCAAGUAUCAGAAGGUAUAGAGUUUCUAUCUUGAUAUCUUAUAGCUUAAGACCUAGAUUAGGGAUUGUUUUGUGCUUCUUAUGAACAUGUGGAUGCUCUUUGGGAGUUUGAGCCACUCCAAAAGCCUAGGAUUGCAGAUCCUCACAUUUCUGAGUUGUUUGAGUCAUAAAAAUGGUAACUUGAUGGUUGAUGACCAAGCAUUCAAAGGUUUUGGGUCUUGAUUUAUGGAUUGGAAUCUUUAAUGGAUGUUUGGGUCCUUUUUGGGCCAUGCAAAGGUGCCAAGUUGAUGACUUUAUGGCUUAAGACACUGAUAGGAAGCUACUUUGAAGAUUUGAACUUUGGACUUAAGGUAUUAACACAUAAAUGUAAUUUUUGGUCCCUGGUCGGGAACGCAGCAUGCUCAUCUCGGGAACGUUGUACGUUCCGACGUCGAGUCACGAUCGGCGGUCAGGCAACGAACGCCCAAUGUUCGGUCCAACAGUAGGCUUCUUAGGCUUGUUCUCAUUGGGCUUCAGACUUGGAUUGGAGUUUUUGCAUGUUGGGAUUUUUGUUAAGAAGGUUCUUAGAGCUUUGGACUUUUUUUUGGACAUGUCUAGUUGGGCCAAUAUUUCGUAUUGGGCCUUGGUGGUCCCAAUGGUUUUGGACUUUACUUGGCCCAAUGGGCUUGGACCUAUGGGCCAUCGGAGAAUUAUUAUUGGACCAGGAAUUGUUGGCUUUAGGUAAGGCCCAUAUGGGGUUAGGCCCAAUUUGGAAAAUUGGGGCAUUAGUGGGAUCUUAUGGAUCAUAUAGUUUUGGGCCUUUUUGUAACAUCCAAGAAUACGACCCAAAAAUUUUUGUUUUAAAUAAUAGUAAAAUCAUAUUCCAAUCGUCACAUCAUAAAAUCAUGUGUCAAUUAUCUCAACCCAUAAUAAAAUGUCAUGAACAUUUGUGACAAACCAAACUAUGAAUCAAAACAAACAUCCAGGAAAAAGACUGAAGCUGUGGUGUGUGCGAUGCCAUCAUCCCGAGAUCUUCCCUUUACUUGCGGAAGUACCUGAAACCAAAACUGAAACUGUAAAAAUGAAGCUUAGUGAGCUACCCCAAACUACCACAUACCAUACAAUAACAUAUAAAGCAUCUACUGGGCCUUGCCCACUGCAUCGGACCGAAGUCCGGAAACUUACCAGGGCCUUGCCCUCUGCAUCGGACCGAAGUCCGGAAACUAACCAGGGCCUUGCCCUCUGCAUCGGACCGAAGUCCGGAAACUGCAUCGGACCGGAGUCCGGAACUAACCAGGGCCUUGCUCUCUGCAUCGGAUCGAAUUCCGAAACUAACUGCAUCAGACCGAAGUCUGGAACUGAAUGGGACCUUGUCCCUUGCAUCGGAUCGAAGUCCGCAACUGACCGAACGUAACAUAGCAUAAACAUAUCAACUAGCAUGAAAACAUAUACUGCAUACUACAUCGGAACAGAGUCCGGAACACAUAACACAAAACGUGCUUGAAUCACAAAGACGUCAAGCACUCUAACUACUGCAUCGGACCGAAGUCCGAAACUACUGCUAACUAAACGGGCCGACAUUGUGGCCGUAGACCCGUUCCUACUGGAAGGAAACUCACCUCGUGAUGCUGACCGAUGCACUCCUGAAUGAGAAAUCCCUGACUGCUGCUCCGGCUGCUUCCCAGCUAUAAUGGGAAAUAAAUACUAAAUCAGAAUAGGGAUUCCUCUCUGGGUAAAAUGACCAUUUUACCCCUACUAUGGUGUGAGACACAACAUGGCCCAAAACCUCAAUUCCUUCUAAGUUCAUCUAUGGCCCCACUAUAGGCCCACUAAUGGCCCAAUUUGCUAUUUUAGGCCUAGGACCCUUUUAUUGGGCCUUACCCAAGCCCAAUACUAAAUCCUUGGUCCUUAGCAACUGAAUUCUGAUGGGCCAUAAAGGCCCAAGGAUCCUAAGCCUAAAACCCAACCCACAUCGAGGCCCAACACUCAAAGCCCAAACUGGUAGCAUACGCAGGGCGUACACCAAGGUACGCUGAGCGUACUGGCUGCUGGCUUUUACACGGCGCGUACUUCCUUGUACGCCCAGCGUACAACUCUGUUAAGCCAACAUCCCAUUAAGUCCUUAAUAAUUCGAUCCAGAAGCUACAAAUCCAGAUCCUAAGCUUGUUCCAUGACUUAAGCUAUAAAGUUGCUUACUUGAUGGCUUACAAGUCUCAUAAAGGCUCAAACUUACACAAAUAACAUUCUACUUCCAUAAAACCAACAAGAUCUCAGGCAUGGUUCCAUAUAAGCCACAAAGAUCGAAACUUUACUACUAUAGGGACACUUGAGCCUCAAGGAUAGCAAUCCCAAGCUCCAAAAACGAAGUUGCUAGAUAAAGGUCCUUCCUUUGGACCUAAAAGGUCCAAACUUCCAAAAACUCCUAGAUCUAAACUUACAAGAGGAAAGUUGGAAGCUUUAUACCUCUUUUGAAUGCCAAAAGAAAGGAUGAUCCCAGAUCUAUGAGCUCAAGGUGCUCAAGUUCUUCUUCUUCCACUUCUCUUCUUCUUCUUCUUCACAAAAAUAAGCUCAAAGAUCAAACACACACAAACAAGGAGCAAAGGGGGACGAACUAGGGUUUCUAUGGAGUGAAUGAUAAGUGAGGGGUCCAAAUGGAAGGCUAUAACGGGGUUUAAAUACGCCUCAACCCCUAAAAUUAGGGUUUGCCACCUGGUCGCGUACACUGGGCGUACCUUAAGGUACGUUGCGUGUAUGCUCAGCCUCCCCGUGUUUCAUUUAAUCAGUACGCCCAGCGUACAAGGGGGUUACGCCCCGCGUACAGCUUAUGGGCUGCUUACUCUUCGGCCCAAAAUAAAGGUACACUCACAAUAUUAAUUCAGUUAUGGCCCAAACUAAACUAAAGAAUUAAAUAACUUUUAUACCUCGGAAACGAUCGUUACAAAUCUCCCCUACUUGAAUCAGACUUCUUCCUCGAAGUCUGCUGCCACUGAAUCUGAAAAUAACUCCGGGUAAUGCUCCUGCAUCUCCUCCUCUCAUUCCCACUUCUACUCUGAACCCUUCCGGUGCUGCCACUGCACCUGCACUAGCUGAUUUACCUUGUUCCUCAAGGUCUUUGUCUUCCGGUCCAGAAUCGCGACCGGCCUCUCAAUAUAAUUAAGCUUCUAUCAACCUGAAUGUCCUCUAAGGGAACAACUGCUGACUCAUCCACCAAACACUUCCUCAACUGGGAAACAUGGAAAGUGUUGUGGAUCUGGCUAAGCUCUGCCAGAAGAUCCAACCGGUAAGCAACCCGACCCACCCGGGCCAGAACUCUAAAAGGACCAAUGAAUCUGGGGCCCAUCUUUCCCCUCUUCCGAAAUCUGAUGACACCCUUCCAAGGUGAUACCUUAAGGAGGACCAUGUCGCCUUCCUGAAACUCCAAGUCUUAUCGCCUCCUAUCGGCGUAACUCUUCUGCCGACUCUGCGCAGUCUGCAGCCUACUGCGUACCUGCUGGAUCAACUCUGUCGUCUUGAGCACCACUUCGGUGCUCCCAAUGACAUGCUGACCGACCUCGCCCCAACAAAUCGGGGUCCUACACUUCAUCCCAUAUAGCAUGUCGAAGGGAGGUCGGUCAAUACUCGCAUGGUAACUGUUGUUAUACGAAAAUUCAGCUAACGGAAGAUACGUAUCCCAACUGCCACCGAAAUCUAGGACACAUGCCCGAAGCAUAUCCUCCAGGGUCUGAAUCGUCCUCUCACUCUGUCCGUCCGUCUGGGGGUGGAAAGCGAUGCUGAAAUAGAGACGAGUGCCCAUCUCGUCAUGAAACCGCUUCCAAAAUCUGGAAGUAAAACGGACAUCUCGGUCUGACAUCACAGAUUCAGGCACUCCAUGCCGUGCAACAACCUCUCGCACAUAAAUAUCAGCUAGUUUCUCCGCCGAUAUACUCUCCUGGAUCAGUAUAAAAUGAGCACUCUUCGUCAACCGAUCCACAAUAACCCAAAUCGAAUCCUCCCCACGUGCGGUCCUAGGGAGCUUAGUGAUGAAAUCCAUGGUGAUAUCCUCCCAUUUCCACACUGGAAUGUCUAACGGCUGCAACUUGUCGUGGGGCCUCUGGUGCUCUGCCUUGACCUUCCUGCAGGUCAGGCACCUCUCCACAUACCAGGCGACAUCCCGCUUCAUGCAGGGCCACCAAUAAUCAGGUCGAAGAUCCCUAUACAUCUUCGUCUCCCCUGGAUGGAUGGAAAAUCGAGACUUAUGAGCCUCGUCCAUCAACAACUGCCGUAAUCCGCCCCACUACGGUACACAUACUCUCCCAUGAAGAGUCAACAAUCCUCGACUAUCGUAGUCAAAAGAAGCUACUCGGCCCACAAUCCUAUCAUACUUAUGUCUCUCCUCCUUGAGGCCCUCGGUCUGCGCCUCUUUGAUUUGCUCCAACAAUGUAGUAAUCACUGUCAUCCUCAAACAAAUAUCUCUGAUCGGGGCUGCUGCUGCCUUGCGGCUCAGGGCGUCGGCCACUACAUUGGCCCUCCCUGGGUGAUAUAAGAUCUCACAGUCGUAAUCCUUCAACACAUCUAACCAUCGCCUCUGCCUCAUGUUUAGAUUCGACUGAUCCAUGAGGUACCUCAAGCUCUUGUGAUCCGUGUAAAUGGUACAACGGACCCCGUAGAGGUAAUGUCUCCAAAUCUUGAGGUCGAACACCAUUGCCCCCAAAUCUAAAUCAUGUGUAGGAUAAUUAGCCUCGUGAGGCUUCAACUGUCUCGAGGCGUAAGCUAUCACAUGACCUCGCUGCAUCAACACUGUUCCCAUACAUGUGAUCGAAGCAUCACAAUAAACCACAAAAUCCUCUACUCCAUCUGGCAGGGUAAGAAUCGGUGCCUCGCACAAUCUCUGCCUGAGGGUCUCAAAUGCUGCUUGCUGCUCAGGCCCCCAACGAAACACCACCGACUUCUUAGUCAGUCGGGUGAGCGGUACUGCUAUCUUGGAGAAAUGCUGAAUGAACCUCCUGUAGUACCCUGCCAGACCUAGGAAGCUCCGAAUCUUAGAUGGAGACCUCGGGACCUCCCACUUCAUCACGGCCUCUAUCUUGGCCGGAUAUACCAAAAUACCCUUCUGGUUGACGAGGUGUCCAAGGAACUGCACCUCGCACAACUAGAACUCGCACUUGGAGAACUUCGCGAAAAGUCUCUUUUUCCUUAAAAUCUCUAGCACCUCCCUCAGGUGCUCCUCGUGCUACUCCUAAGUUUUGGAAUAAGCCAAGAUGUCAUCAAUGAAUACUAUCACUGAUCGAUCCAACAACGUCCUACAUACGCGGUUUAUGAGGUCCGUGAACGCGACUGGGGCGUUGGUGAGCCUAAAUGGCAUCACCACGAACUCAUAAUGACCGUACCGGGUCCUGAAAGCAGUUUUCUGCACAUCCUCAUCCCUGACUCUCAUCUGAUGAUACCCGGAGCGUAAAUCGAUCUUGGAAAACCAAGACGCUCCCUGCAGCUGAUCAAACAAAUCAUCUAUCCUUGGAGUGGGUAACGGUUCUUCACCGUUACCUUAUUUAACUCCUGAUAAUCAAUACACAUACGGUGCGGUCCGUCCUUCUUCUUCACAAACAAAAUCGGUGCUCCCCAGGGCGAACUGCUCGGCCUAAUAAAACCCUUGUCUAACAGCUCAUGCAGCUGCGUAGACAACUCUUACAUCUCUAGGGGAGCCAACCGAUACGGUGCCUUGGCUAUCGGAGCCGCACCAGGGAUUAGGUCAAUUCCGAACUCGACCUGCCUCUCGGGAGGUAUUCCAGGAAAAUCCUAUGGAAAUACAUCCGGGUAGUCUCGCAUUACCGGAACAUCAUCAACUGUUGUCUUUCCCUUCUCCCGGGCAUCUAAAACAUAGGCAACAUAACCGGCAUAACCCUACUGAAAAUAGCGCCUCGCUCUCGCCACUGAACAUAGAACUGGUCCGCACUGUGGCCUCUCGCCCUGAAUCACUAACUCUCCCCCACUAGGAGUGCGAACCCUCACCAACUGUAGCUCACAAUCUAUCACCGCCCCAUUGGGGCUCAGCCAAUCCAUGCCUACUAUGAACUUAUUCCCUCGCAAGGGAAUAGGGACCAAGUCCACCGGAAACUGCUCAUCGAAUAAUUGUAGGGAACACCCUCUGUGCAUCCUUGCAACCCUAACGGUCCUAUCAGCUGCUAUCUCAACCUCAAGUGGACAAUCUAGCUCCCAUGGAGCUUUGCUAAACCCCUUGCUAAGUGCAAGAGAGACGAAUGAUUGGGUAGCCCCCGAAUCAAACAAUACGGUAGCUGAUAUGCCGUUCACUGGGAACGACCCUAUACAAAACAUAUAACCAUAAGAAACAAUCAAUAAUAAAUGCAGAGGUACGGAGAAAAAAAAUACAUACCCGUCACCACGUCAGGAGUCGCUCGCGCCUCCCCUGCUGUCAACUGAAAAGCCCUACUCUUUGCCACUGGAGUCUCAGCUCGGCCCUGACGGCCAUCUGUAAUCCUCAAAGUAGCAGGGGCAGGGGCUGACACCUUCCCUGCAGCAGCUAAACCCGGACACUAGGACUACUUAUGUCCCCUCUGAUUGCAAUGGAAGCAAAUCAGAUCUGAUGCCGCAACGGCAGUAGUAGUGGCUAUACAAUCUCGGCUCAUAUGCCCAGUCCGACCGCACUUGUAGCAGCCAGCACUCCCUGCUUUGCACGCCCCAUCGUGCAAUCUCCCACACUUGCCACACCUAGCGUGGCUCCGCUGACUCCUAGCUCUGUGAUCUGAACCCUUGGGCUUUUUGCCCGAACUUCGUGAACCUGGAGCCGCCUCCGGCUUCCUCUUUCUCUCCAUCUCAAGGUCAAUCUCUCUCUCUCUCUCUCUCGCCCUAGCAAUCAUGUCAUCCAGCGUCUUACAGCUGGAUCGGCUCACGAACUGGCGGAUAUCACUCCGCAACAUCUCAUGAUAACGGGAUUUGUUCAUUUCCUCAUCAGGUCCGUACUGAGGAACAAGAAGAGCCCUCUCCCUGAACUUGGCGGUAAUCUCCGCCACUGUCUUUAUAGUCUGGGUAAGAUCCUGAAACUCUCUGGCUAACUGCUGCACCUCAAUGAUCGGUGAGAACUCAGCUCUGAACCUGGUAGUGAAAUCAGUCCAGGUCAUAGCAUCCAAAGUUGCGUCAUCCCCAAUGGCAUGACCAACCUCCUCCCACUAAUCCCAUGCCCUGUCCUUCAAGAGACAGCACGCCAAUCUGACCUUGUCCCCCUCAGGACAUCUGCUAGUGCGAAAAGCGUUGGCCACAUCUGCCAACCAUCUAGUACUCGCUAUGGGGUCUCGCGCCCCGUGAUAAUCCGGAGCUCCGCAUGCCCGGAACUCCCUAAAAGUAAGCGUGCGCGACCCCAUCAUGGCCGCUAUCUCAGCACAGAAGGUGCUCAACCUCUCAUCCAUCAACUCUAAGAUACCCUCCCUGAUCGAACCGAAGAUUACAAGAGUCUGCUCAAGUAUGGUGCGAGUAAUCUCUGAAGAGAGAAACUCCCUAGUCUGCUUAUCCAACUGCCCGGCCUCCGGGCCUGGUUCUGAUCCCCCUCCGACACCUGAACUGCCGACUGCUGGUCUAGGGCAUAAUACCACCAUUCUGAAACACAUAAAAAAAAGCAUCAGGAACACUGAUAUAUCUACGUACCCUUGGUCUCAUCUCAGCUUUUCUUGAUUCGACUACAGAUCCUCUGCUUUCAGUAGUACGGGCCCAUACUACCUUCCACAUAUAUCCGUACUUUCCUCAAGUACUGCCUCGACUCCACCAAGUCACUCCUACUACUACUGAUCUCUGCUACUCUCAUCCUAGGCUUGCCCUAGGGAAAUAUCUGACUCAACCUAACCGGUCCUCAACUGCUGUAGGCCUCCUUGUAAUGCCAAUUAACCUUUACCUGAAUACCAUCACAUGUGGCGAGGCUCAAAUAAUCCUUCGAGUAAAAGACUUGUCCUCACAACGGUUAGACUCAAACAAGAGUUGCGCAGCAGGGACAAAUCCAACACUCUGAGAUUAUUUAACCCUGAUCCCAUGUGACGUGACGUAUUCACCUAAUGGCUAAAUCUCAUUAUUCAGAGUCCCACAAAGCACAAAGCAAGAAGCAUUCGGACACAGGAAAUUACUCGAGCAAUUCUAUCCUCAUAACGAGAAACUGUACUAGCAUGCAAUUUAUAAGCUCAUACUAUCAGGCAUAGCCUAAACAGACUAUCCUACUGCUGUCUACUCAAUACUAACAUGCAAUUCUCAUAAAGCUGAAUCACAUAUAGCAGACACAUAAGGCAUCCUCCUAGAUCCUUAGCCCAAUUCUAGCAUGCUGUUCUACUAAAACUGAUAACUCAUAACAUAAACUCGUAUGGGUAAUUUGGGAGUACUUACUUGAGCUCGGCUGAUCGCAUGCACCACACCCCUUUUCUCUUUUCAAAGUCCUUUUCUUUCUACAAAUUUCUUUUCACUUUUCUAAAACUCUUUUCUUUUGAAAACAUUUUACCACUUCCUUAUUUUGAGUUCAGACACACCCGAAAGUGUGUCCGAAUCCCUCAAACCAAGGCUCUGAUACCAACUUGUAACAUCCAAAAAUACGACCCAAAAAUUUUUGUUUUAAAUAAUAAUAAAAUCAUAUUCCAAUCGUCACAUCAUAAAACCAUGUGUCAGUUAUCUCAACCCAUAAUAAAAUGUCAUGAACAUUUGUGCGAAAUCAAACUAUGAAUCAAAAUAAACUCCCAGGAAAAGACUGAAGCUGUGGUGUGUGCGAUGCCAUCAUCCCGAGCUCUUCCCUUUACUUACGGAAGCACCUGAAACCAAAACUGAAACUGUAAGCAUGAAGCUUAGUGAGCUCCCCCAAACUACCACAUACCAUACAAUAACAUAUAAAGCAUCUACUGGGCCUUGCCCACUGCAUCGGACCGAAGUCCGGAAACUUACCAGGGCCUUGCCCUCUGCAUUGGACUGAAGUCCGGAAACUAACCAGGGUCUUGCCCUCUGCAUCGGACCGAAGUCCGGAAACUGCAUUGGACCGGAGUCCGGAACUAACCAGGGCCUUGCCCUCUGCAUCAGAUCGAAGUCCGGAACUAACUGUAUCAGACCAAAGUCCGGAACUGAAUGGGACCUUGUCCCUUGCAUCGGAAUGAAGUCCGGAACUGACCGAACGUAACAUAGCAUAAACAUAUCAACUAGCAUGAAAACAUAUACUACAUACUACAUCGGAACAGAGUCCGGAACACAUAACACAAAACGUGCUUGAAUCACAAAGACGUCAAGCACUCUAACUACUGCAUCGGACCGAAGUCCGAAACUACUGCGAACUAAACGGGCCGACAUUGUGGCCGUAGACCCGUUCCUACUGGAAGGAAACUCACCUCGUGAUGCUGACCGAUGCACUCCUGAAUGAGAAAUCCCUGACUGCUGCUCCGGCUGCUUCCCAGCUAUAAUGGGAAAUAAAUACUAAAUCAGAAUAGGGAUUCCUCUAUGGGUAAAAUGACCAUUUUACCCCUACUAUGGUGUGAGACACAACAUGGCCCAAAACCUCAAUUCCUUCUAAGUCCAUCUAUGGCCCCACUAUAGGCCCACUAAUGGCCCAAUUUGCUAUUUUAGGCCUAGGACCCUUUUAUUGGGCCUUACCCAAGCCCAAUACUAAAUCCUUGGUCCUUAGCAACUGAAUUCUGAUGGGCCAUAAAGGCCCAAGGACCCUAAGCCUAAAACCCAGCCCACAUCGAGGCCCAACACUCGAAGCCCAAACUGGUAGCGUACGCGGGGUGUACACCAAGGUACGCUGAGCGUACUGGCUGCUGGAUUGUACGCGGCGCGUACUUCCUUGUACGCCCAGCGUACAACUCUGUUAAGCCAACAUCUCAUUAAGUGCUUAAUAAUUCGAACCAGAAGCUACAAAUCCAGAUCCUAAGCUUGUUCCAUGACUUAAGCUAUAAAGUUGCUUACUUGAUGGCUUACAAGUCUCAUAAAGGCUCAAACUUCCACAAAUAACAUUCUACUUCCAUAAAACCAACCAGAUCUCAUGCAUGGUUCCAUAUAAGCCACAAAGUUCGAAACUUUACUACUAUGGGGACACUUGAGCCUCAAGGAUAGCAAUCCCAAGCUCCAAAAACGAAGUUGCUAGAUAAAGGUCCUUCCUUUGGACCUUAAAGGUCCAAACUUCCAAAAACUCCGAGAUCUAAACUUACAAGAGGAAAGUUGGAAGCUUUAUACCUCUUUUGAAUGCCAAAAGAAAGGAUGAUCCUAGAUCUAUGAGCUCAAGGUGCUCAAGUUCUUCUUCUUCCACUUCUCUUCUUCUCAUUCUUCAUAAAAAUAAGCUCAAAGAUCAAACACAUACAAACAAGGAGCAAAGGGGACGAACUAGGGUUUCUCUGGAGUGAAUGAUAAGUGAGGAGUCCAAAUGGGAGGCUAUAAUGGGGUUUAAAUACGCCUCAACCCCUAAAAUUAGGGUUUGCCACUUGGUCGCGUACGCUGGGCGUACCUUAAGGUACGAUGCGCGUACGCUCAGCGUCCCCGCGUUUCAUUUGAGCAGUACGCCCAACGUACAAGGGGGUUACGCCCCGCGUACGGCUUAUGGGCUGCUUACUCUUCGGCCCAAAAUAAAGGUCCACUCACAAUAUUAAUUCAGUUAUGGCCCAAACUAAACUGAAGAAUUAAAUAACUUUUAUACCUCGGAAACGAUCGUUACACUUUUGAUUUUGGGCUUGGGCCUCGUCUUUUGGUUUAUGUUAUGUCAGGGGUAAAAUGGUCAUUUUACGCCAAGUGUGGAUUAUGGAUCAUGGUUUGGAAUUCAAUUGCUAACUAGAGGUUGUUUUGGUUAUUCUUAGUUUGGGAAAUCGUCAAGGCAGCAACUAGGGAUUUCGUGCAGUGAGCUUCUGCAUUCGAGGUGACUCUCCUCACUAUUUGUAUGGGUUGAAGGCACCAAAGCUAACUUAUUUGGUUUAUGUAUGGUAGGAAGACCCGGGGGUUAGCCCUUGGCACUAUAUAUGAAAGACCAUGAGGCAACUCCUAACACACUGUAUGCUAUUAGCUAAGUAGAGUAGAUUGUACACUAUUUGUCUUUGUGGUACUUGCAUGGAAGACCCGGAGAUGGUUACUGGCACUUGUCUAUAGGACCCAGGGGGUGGCCCCCGACUUGACAAGAAAGACCACGAGGCGGCCCGUGUCAUAACGGCAAGAGUAUGUGCAACACAUAGCAUCUUAUAUAACUAUGAUUGAUGUAUAGCUCAUGGUUAUGUAUGACAUGUAUGGAUAUGAUUGAUAUGUAUGUUAUGUGGUAUUUGGGGAACUCACUAAGCUUCAUGCAUGCAGUUUUCAGUUUUUGUUUCAGAUACCUCCAGUUUUCAAAUAAAGGAGCUCGGGACGAUCGCAAUGCAUAUACCCAUGUUUUUUUCGCAAUAUGUGAUCUUUGGGAUUAGACUCUGAUAUUAAUUUAAUUGAAAUGUUUUUAGUGUCCGAAACAAAGUUAUUAAGUGUUUUUCCUAUAUUAAAAAUGAAAAUUUUACCUUAGAUUUUUGGGUCGUUACAUUUUAAUUGACGUGGUAAGUGAUGUGGCAAGCUGUUAAUUGAAGUGGCAAAUGAUACCUGCUGACUUCCCUUUCAAAAUAGUGACCUUUUAACCCUUCUAAAUUGGACUUCAUAUCCUUAGAAAGAGAAAAAAAGACAUUUUAAACCAAAAGCUCUAAGUUAGUUGGGCUAUAGUGACAUUUUCCCCUAUAAGAUAUUGUUUAACAUUGGUGUAGUUUUUCUGUUUCUUAAGGUUUUAAUGAGUAAUAUACUUACGUUAGAAUGAAAACGCUCUCUGAUGCUUGAAAGGUUUGUAGAUUGAAACCCAUUUAAAAUGAAGAGGAACACGCAAUAAUUUAAAUCAUUGUAAUGUUAGUCUAGAAGAGACUGUUGAUUUAGUGAUGGCGUGAAAGUUGUUAAUAUAAAUGGUAGGUAGAGGAUUUUUCCCUAUAAAGUUUACCUUUAAUAGAAUCUUGAAUGACCUUUUGCUUACUGCAAUCAUGAUUCUGCCAAAGAAAUACUUAGAGCACAGAGUAGAUGUGGCCGUCUCCCUUGGGAAGAUUUCAAAGGAAACAACUGAAGAUUUACUACAUUGAAUAUUAUCCAGCAUCUAAGUUGUUCAGACAAAAGUUGUUAAAAUCAAAACAAAGAUAAAGAACACGGGCAGUUUAGUAAAUAAACAAAGUUACAAUUAAGAAGCCGAUAUAAACUUUUAUUAUAUAUUGACGACUAAAUAUAUUGUUAUACAUCUUUUGAUAUAAACUUUUAUUAUAUAUUGACGACUAAAUAUAUUCUUAUACAUCUUUUUUUCAUUUACCAAAAUGAUCAAAGCUUGAAAAAAUGUUUUUGAUUUUAUUAAGAAUAAGUAUUUUGUAUUUACACUGUAUUAUGAAAAUAUUUUGAUUUUCUAGUGCUUUAUGUGAUCUUCAAUUUUUUUUCAUGCCUAUCUAAAAUCCCAAUUUCUUAAAAUGACUCCUCAUAUUGUAAUAGAAAAGUAGACAAUAUAUAAUGAAUUAUGUUGUGAUUUGUAAUAUUUACUUCACGAGAUUUGGGGUUUAACAACCCAUAAUAUAAUCAUAAAGAUGUUAGAAACGCGUUAUAAAUUAAACAUGUCUUGACUGAUUUAAAGUUAUUCGCCUUUUAUAAUUGUUAAAUUCUUUGAACAAUAUGUUUGUGUAGUUUUAAAUCAAAACAAUCGUAUUUUCACUUUUUAACAAAAACAAAGUACUUUUCCUUUUAUUUUAUCACCAAAACAACAAUCUUAAUUAGUUUUAAGCCAAAAAUAGCCAUGUACUUAUAUUUUUAAGUCAAAGCAUGAAUGUAUUUAUAUUUUUAAUCCAAUAUAGUAAUGUAUUUUUAUAACAUUCGGCAAUCAUAUUAUAGAAGCAAAGAUAAUUUCCGGAAGUAAUCUUUGAUGAUUUCUAUUAAAAGGAUACUUUUCACAUUUCAAAUAAGAUAAUUUCCAUUAGUUGUAUGUUUUGCGUUUACAAUAAACAAGAGUCUUGGAAAAUCUUUAUCGAAUGUGGGGCUGUUUUUUUACAUUGUUCACUCAUAAGUUAAAAGCAUAAUUGAUUAAAAAUAUUAAUUUUAGAGAACGAUAGUAACUUAGCAAUAGGACAUCUAAUGUUGUAUUAAAAAAAAUCUUUGGAAUUUGUAAGUCAACACAAUUAUUUAAAAUAUCAAUAGUUUUUUUUUUUUUUUUUUUUUUUUUUUUUUUUUUUUUUUUUUUUUUUUUUUUAUUUUUUUUUUUUUUUUUUUUUUUUUUUUUUUUUUUUUUUAUUAUAGAUUGAAUUGCUUACUUAUUCACCAUUUUCUUUGUAUUUUUUUCAAAAUUUUAGUUUUAAAAUUGCUUAAUGUUUACAUCUUGAUAUUUAAUUUAAUUUUAAUCAACAUGUGUAGUAUACAGGUUUCACACCUAGUAUAAUUAAAGAGAAAGUGCCAUGUGGACGCCACUUAAACCUCCAUGUAAGUAAGUUCUAUAUGGAAUGUCACGUCAUCUUAUAACAGGCUAUCCCAUUCUUCCUUCUAAUAAUGACCUUUUUGAUAUAUUUCUUGAAAGUUUAGGACUUUGAAUGACAAAAAGAUAAACGAGUGACCAAAUGAGAUCAAAACCUAUAUAAGUUGUGGGGAAACAGUGACAUCAACCCAAAACACAAAACUAUCAUCCAUAAUAACACUAACAAAACUUUCCGCUUUGCUCUUUAAUUUUGAAUCGUCACAUGAUUUUCAUAAUUCACAACCUGGAACAAAGAUUUCACAGUUAAAUUUGGAAAACUAGCAAGCAAUAUUUUCCAUCGUUUAGGAGAACUUGGAAAAAAUGCAAGUUCAGAUGGUAUUUAGUACCUUUUAAUCUCAACAGUUUCUUUCUGAAAACUAGUUGAUCUGUAGGGGCCAUGUGCUGCAAAUAGAACAGACAAGUCAAUAGUAGAAACUAUAAACUCAAGUGUAAAUUACAAUUUCGAUUUCCAUUUAUAACUGAUGCAAAGAGCCAAAACUAAUCAUGUUUACAUUAUGAAAUGUAAUGGAAGUGCAACUGCUAUCGAAAUAUGAUAUCUAAUGGAUUCUAACUUACACCAUUACUAAACCGGCGACUCGGUUUCAAAUGAAAUCGAUUUGUAUGAAACCAUUUUUUUCUACACCAGUCCGGUUCGGUUUUUGGCUUUUUAGUGUCCCUCUAACUUUCUUCUUGUUUUUUAGAUGCUACGAAGUGUAUUGAAUUUUGUAGGAUAUCUUAUUUCAUACAAAACAGAGAAAAUGGCCACCCAUGGUUUUGGUGGCAACUUUAUUAAUAUGGAGGGCUUAAAACCUCCAGCAAAAUUACAUACUGGAAAAUAAGAAAUCAAAAAUAAAAACUAGAUGACAAACUGUGUUUAUCUAGCUUUAUGCAAACUUGAAAUGCGCAUCAGCACCUUCACCUAAACCCAAUCUUUGCAGCUAUCAAAAAAGUGAAAAAAUGCACGUCUCCCUCGGUGGUUGAGAAGUAAAGCACCACAUGCUAUCCAAAAUCCAAUAGCAAAACCAGUUCCCCCACCAGCAUAAAACCAUCCCCAAAAUUCAUCUAUGUCUUUCGCAUCACUCUUACUUUUACCAACGAUUGGUGGGACUUCUGAUUCUUCGUCUCCAGGACACUUUUUGGUAAGGGGAAGUCCACAUAGUUGUGAAUUCCCAUCAUAUCUUGAAGGUUCAAAGGACUGGAGUUGAGUGCUAGAUGGAAUUCUCCCUGAAAAGUUAUUAAAUGACAAGUCUAGGUCAUUCAGUAAAGUCAUCUGAGACAUGCUUGAUGGUAUCUGCCCUGAAAAACUGUUUCUAGACAAAUCCAAAGUCAGAAGUUUUUUCAUCUCACCAAUUUUCUGUGGAAUCUCUCCAAAUAGAGAGUUCUUUGACAAGCUCAGGGCAAUCAAGUCUGAAAGAUUGGUAAUUUCAUAUGGGAUUUGUCCUGUUAACUUGUUGCUUGACAGGUCAAUGGUCUUCAACAAUUUCAGAGUGUUAAAGAAUUCAUGUUCAUCUCCUUGCCACUCAAUCAUUGCAUGGUCAACAUAUAUCCCCGAUCCAUAUGCAACACCUCUUACAAGUGUAUAAAACUUUACAUCUUGUGAGAAUCUUGGUUGAAUCAUGCUCGUAAGAUUACUAAAACAUGAGGGGAUGGUUCCUUGAAGAUUGUUCAUUGACAAGUCCAAAAUUUGAAGAUUAGCUAACUGACAUAAUUGUAAAGGGAUGGUUCCAAAGAAGUUGUUUGAUCUUAGGAUAAGAACAUACAGCCCUGAUAGGUUUUCUCCUAUCCAAACAGGCACAUUACCAGAAAACUUGUUGGCCCCCAAAUUCAAUGAGAUUAAACUUGUGCAAUUUUUUAAAGACAAAGGCAAUUCUCCAGAGAAGUUGUUAUCGUAUACAUACAACACCUGGAGAUCUGUCAAAAAUCCAAUAGAGGGAGGAAGCCUUCCAAAGAGAUUGUUGUGUCCGAGAUUAAGAACUUUUAGCUCUCUGAAAUGCCACAAACAGUCUGGGAGUUGUCCAAUAAAUAUGUUGCGAGAGAGGUCAAGAAAUGAAGAGAACCCAUCAACAAUCUGACAUAUAAAGGAGAUCCCUCCAGAGAAUUUGUUUCUGGAAAGAUUUAAUAAUGACAAAGUAGAAGAAACAUUUAGUAUCGCACCGUGAAAGUUGUUGGAACUCAAAUCUAUCUUUGAACCGUUGGCAAAACUUGAUAAUAAAUCUGGUACUUUCCCGCUAAUGUUGUUGGAAGAGAGAUUCAGAUAUUUUAAUUGAGAAGGCCAUGUGGCCCAAAACUCGAGAGGAAUUGUGUCUGAAAUUCCAGUAUUGGAAAGAUCAAGACGGGUAAGAUUUUUGAGUGUCUGAAUCCAUUUGGGGAAGCGAGGCCCUACCUUGCAAGAGCUUACAUAAAUUUCCUUUACAUAAGAAAGGCUUGGCAAGUGAUAUGUGGAAGGAACUGUAAGAUUAUUAAAAGAAACGUCAAGCAAUCCAAGCCCCGGUAGUUCCCACAGUUUGUCACUUAUAAUUCCAUUUAAGUGAUUAUGAGAUAAGUCCAAGUACUCUAGGGAUGAAAACUUUUGGAUAUCAUUGGACAAUGAUCCUAUAAAUUGGCUAUCAGAAGCAUCCAACCAUUGUAAUGAAAGGGAUGUGCAUCCAGACAAGUUGUUGAGAAAAUCAGGAAAUUGGACAGCAGCCGAGUUGUUACUGAUUUCCAAAUACUCCAAGCUACAGAGGUUACCAAGAUAUUUGGGUAUCCCAUCUAACAUGUUGUAAGAGAGAUCAAGAUAGCCAAGCUUAUUGCUGGUUAAUAGGAACAACCAACGAUACAUGGAUGAGGUGAGACUGUUGUUUCCAAGAUAAAGGCCUUCAAUAGAUGAAGAAGAAGAAGAAGAGUUGAGAAAUGAAGAAGAAUAUGGAUACAUCACCUGUGACAGCUCACAUCCCUCUAAAGAUAAAUAUGAGAGUUUCCGGAGACUCAGAAUUACAUCUACCCAGUGAUUUUGUUUGGCUAGGGAAAUCCCAUCUAAUUCAAGUUUCUCCAAAUGAGACAGAUUAGACAACCACUCUAUCUUUUCAACUCUACAUCUUCCAACGUAACUAAGUUGAAGGUGUUGCAAGUUGGUGAGGUUUUCAAAUUCUGGAGGAAUGGUUCCAUAAAAGGAGUUAUGGGAAAGGUCAAGGUAAAUUAAUUGGGUCAUGGAACCAAUGAAGAUGGGAAUGUUUCCAUGAAAAGAAUUGAUGGAAAGAUCCAAAUGAUUCAAAUAGCUUAAAUUAAGCAAAGAAUGGCUAAUCUCACCUACAAGACCAGAGUUGCUGAUUUCAAGCUUUGUAACAUGACCUGUUUGGUUGUUGCACGUAAUUCCUCUCCAUUUACAGCAGUCAUGUUCGUCAGCUGUCCAAGUAGAGAGACCACCAUCAGGGUCUUUAAGGGGAGCUUUAAAAAGAAGGAGAGCGUGUAUCUCCUUAUCCAAACACUUGUUCAUCACAACAUCUGCAUCAACCCCUCCUUUUCCCACUCUUACCAAUUGGCUGGAAGUUGUAGUCACAGUGAGUAGCAAAAGAAGUGAGAAAAUUAUAAAAACACAAGGAGUCAUAAUGUCUAAAUGAAACUCUUGCUGAUUUUUUGGUUUGUAUAUCAACUGCCCUCAUGAGGGUUUAUAUAGUCUCAACUGUGAGGAUGAAUGAUUCUAAGUAGGUGAUCUCAAACUGGUGGCAUACGUGUUUGGAGCAAAGAGCAAGGCAAAUUAAAAAUGACGAAUUGGAAUAAAUUGCCCCGGAUUAGACGUUCAUAGACCUAGAAGUCUUGGUCGUUUGUAUUUAUUAUCUAUUAUAAUACCCAAGAAAACAAAGUAACGAAAUCAAAUGCCAAUCUACCAUGAAAAUAGUAAAAAUAUUAUUUGGGUCUCUUUAUAAAGUGAUGUUGAAUACAGAUUACUUUUUAUUUUAGUAGUGUUAUCAGUAGAUAGAGCAAAAACUUUAUCGACAUACAAACAAAUCAAAAUUUAAAAGCAAACACUCAAUUAAACCCCAAUUCAACAGCAAUCACGAAUCUCGCAUUCCCCCUUCAUUAUUAUACAAUUUAUGUUUCUGCCUGGAGAUAUAGCACGCAAUAAAAUAGAGAACAGAGAUAAAGAGAACAAAUGCGCUGAGUACCUGUGAUCUGCUGAUAAUUUACCUGAUGGAAAACCAAGAAGAUGACAACGGUAGCGGCAAGGUGGGAGAUAAAAGCAACGACUUCGGAUGUAAGAAUGCGAUAAAUUCAAAAUCCGCUAAAUAUUCUUUUAUGAUGAUUAUUCAUUUUAUAAUUAUAAGUCGAUAGUGACUUAAAAAAAUUAAAAAUGUAUUAUAUAUAUAUANCAUAUUAAAACACAUUUAAAGAAUCUUAGGUACAACUUAAUUAUAUAUAAAACUAGGUUAUAACCCGUGGACACAACGGGUGAAAAUUUUAAAAUUAAUUUUAAUUUAUUUAUAAAUUAAUUAUUGAAAAUUUUAAAAAUAAUUUAAAUUAAUUAAUAACAUAAUUAUUGAGUGAUGUUUUGUCAGUAAUUUCAUAAUAAUAUAAUGUUCGGUUGAAACUAAGAAUUCAAAAAUGUUUAAAUAUCCAAUUAGCAAUUUGUAUUUGUAGAUAUGUUAGAAAAUUAUCAUUUUGUAUAAUGCAAUAAAAUUUAAAUAAAAUGGAAAGAUAAAUUGAUAUACAUAAUAAAAGUAUACGCAGUUUUAUAUAUUUGUAAAAAGUAAUUUAACAUAACAUUGGAUAGUUUAUUUGCAUGACAAAUUUGAUAUAUGACAAUCUGGUCUCCAUGAUCCAAGUAAUCUGUUGAAUCUCAUAAAUAAAUUAAAAAUAAUGAAUAUAAUUAAAUAUAUUAAAUAAAAAUAUUAAAUUUUCUAUAUUUAUGAUCACCUUGUGAAGUACCGCGAAAAACAUAUUCAAUAAUAUGGUCAUCAUUAAUUUCUUCAUCUAAUGUCAAGUCAAUCAUAGAUAUAGCAGAUAUGUGUGUAGUCUUUCUUUUUAAUUGAUGUUUUUCCUUUUGGUAACUUGAUUGAUGAAGAUUUUUGAGUGAUGGUUGAAUGACCGGUAGAUGUCAUGCGAAUACCCAACAAUGGAUUAUCAUUGUUAAUAAAUAGCGGUGUUUGAAUGUUAUUAUGAAAAAUAUAAUUUCCUGAAAAAAUAAAAAUACAAAUUAUAACGUUAGGAGUUUGUAUAAAUUAUAUAACUGGUAAACAUAUAUUUUAGAAUCUGUCUAUAAAGAAAUGCAUACCAUUUGAAAUGUUAGAUAAAGGAGUUCUAACAUUUAUAUCUGCAGACUGAGAAUGAAUAGCUUUAUGUUGAUAUACAAAUGAUUUGACUGAGUUUAGAUUUUCGUUAUCUGAUGUAACGUUUCUGUAGUUAUCUAUAGAUACUAAAUGACUACAACGAUUGUAGAUAUCUGUUAUGAAAUAUUGUUAGUAAUAAAAUCAAUAAAAUUAAUUAUAAAAAAACAAUUAAACUUUAGAAUUUAGCAAUUUGAUAUAAUUUAUAUAGUUCAAAAAGAAUUAUAAAAUAAAAGAAUAACAAUACCGUUAUUUAAUAUGUAAGAAACAUGUGUAAUAGGUGAUUUUUGAUGGGUAGAUGUGUUAGAAUUUACUUUGGAUUUUUUAUUAUUCAAAUAUGACUUUCUAAUUUUUCUCCUUUCUUUAGCGUUUAUAGAAGCUGUAGUGUUAAUUGAACCUGUAAAAUAAUAGUAAAUAAUUUAAGAACAUUUUUUAUAUAAAAUUAAAUAUAUUAUAUUUUAUAAAAAUUUAUUUANNNNNNNNNNNNNNNNNNNNNNNNNNNNNNNNNNNNNNNNNNNNNNNNNNNNNNNNNNNNNNNNNNNNNNNNNNNNNNNNNNNNNNNNNNNNNNNNNNNNNNNNNNNNNNNNNNNNNNNNNNNNNNNNNNNNNNNNNNNNNNNNNNNNNNNNNNNNNNNNNNNNNNNNNNNNNNNNNNNNNNNNNNNNNNNNNNNNNNNNNNNNNNNNNNNNNNNNNNNNNNNNNNNNNNNNNNNNNNNNNNNNNNNNNNNNNNNNNNNNNNNNNNNNNNNNNNNNNNNNNNNNNNNNNNNNNNNNNNNNNNNNNNNNNNNNNNNNNNNNNNNNNNNNNNNNNNNNNNNNNNNNNNNNNNNNNNNNNNNNNNNNNNNNNNNNNNNNNNNNNNNNNNNNNNNNNNNNNNNNNNNNNNNNNNNNNNNNNNNNNNNNNNNNNNNNNNNNNNNNNNNNNNNNNNNNNNNNNNNNNNNNNNNNNNNNNNNNNNNNNNNNNNNNNNNNNNNNNNNNNNNNNNNNNNNNNNNNNNNNNNNNNNNNNNNNNNNNNNNNNNNNNNNNNNNNNNNNNNNNNNNNNNNNNNNNNNNNNNNNNNNNNNNNNNNNNNNNNNNNNNNNNNNNNNNNNNNNNNNNNNNNNNNNNNNNNNNNNNNNNNNNNNNNNNNNNNNNNNNNNNNNNNNNNNNNNNNNNNNNNNNNNNNNNNNNNNNNNNNNNNNNNNNNNNNNNNNNNNNNNNNNNNNNNNNNNNNNNNNNNNNCACAUAUAUAUAUAUAUAUAUAUAUAUAUAUAUAUAUAUAUAUAUAUAUAUUGAAAAUUCCACUAAAGCUAAUGUAUUCAAAUGUUUAAGAUAUUCGGGUUGACAUUUAAAACCGUAUUUAUGCAUAAAGUAAAUCAAAUACAUGAGAAAUUAAAUAAAUUUAAUUUUAACCAUUUUAAAGAUUAUUCAUAAUUUUUUAUUUAUAAUAAAACCCACCUACAAGUUAUCACUAUUCCCCAAACUUUCCCCUUUCCCUUUUGUCUGUAACACACACGAUGAAACAAAAAACCCAACCUAGAAUUUUGAUUACAUACACAUUUCCAUAGCCACAGUUCGAUUUCUUAAAGAUUGUGAACAUUUAUCCAUGUAUAUCGAUAAAGGAAGAUACUAAUAUACCACCGAUUAGAAAUGUGAAGUGAAGAAAAGCUUACGUUGAGUAAUCUUGCUGUCGAACUCAGAGACUGGUUGAACGCAACAUUGGGGUUUGAAGAAAGCAAGAUUCAAGGUAAGAGAUGAUCAACUGAUGGUUAAUCUUAGUUUUUUUAACAGAAAAUAGAUUAUGUUGAAGAAAAUUUACAUGUUUUUCUUUGUUCCAGAAAUGUUGUGACUGAAGAUAUAAGCGAAAAGUUAAGCCGUUCAAAAGAAUAAACUCACAUUCGUUAAUAGCGGAAACACAAUAAGGUAGAAAUGGUUUUGGUUCGAUUUUUGAAAUUUGAGUGUUUGUUUAAACAUUUAAAUUUUGAAAUUGCUAAAUUUUAGACAAAAUCUCGUUAAUGAUUAUUUAGGGGAUCAUAUGAGUAAAUAAAACAAUUAUUUUCUUUGAUAUACCUUCUAAAUUAUAUAAGUUUUGUAUCAUUGUAUAGUAAGGUUUUCAAUUUUAUGUAUAAUACAAAUAAUCCAUAUCUGAUCCAUAUUUCAGUUGUGAUCAAGAAUCGAUGUUUUGGUGGGUCACUGUGUGUCAAGAUACUUAUAUUAGUUUAAAUCAUUGUUCAUUUUUAUCAAACUUUAUCUUUUUGCAUACCUUUAAUCCCUAUUUCAAUCAAAAUCACUUAGUUUUUACUACUGCUUCAUUAUCUUGCAGGCCAAUAAAAAUGGUAUGUGAUAAAUUACAGAAAUCCAUAUAAGUUAUAUUAGAUUGCAAUAUACCAUAGCCAAGGGCAACGAACAUUGAAAUGUAAUAAACUUAAAAAGUGAGUUAUUUUAUGCACCAAUCCAUGUCUAAUUGUCUAAUGGUAUAAUUCUGCUAUUGAUAAUUAUUUAUUAUCUAUAUAUCACAUUAGAUAUUAUAUUAUUUAAGUAUUUAUAAUACAGAUGAAUAGUUAAUUAGAUUAAAAGGUUAGGAAGGGAAAGAUUCCAAACUCCAUUAUUGAAAAAGGAAUGGUUUUCCCUUUUUGCUUUCACGUAGCUGGUUGGAAAAGUGGACAGUGCUCAGCUUAUUUGACAACAAAGUGUAUUAGUAAUAUGAUUCAAAUGGUUGAUUGAUGAUAUAGUUUAUUAAAACUCUUAUUACUUGAUGUAUAAGUGCAUGCAUAGAUGUUUAUUUAGGAUUUUAUGCAGAAGGGUUAAAAUGAAAAAUAACAAUGCUUCUUUUAUUAAUUAGAUUUGUUUAUCAUUAAUUAUAUUGCCUAAAACAUAGCAAUCGGUACAAUUAAUUUAUAUGUUAAAUUCAAUUAUUUGUAUCAAACACAUUUUAAUUGAAUAUCGAAACCUUGGGGGCUAUUUGAGUUGCAUAAUAUUUUAGAAUGUAUUGAAUCUGUUAAUACACAAUUCUUUAUUAAAAGACAACCCUAAGNCACAAUUCUUCAUUAAAAGAUGGCAACCCUAAGAUGAUAUUUAGUUGAGAUAAAAAUUUUGUGUUUUAUUUAUUUAUAUUUCUUAUUAUUUAACAUAUCUUUUAAUCAACAUAUGUAAUACACAAUAUUUAGUAUUUUAUACCCAAUAUUCUUAAAUUGACAGGUAGGUGGUAUGUGUAGCCUAGACAAAUGAUAAUUGGACAAAAAUGGUAAUGAACUUUAAUUAUGUUAAUUUUUCGUUAGGUAUCGUACCUUUAUUUAUUCCUAUUAUAACAUUCUACUAUCAAAAAAUUGUUGUUUACACUUUUAUAGCAAUAUAUAUUAAUUUUUCUCUUAAACCACUAAAUCAAUAACUGUUUCUCUCACUCCAGGAGGAAUAAUUGGUUCCAAAAUAAGCAUUGUAUUUUGAAAUGUGCUAUAGGUAGCAAUAUAUAUUACUUAACUAACAAAAUUAAUAAUUUCUUGUUUUCUUUAGAUAUGGAAGAAUCUAAAGUUGUGGGCACCAUUCUUGAAAUGUGGUUAGCUAACAAAACCUCAAUCUUUUAGGGCUUUACUUCAGGUAAUAAUAAUAUGAUUGAAAUUUUUUGUAUUUGUUUUCGUUUUUGUAAAUAUUUGAUUUGUGAAAUUUAAAUUGUGUUAUUUUCGUCCUCCUACAAAGCUGGAAAUAUCAAUGAAUAAACAACCUGUAAUCAACCAGAAUUAAGAUCUUCGGUCAAUCUCAUUUUGAAGCACAAUCACAAUCAAAGACUAGGCUACUUUAGAAUAGGAAUAAGAAACACCCAAAUUCAAAGUCAAAUGUAAACAACUGCUACAAAUAGAAGUCUAUAUAAUAUAUGUUUGAAAAUUAAAAAAUAAAUGUGGUGUAUGUUAAAUAACAAAAUUAUUCCAAGAUCAUAAGUGACUUAAAUAACAAAAUUAUUUCUAAAUCAUAAAUUAACAUUCAUAAUAAUAUAUUAUGAAUGUAGGUUAAACAUACUAAUAAAAAACAAUCAUCCCCAACAAAUGUUUGAAAAUUCUAAAACAAAACGUGAAAGUACUUAAUGAAAAGUAAAAUGCAUAAUCAUUGUCUAUAAAUCAUAAUCCAAUACCUAAUGAAACUUAAACUUAAAAUAAAAAGCCAACCACUUUUUUCCAACUUUACCUUCACAAUUUGGUUAAUGCGUCCUUCUGGCGAUAUUUUAGGAGUUUUUGAUGAUGAUAAAUGUUCGUUCAACUCCAGAUCAAACACUUCUUCCAGAUUUCUCUUCAAAACAGUUGGUAUAUUGAAACCCUUCAUGGGACUUGUUGCUGAGUUUUUAUCAACAGUGUAAGGUGUUAUGUUGUCGUCUGUCCUAGAAAUUGCAUCCUAAAAAAAUUUGUACUUAAUUAAUUUAUAAUCUGAACUUAUAUUUAUAAAAUAAUUAUAUGUUAUUAUAAAGUGUAUAUAACCUUCAAAAUCUUAUUAUCUUGUGAUUCAGAAUCAGCUUCACCAAUAUCAAAUGAUUGUGAAUUACCUACCUGCAUAAUAAAUAAUAAAAAAUAUGAACACAUAUAAUAAUAAUAAUAAUAAUAAUAAUAAUAAUAAUAAUAAUAAUAAUAAUAAUAAAAUAAUAGUAGUUAUAGUAAUACAUAGUAUAAUGAUAAUAAUAAUAAUAAUAAAUCUUUUUAUAAGAAUAGUAAAAAUAUUAAGCAUAAUAAUAAUAAAUAAAUUAAUGACCUGUGAAACGGUAAACUUAUUUUCGAGUUCUUCAAUCAAUUUUUCAUCAUCACUGACUCUACAUAUACUGUAUUGGUUGUUUUUUUCGAGACAUUGAAGGGACUGAUUGAUAUUUUAAAAGCCAACUUCAAACCUUUCAAUGCAUUUAUCUCUCCGGGAUAAAGUUGAGUACUAAAACCAAGCUACAAUAAAAAAAAAAGUAAAAAAAAAUUAGUUAAACUAAAUAUAUUAAGUAGAUGUAUCAUUUAAUUUUAAUCAAGGAAGACGACCUUGACUGUUUUUUUAAACAGAUCAUGGGCUGAUUUUUUCAAAAGAUACGUUCCAUCUCUUUCAAACAUGGUUAAGGUAAGAGUACCAGUAUUGUCUUGCACACGUAUCGGAAUCUUAUAUCUAUAAAAAAAGGAAAAUCCAAAAUAUAUUUAUUACAAUAUAAAAUAUAAUAUAGGUUUUAAUGAUUCAGGAGGAAAAUAAUAACCUCGGAAUAACCGUAGUUUUGUUUUUUGUGCAAUCCUUAUUAUGACAUUCAUAACCGGUUAAUCCUUCAUCAUCAACUUGAUCUUUUGGACCAGGAGGCCGAAUUGCUUUGUAGUUGCAAUUUGUACAUGCCAAAUAAUGCCAUGGUUCAUUUUGUAAAAUUCCCUUUAUAGUGCCCAUGAUAAUGAAAGUAUUUUUCUGCAUAUUAAUUUUAUUUUGAUUAUGCAAUAUACAUAACAAAAAAGUAGGUUUAUAAAUAUUAUAAAAUAUAUAAAAACCACACCUCCACAGGUUCUGAAACAUCAACAAUUGUCUUCAACUGAAACUUAACCAUGAAAUCAUCGUGUUCAGAAACUUAUUAGACUUCAUAAGUGUGAAUGUAUUUGUGGAUGAAUCAGGACGAUCAUCUCCAUCCAAAUUGUUUGUUAAAAAAAAAUUAACUAAUAUUAGUCACAUAAAAAUUAAUUGUAGAAAUUUGAAUGAAAUAAAGAAAAGUAAAUAAUAUUAAUCACAUAAAAGAUAAAUAUAGAAAUUAUAAUGAAAUAACACAAAUGACUAAUAUUAAUCACAUAUAACUAAUAUUAGUGACAUAAAAGUUAAUCGGAGAAAUUAGAAUUAUAUAACAUAAAAUACAUUUUCUUAAAAACAUUGAUUUCAUCAAUGUUUGUGUUAAUGAAUAGCUUCGACACGGAAAAAUAGGUGUUAACUGUGGGACGAUCUAUAAAAAAGAUUUUAAUAAGUGUUAAUUUAAUGAUUAAAAAAAUAAUUAAUAACAAAAUACUAUAGUAUACCUCUCCAAAUACUAAGUUUCGCAAAUUGAAUGAUAACGAUGAUACGAAGAUUGUGUGGAUUGUUAUCAAGAAACCCUUGCAUUUUGUAAGAAAAAUCACCCCACAAAUUGACACUUAGUUGGAAACCAUGCCAAAUAAAAGUUUUAAAUUAAAUGAAAUUAUAAUUAGAUAAUCUAAUAUCCAAAAAAAUAAAAUAAAAUAUAAAAUAACAAACUUUGCAUCUUGGAUUUGGAUGUUGAGUCUGUGUUUUUUGAUAUCAUCAUUGUCUCUCCCCAUCUCACCAAUUGCAACGACCAAUCCAAUAACAUCUAUGAACAUCAAAAAAGAUGAAUUAAAUUUUGUUAUGAUUUUAAAAAUAUGAUAUACUAUUCAAACCAUAAAAUUGACAAUAAUUAAUCUAUAACAAAUUGCAACUAAUCGAUAGCGGUGUUUUCAGGAUGGGUCAAUGAGAUAAUAGACUGGUAAUCAAUAAAUUCAAAACCAAACGCAGGUCCAGAAAAGUCAUGACACUCCGUAAGAACGAUGUUAUGGACAAAAGUAAGUUUAUGAUGUUGCCGAGUUAAAGUAAAACCACCCAUCCUUUGAGAUUCAAAGCUUGAACAUUGUAUGUAAAAUGCCAAGCCAUCUUUUAGAAUGUUUUUGAAUCGAUAGAUGUUUUUUCUUAAUACAUUUACUUGGAUCUUAGUACCCUAAAAGAAGUAUGAUAUAUAAAAUUAUCAUCAAAUCAUAUUAAACUUUGAAUGUGUAAUGAAUAUAUAGUGUGAAGUUGUAAAAUACCUGUUCAUCUAUUAAGAUUAAUUCAAUCGAGAAAAAUUCAUCCUUGUUAUACAAUGAAAAAAGGUUUCAUAGGUUUAUCACUUUAACUUUGAUAGUCAAAUCAUCUUUAAAUAUAUCUAAAUCCGAAAUCAAAGUAACAUUUGGCUGUGCCAUUUCUUUGCACAGAAAAAUCAACAUAUAUAAAAUGACACGGAUGGAAAAACAAAUGUAAAACAAGUUGAACUAAUUAUCAAAGAACAACCAAGCCGAUAACCUAAUGUAAAAUGACAGGAAAUCAAAAUACAGUAAAAAUAGUAAUGAAAUGAAAUUCAAAAUAAUGAAUAUACAGAUCAAGUAAAAUCUAUAUCCAUACUCUUUUAGUUGUGUUAUACAAUUUGUUGCUGAAAAACCAUAAUCUUUUAGUUCUGUUAUACAAUUUAUCAAAAAAAGACAAAUUAUAUAUAAUUUUGUUAUAUAAUUUGUUGCUGAAUAAAAGUUGUCAAAAAAAAAAAGACAAAAAUUAUAUAUAAUUCCAUUAUAUAAUUUGUUGUUGAAUAAAAGUUGUCAUGGGACUAUUCACGUAAAAAUAACCAAUUCGUUUAUCCACUCAUAAAAUGCAUAGUUAUCAUGGUUUUCGUGUAGCAUUAGAGUAGAUAGCAAUUGCCAUGUGAAACAGUGAAAGCAAUGAAUGGAUUGAAUGAAAUGUAAAAUCAAAUUAUUGAAACAUAUUGUGAAAACAUAUAAUAAAAAAUAACAACUUUUAAAACCGUACCUUCAUUGCGUGCAAAUAUAGCAAGAAUGACAGUCAAUUAAUUGAUGUAAACAUAUGUUCAAGAAACAAAGGCAAAGAAACGAAUUACAUUCUAAACGAAUUACUAUUCUGCAACUAGAUUACGGCAUCACUCUUCUAGGAUUGUAGAGUAUUGUGUUGGAUCCUAGACUCAAUGUUUCAUUUGGGUGUCACAUCGAGGAUCCUGAUCAACUUGACUUGAAUUUUCUCGCAUUUUGUAUAUGUCAAAGUAUGACAACUAUGGUCUUCCCAAAUCCCAUCGAACAAGUUUUCCACAUGAAGAUGAUAUUUCACGAUUCGAUCGGGGAACAAGAGAUCAUGCUUUACUUCCUCCACCUCCUCCAAUUAUUCUCCCAAACCCACAAGUUCAAAGGCUUGAAAAGUUCAAGCUCACUCAAGCCCUUUUGGCAAGUAAACAUGGGAAACCUAUGUGUGUACACGUCUUAGAGAUGAAGUCACACAUUGAUAGGUUAAGGAUGUUGGGUGUCGAGAUUUUAGGUAAGUUGGCUGUUGACUGGGUUCUUCAGUCGCUUCCUGAAUCAUAUAGUGAGUUCGUUAGAGAGUACUAUAUGAUGGAUCAUGACGUGACCCUCAUUGAUUUGACCUAUUUGCUUAUAGCUGCUGAAUCAGCAAUGAUUUGGCAAGUUAGUCGAGCAAAUUUGUCCGGUGAAUCAAAAUCCCAAACUUCAAUGGACAUUGAAAAUGGUGACAUUGGAGAACCAGAAAAAGUAGAUUCUGAGAUUGUUUCUUGUGCCAUUCCAAAAGAGUCCAUUUGCUUAUAUUGCCAAGAAAAGGAGCAUUGGAGACGAAGCUGCUCUAUUUACCUAAGAGAUCUAAGAUAUGGGAGAGUCAAAACAUAUGGCUCUACUUUAUGUGAAAUCCAUUAACUAACUCUUUUAAGUUCCUAUUCUAGAUUCUUGAUACAUGAUGUGAUAAGAUUACAUUUUGAUGUUUUGUAGGAUCGAAGAAAAGAAAGGAAGCUUAAGGGAAGAAGUGAAGCUGAAUCUAAUCGUGAAGAAAUGGAUUUCGAUCGCAUUGCUUGAAGAUUAGAUUCUUAAGCUACUACUUGGAGUUAAAAUAGAUUGCUUAGGAAUAUGUAACAACAUAGUUUUUCAGUUAAAUUGCAUUGUAAGGACAAAUUUUUCCGCAAUAAAAUAAAUUUUGAUUUUUAUAUUAUUUAUUUAUCCUUGCAAUGGCGUAUAUGAAAAAUUGAUGUUUGCAAGUUUCUAUUAUUAGCAAUAAUGGAUUUGAUUCUUAAUUAUGUUAUUUGUGGAAAUGUCAAAAGUUUACCAAAUAGGGAGAGUUUCUCAUCGCCCAAGUUUCAAUUGGACAGAAACUUGGAAUCAUGCAAUGUGUAUUGUAUGAUGAAUGAAAAACUUUCACAUUUGGGAAACUUAGACUAAUUCUUUGACAAAGUGUCAAUUGAAGGACUAGGAGAUCGAGUACACUAGGUCGUACGUUGAUCAAGUCUACCACAAGAGUGACAAAGAUAUUCGUCAUGAUUUACUAAAGUUUAGUAAAUAUGGUUAUACUUAUAAGAUUGAGUAUAAUUCUGAGUUAACUGAAAUAGUUUCAAUCAAUAGCAGAACGAAUAAGAAGAAUCAAGAAGGCAGAAAGAUAAAAGUUUCUCCAUUCUAAGAAGAAGGGAGAGUACCUUUUAUUGUGUUUUAUGAUGAAGUCUUAAUGAUUAAGAACCAUAUCUCAAUUGAUCCUCUAAGUGAGUCUUAGUGCAUUUGCAUGUCUAAGAAGAGGAAUCGAGAAUUGUAGAAAUGGUUAAAUCAAAGAGUCAAUCAUACUUCGUUCCAAUAUCAAGUCUUAGAGUCAUACUCCAAGAUUGUGACAUUGAGUGACAAGUCUUAAGUAGGUUUAUAACACUCAUCAAAUGUGGAAUUUGGAAAAGUUUUCUUAUUCUUGCACAUUAGAAAUUGGUAAGUUGUGAUGUCUUGGAUAAGACAAAGACCAACUAGGACCAAUUUGUGAAGUGUUUUGUCUUGAUAAGAACUACACUAACUCUUGAAUAUUUGCUUUGUCAAGAAAUGUUUCUUGACAAGAGAAUCUUAUAUGUCAAGGAGUCAGUGGGAGUCUUAAUGGUCUUGAAAGGUUUCAAGAACAAAUCAAGAAUAUACCUUAUCGAUCAUCACUAGCACACGACUUGAGGUUUGCAACCUAUCGUGCUGACAUUAUUUUGUUUUUGUGCCAUUCCAAUUGAGUUAAUUGCGUAUGUGAGUUCUAUGAGUUCUCAUUUGAAUGAAGGCAAGCACCUUGAUCAAUGAAAAGUACAUUGAUAUGAAUGGGUGAGCUACUUAACUACUUGGAAGACAUGGUGGGCACUCGUGUUACCAUAAGGCAAGAAAUCAAGAUUAAGAAAGUUCAGUCCAUAUGAGUUUGGAUUUGUCGCAAACCUUGGUUUUGGCAAAUUCACAUGGAUAGGAACUCAUACACCAUAAAAUCUAAGUGUCAUAAGAUUCCCUCCUUCAUGAAAAUGACUGUGAGGAAAUGCUUUCACUAAGAGAGAUUUUAAGAAGAUAGCAAUUGUGAAAAUUGUAUUCUCAAAUUCGAUUAUGGUUACGGCAUCCCUUUCCAUAGUUCGAAUUGUGAGAUUUGGCAAUUAGUUUGAACAUUUGGAACUUAGUAACAUAAGUUCUGAAUUGUUUAAACACACAUAUGAGCUAUCUAAGGCAAAGGUGUAUAAGUUUAAGAAGCUUAGAUAAAGGCUUAUCGAAGCAUCUGGUAUUAGAAAUAUGAAUUUCAGAAAUUCAAUAGGCAUUGUUUUCUGAAAGUUCAUUUGUUUUCUGAAUACAUGUCAAAGCUAGUGGGAGCAUAAGUGUUAUGCUUAUAUGAUAAUAAUCAUCAUGAUAGUGGGAGCAUAAGUGUUAUGCUUGUAUGAUUAUUAUGGCAAGUAUUGCAAGUUAGCAAUAUUAAUUAUAGAAAAACAAAGAUUCAAUUUGCAAAGUUGCAUGGGUUGAAAAGUUGUUUUGCUAUAAUUAAGGGAGAGAAUAUUAUACUUCGUUUCAAAAUCUAAAGCUUAGAUUGAGAAAUUUUAAUAUUUUCAGUCAAAGGAUACAUUGUGUGUUCUUAAAAUUCGAUUAUGAUUACGGCAUCCCUCUUCAUAGUUCGAAUUGUGAGAACAUGACACAUAAAAUAUUAUGGCAGAAGAUUGGUAAAGUAUCAUAUCUUUAUGUAAGACAUUAUGCAUCGUGUCCCAUACGCUUCGGGUAUAGGAUCGAUUGCAAGUGCUAUAAUAUUUGACCAUUCUAAAAUUUUCCAAAUGUCUAGCGCAUUUAGAGGGAAAAAGGACUAGAAUCGGUUUUGACUAAAAUAAUUAAACAACUAUCAAAGGACGAUCCAAAGUUCGCUGAGGAUUGGUCGCUUGUGAGUAGUUGGAAGUAUGGUAUUGGAUGGACCAUAUCGACAUUAUUAUGAAUAGAUAAGAUUCUAUUUAGAAUGAGUUGUCAAUUGACAAAUAUGGAAAUGUUUCCAUAUUGGGAGUUGGAUAUUGAGAAUCUAUGUCUAGAUUAGAAACUUUUAUGCAAGAAGGAUGUUCAAAGGAAUGUACUUUGAGUGAGAGAAAUCAUAUCUAUAGAAUUGUUUCUGAUAGAGAUUGGCCAAGUCUUGAUGAUUUUGAGCUAUGACUUUACGAAAGAAUCAUUGCAUAAAAUGUUAGAAUCUAGCAUAAGUAACAAGAAUUUGAUAUUCUUAUACUUAUGAUAAGGAUUGUGUCACAACUAGAAAUUUUUGUGUCUUGUAAUCACUAUACUCAAGUAAGAUGUUGAAUCAAAAACUUAAGAGCAUGUAUGAUGCUUACUUUAUGACAACAAAAUUUCAAUCCAAUACACCAUACAAGUACUACAAAUAGUCAACAAGUAGUUGGAAACCCUAGAAGUUCUUGUUUAGGUCCAUUUUGGACUAGGAAUUCCUUAUUGGACUCAACGGACCAAUAAGCUUCCAAUUUUGACUAUCAUGGGCUUAGAACCUUUAAAUGGGCUCUAAUUGGACCCACGUUCAUUUAUUUCAACAUUUUGGGCCAUAUUGGGCCUAGAAUGAAAUAAAUUAAAUAUUAUGAACCAUAAUUAAUUUAAACUAGCCCAACAAAGUAUAAAAAUCACACUUAUAUCUUACAAUCAUCAAACCUAACUCUAAUAUUGGGCUUAGGGGCAUUAAAGCCCAAUACUCUCUUUUUCUUUCCAAAUUUCGGCCCAAGACAAGCCCAAGAGGAAGAAGUUGACUAUUACCAUAACACCUCGCUUUUACAUGGGGGAUAUCCAUGUUUUACACUCCAAACAUCCAUACAAUCUCAUCUUUCCAUGCAAACCCCUCUCUUCUUCUCUUUUCUCUCUCAUUUUCGGCCGAAAACACACACACACAUCACAAAAAUCUAUUCCAAUCUCUCUAAGUCAUGAAGAGCAUUCAUCCCUCCUCCUUCAAAAAUUUCGAGAAUCAAGAGCUUCACAAGGAGAAUUCUUCACUAAAAUCAUUAUCUAGGUAAGUUAAUGCUUGGAUCCAUACUUUAGACUUCUUCUUAUAUCCAAAAAUCUCUUCUUAACUCUCAUGAAAUCAUAAACUUGUGUAUUAGAACCCCUCAAACUCGAGACCUUCAAGAAAAGGGUGCUAAGGCCAAAAAUCACCUCAUUUCUUUCCAUUUCUCCUCCAAAACCGAAACAACACCCUAAGGUGAGCUUCAUACCCCCUAUUUUUCUGUUUUAUAAGUUUUGUGGGGGGGGGUGGGGAAUACAAGUCAAAGUGUAGAUCUAUGUGUAUUUGUAUGCCUUGUAUGAUUUCUAUGCUUAUAUGUGUGUUUUUGUGUGAUUAUGAUGUUGGAUCUAGUCAAAAGCCCCUAAAAAUCGAGAUUUACUUUGUGUUAUACGUUAUUAGCAUAAAUUUUAUUACUACAUACAAUUUAUUUCAAGAAAAAUAACCAAGUUGUAGGAUAACAUCUUCUUUGGGCUAAAAACUCAUUUUUGGGCUCAAAAUGUUAAAAAUAUAAAAUUAAAGGGCCCAAAAUGACAAAACACGAAUUCUGAUGGGUGUAAUGAGUCAAAACAGUUUUGAUAAUGUAUUUUCUGGAAAUAUACUCUUUUAAAGGAUUAAAAUGUAAAAUUUUAAGCAUAAGAAUGUAAAUUUACAAAAAGAAAAGGGGCUGUAGACAGAAAAACUUCAAUGUUUUAAAUCAAUAAAUCCGUUGCGAUAAAACACUGACACCGUGACUACCGAGAAAUCACAAUACACAAUCAACACCAAAAAUCGUUAUCAAACGAAUUCAUUCGGUCUCGAAUCAAUAACAAACCUGAAACUACUAACACGACGACAACUCGAUACAUACACGGAAAAUUCGGGAAUUCAAUACACACGUGGGAAUGCACAGACGUCGAUACACCAUCUUUGGGCCCAAAAGUGUCAAAUCUUGCUUGUUGGGCCUAGCUAGCCCAAUGACCUGAUCUUUAGGCCCGAAGACAACAACCUUACGAGUUGUUGGGUCUUACAUGAUCCAACACAGCGUAAAAGGACUUUCAAUGGCUUUUAUACUAUUGGUCCCCAAGGGUCCUUUGGUACUACUAGUAAAGUCGAGAAUUCACCAAAUGCGAGUCGGGCCAAGGGCUCUUCGCAUUCACUAUAGCCUCGACCGACUAAUGGGAUUAUUAAGGUCUUCGUGCCCUCUUUUCUCUUCGGUCGUGGGGCUACACGAAGUCAGGGCGUUGGGUUACGUGAAUAGUACGGGCGAGGCCUAAGGGAUCGUUAGUAUAGUUGUAAACUGGUCGUUUGUGUAACGCGUGUUUAUAACAAUUCACCAUGCGCAAUAACCCAGUGUCGCCUGGAAUCAAUGACAACUGGAAUCAAUGACUUCACAUACCGCGAUGGUACAACAACUAUACGGAAUUCAAAGUGUUAGGAAAACAUCGGGUUUUCCUAGGGUUAUUCAAUACACACAUUUACGAGAUGUACACCAAGUUUAAUAAAUUCUUUUUACAAUUAUAGAAACAAACAAGCAUACUUAUGGAUCUUCACAAACUUUUUCAUAAACUUUUUUCAGAAAAUAUCGGAUUUUCUGGUAGUUUUCAAAACAAUACAAAACAUUGCUUUUCAAACACCGCUUAUGAACUCACCAACAUUUCAUAUGUUGACGUUUUUCAAAAUACUUGUAUUCUCAGGUAACAGGUAAAGCAAGGGGAAAAAUGUACUCAGUGAUGGUGGCUUGCAGAUUGUUUAUCUAUGAUCGAACAAUUUAUUUUUUGGAAUGUAAUGUUAAAACAAUGUACUUAGUGUAAACUCUACCAGUUGUACUAUCUCAACGCAUGGUAAUGAAUGAUGUUACGUUUCAUAUAUACUCAAUGUUAUGGUAUUCAAUUACGUCACGACAGCCCUCAGACGUUUCCGCCGUCUGGUUCGGGGGUGUGACAGAUUGGGAGUUGUGAAAUGAGUAUGACUGGAAAUGUGUUCAUUUGAUCUAUUUCACAAAGUAAGGACCGUAGGUAAACAUUGUGUGCAUGCUGAGAGCAUAGGACAAGUGUAGUAAUAAUUCAAGUAAGAAGUUGAUUACCCGAAACGACAAAUAAUGAGUAAUCGAUAUGGUGAUUAAAUAAAAUGUUACCCAGAGUUUGGGGUUAUAUGGGAUUAGUAUUAUUCUUGUGUUUCACUUUGUAUGUUUUGACUUCCUGAAUAAUUAAAUUGGUUCAGAACAAUCAAAAUUAUUCGAAUGGACCACAGUCGUUCAUAUGUUGGAAGUAGGUAUGAAUGAAGACUGUCGUGAAUUGGUGUGUGGAUUGUCUAAAGUGUAUUAGAGAUAAGCAAAAUUUUGCUGCAACGUUCAUGAGUGCUUAUGAAUAUGAUUUGAGCAUUGGAUUAAACCCACGCUCACUUGGAUCACUUCAUGGAUUUUAUCACGAGUGAUUGAUGAGAUGAUAAUAUCUUAUAUUCUUGAAACCGAGAUGUGUGAGUUGUAUCUUGCAAGUCGGUUACACAUUGAUAAUAUGUAAACGCAGCAGUAACUUGGUGUCAUAAAACAUAUUGUUGUGUGUGAUUCGGUAAGUGAGUGCAAGCAAGCAUUGAAUCAAAGUUUAUCCGUUCCUUUUAUCCAAAGUGGGAUGAAAGCGAUAUCUGUGGGCCCCUCGAUGAUUUAGUGAUGACAUCCUAAGCGCUUGGCCAAGCCGGGACUAAUUUAAUGUAUUCAAUUGUAGUCUGUUGUCAGUCGUCAUAAAUUAGAAAUUGGAAAACAACAUAUAGACAUAGAGAAUGAUUUAAAUCCAUGUCUCAUUCUAUACAAUAUCUAGAAUGGAGGAAUAUAUGAUCCCUUAUCUAAAGGACGCAUAUCUGAUAAGAUAAGAGUUGACAACGGCUUUUGAAAGCUACGAUUACAGAGAUCUGAAGUCAUACGCAGAAUAGUUAUUAGACUUAUCCAAGUGGGAGACUGUUAGAUUAAUGUCUAAGUCCAUAACUAUUUUGCUAUGUACUUGACCCGAUGGUACAUGGUCCUUUUGGGUUGCCUUCACCAAAGCAACUUGAUAGGAUGGAUUAUGGAGAGAGAAAAUUAAUUAUGAUUUAUUAAUAUAUUAUGAGAAUAAUAUAUUAAAGGAGAAAUCAUAUUGUUUAAUUAAUUUAGUCAAUAAUUAAUUAAGAAUUAGUUUUGUGGCUAAAAGACAUUAAUUAAACUUAAGGGACUAGAACUAUCAAUUGUAUAAUAGUUUAAUAUUGGGAUAAUAAACUCCAUAUUAGAGGGGUAGACGAAUUCUAUGGGGAAACCCAUUAGAAAUCGUCCUAGGCCUCUAAGGAGGGAGUUCAUGGGUUUCUUAGGGCCUAAGCAGUCAAAUUAGGGUUUCCUUGUUAGAUAACCCUAAUAGCCACACUAUUUAAAGGACCCUUGAGACUCAAAAACCUGGUGAACUAAUUGAUUAGGGUUUCCAGCCGUUUUUGGGUGUCUCCUCUCUUCUCAUUCUUCAUCCUCUUGCUCUUGGUGUUUGUGAGCCAUUAGAGGAGUGACACUUGUGACUCUAAGCUUUCUAAAGCCAUUACAAAGGAGGAUUUGAGAUUGUUAUUGCUACAUAACAAUCAAGGUAAGAUCUAAACCCCAAUCUUAUGUUAAUAUGAUUAAUUGUAUGCUAGAUCUAGGGUUUAUAGCUUUGGAUAUUCAAUUGCAUGUUCAUUAGAUAAACUAGAUCCAAAAGCUAUUAGGGUUUACAUGUACACCAUAGGAAUGAUGUUUUACUCAUAACCCAUCAGUAUUUUCUUAUUCAGAUCACGAAACUUCUCUAUAUCACCGGUCAUGUGAUUGCUUGCACCUGUGUCGAGAUACCAUAACAUCAACUAAUUUGAGUCCCCACCUUUAGUUUUCAGUUUUGGGUUCACCUUCUCUUCAUUUAGGAAUACUUCACCAACCUCUUCUUUAUCUUCAAGGGAGGAAAAUAGCAAUGCAGGUUCGUUGUCUUCCUGUAUCAAGUUGGUUUCAUGGCUCCUCUCCUUUCUUGGAUUCUUACACUCAGCUGCGUAGUGCCCGAAUUCCUGGCAGUUAUAGCAUUGUAUCCCACUUUUAUCUUGACUGCCAGAUGCUCCAUUACCUCCUUCUCGUUGGUGAUGUGAGCCACCUCUUCCUCGACCGCCACGACCACCACUAUUUUGACCUCUACCUCUGCCUCGACCUAGUGAGCCUCCAAAUCCUCCUCGAUUCGACUUAGAUUUGGAGUCACCUUCUCCCCUUUUCUUUGUUCUUUUGGACCACUCUUGAUGAGUCAAGAGCAGUUUUCGAUCAUCAAUUUCUCCAUGCCCUUUCAAUCUCUCUUCAUGAGCUUUCAAUCGGCCUAUUACUUCUUCCACAGUCAUUGUGUCCAAGUCCCCAAAUUGCUCAAGAGUUGAGGCAAUUUGAAGGAACUUUGAUGAUACUGCCCUGAGCAACUUCUUCACUACAUAGCCUUCUUCUACAGUUUCUCCCAGAGUGCGCAUGAUGCUCACUACAUUGGUUACCUUCACGGAAAAAUCGUCAACACUUUCUGUCUCUUUCAUGAUCAUGGCCUCAAACUCAGCUUUCAAGGUCUGGACUCUUGCAGUCUUCACUCUAUCUGCCCCUACAAACAUCGUUCGCAGGGCUUCCCAUGUUUCUUUGGCCGAUUUCUUCUUAAAUAGUGACAUUACAAACUCCUCAGGAAUCCCUUGGUAAAUGACCGCUAGUGCCAUCUUGUCCUUCUUUACCUCCACCACCGUGUUGGCUAUUCGCAGCUCAACAACAUCCCAUACACCAUGGGCUUGCAUGAACAUGCGCAUCUUGAUUUCCCAUGCCCCGUAAUUACUCCUAGAUAACAUUGGAUAGUGGAGGGUGAUUUACCCAUCUUUUUCACCAUUGUCAUUGCUUCCCGACAUCUCUUCACGAAAUUGAUACUUGGGCAUACACGAGGUUAGGCUCUGAUACCACUUUGUUGGUUUUGACAGGCUCUUCACAAGGUUCCUGCAGAAGAGAAGUAACAGGGGACAAAAGAAAUUUUACAGAGGGGUAAUUUAGGUAAAGGUUUUGUGAUGUAUUAUUCAACUAAAAGAGAUGAUUCCAACGUACACAAUGCCUAGGUAUUUAAACCAAUGAAAAAUUCAGAAAAACAGGGAAUACUAACUACUAGCUAGAGACCAGGUAAGACAUUCUUACAUGGCCUUGAUUUAUUCUUCCUAAACAAAAGAAACGUGCUUAAUAAUAAAACAACUUCUGAAUUACUUCAACAGAGACGGCCCGGAUGGUGGCGUGCUGGUUAUGACGGUAGGGCCAGAAAAUGAAAUCGGUCGAAUACUUGAACUGAAGCUCUCUUCUGGUGGGUUUUUGUUGGGCAUCACCAGUCAUCCUCGUUUUACCGGGGCCCAUGGCCGAUGUUCAGUUGGUGGCCGCACCCUGACGCCGACGAUGGGGGUGAUAAUCGAUGGAGCAUUCAGAGGCAGCAAUUUCCAAGGUUAGAUAGAAGGGAUGCCGAUGUCGAUGCGUUCAGGGAGAGACAUCGGGAUUUGGAGGUUACAUAGAAGGGAUGCCGAUGCGUUCAGGGAGGAGACGGGGGGUUUUGGAGAGGCGGUGGGAAGCAUCCAGAAUUCAAUGGAGGCGAUGAAGUGAAAACAGAAGGAAAACCGAGGCUAAGAGUCGGUGAAAUCAGCUGAGUCAACAGGAGAAACGAAGAACACCCAACACGUAGAGAGUUUCUGUGUACUUGACAGCACGUGUAAUCCACUAUCUCCAAAAAGAGAAAAGGGAAAACAAAAAAAGAAAUUAAGAGAAAAAAAAAGAGCCAAUGAAAUCAAUUUACAGCUCCCUAAAGGGGUUUAGAUUUAGUAUAUUAUAUGAUUAGGGUUUUUUUUUUUUUUUUAGGAAAAACGGUUACAUGUAUAAUAUAUCAAAACAAUACUAAACCGCUUGGUUUUUUCCUGAACAUUUCCGGUUUGGUUUCCGUUCUUUUUCAAAGCGGUUUUUUUACACCUCUAAUUUUCAUCUUGUUUUUAUAUGUUCCAAUACAGAACAUAUAAAGUUUUGUGGAUGUCUAAUUUCAUACAACACGGGGAAAAUAGCCACUCAUGGUGUUACUAGCAAAUUUAUUGAUAUCAGGGACUUCAAAACCUCUGCCAAAUUACAAUGAAUACCCUUUUUACAAAUUUGCAAUGAAUAAUUGAAUACCAUCACCUUCACAUAAAUCUAGUCUUUGAAGCUAUCAUAAAAUAAAAAAUAAAAAAAACAAAAAAAAUGUCUCCCAUGACGAUUGAGAAGUAAAGCCCCACAUGCUAUCCAAAAUCCAGUAGCAAAACCCAUCCCCCCACCAAUAUAAAACCAUCUUUGAACUUCAUCUAUGUCUUCCUCAUCACCCUCACUUUUACCAGCAGGAGGUGGUACUUUUGAUUUUUCAUCUACAGGGCAAUUCUUGGGAAGGGGAAGUCCACAUAGUCCUGUGUUUCCAUCAUAUCUUGAAGGGUUAAAGGACUGAAGUUGAGUGCUAAAUGGGAUUCUCCCCGACAAGUUAUUAAAUGACAAGUCUAGGUAAUUCAGUAAACUCAUAUGAGACAUGCUUGAUGGUAUCCGCCCUGAAAAACUGUUUCUAGAUAAAUCCAAAGUCAAAAGGUUGUUCAUCUCACCAAUUGUCGAUGGAAUUUCUCCAGAUAGUUUGUUCUUUGACAAGUUCAGGGCAAUCAAGUCAUAGAGAUUAGUAAUUUCAUACGGGAUAUUUCCUGUUAAGUCGUUGCUUGACAGGUCAAUGCUCUUUAACAAUUUCAAUGUGCUAAAGAAUUCUCGUUCAUCACCUUGCCACUGAAUUAUCGCAUGGUCAACAUAUGUCUCAAUUUCAUAAGAAUAAUUUACUGAAGUUUUAUAAAACUCUACACCUUGUAAGAAUUCUUGUUGAACCAUGCUUGUAAGAUUACCCAAACAUGAGGGGAUGAUUCCAUGGAGAUUGUUCAUUGACAAGUCUAGAAUUUGAAGAUUGGAUAAUUGACAUAACUGUAGUGGGAUGGUUCCAAAGAAGUUGUUUGAUUUUAGAAUAAGAACAUACAAACCUGAUAAGUUUUCCCCAAUCCAGAGAGGCACAUUACCAGAAAACUUGUUGGCCCCCAAAUUCAACGACUUUAAGCUGGUGCAAUUUUUUAAUGACAAAGGCAAUUCUCCAUAGAAGUUGUUCUUGGACAAAUAUAACACCUCAAGUUCUGUCAUAGAUCCAACAGAGGGAGGAAGUCUUCCAAAUAGAUUAUUGUGUCUGAGAUUAAGAACUUUUAGUCGUUUGAAAUGCCACAAACAAUCCGGGAGUUGUCCGAUAAAUGAGUUAUCAGAGAGGUCAAGAAAUAAUAACCCAUCAAAAAUUUGGCAUAUAAAUGCGAUUCCUCCAGAGAAAUUGUUUUUGGAAAGAUUUAAUGAUAACAAAGUGGAAGAAACAUUUGUUAUUGGACCAUAAAAGUUGUUUGAACUCAAAUCUAUCGCUGAAUAUUUGGCAAAAUUUGAUAAUAAAUCUGGUACUUUCCCGUUAAUGUUGUUGGAAGAGAGAUUUAGAUAAUCUAAUUGAUAAGGCCACAUGUCCCAAAACCCCAGAGGAGUUGUGUCUGAAAUACCAGCAUUGGAAAUAUCAAGACGGGUGAGACGUUUGAAUGUCUGAAUCCAUUUGGGGAAGCGAGGCCCUAACAGCUUGCAAGACCUCAUAUCAAUAAAAUGUAAGUAAGAAAGGCUUGACAAGUGAUAUGUGGAAGGAACUCUAAGAUUAUUAAAAGAAACGUCAAGAGUUUGAAGCCUGGGUAGCUCCCACAGUUUCUCACUUAUACUUCCAUUUAAGUGAUUAUGAGACAGGUCCAAGGACUUUAGGGAUGAAAACUUUUGGAUCUCAUCGGAAACUGACUCUGUAAAUUGGCUUCCAAUAGCAUACAACAGUUGUAAUGUAUGUGAUGUGCAUCCGGACAAGUUGUUGAGAAAAUCAGGAAAUUUGACCACUGCAGAGUUGUUAUUGAAGUACAAAGUUUCCAGACUACAGAGGUUACCAAGAUAUUUAGGUAUCCCAUCUAACAUGUUGCUAGAGAGAUAAAGAAAACGAAGCUUAUUGCUGGUUAAUGGUAGCAACCAACGAUACAUGGAUGAAGUGAGAUUGUUGUCACCGAGAUAAAGGGACUCAACAGAUGAAAAAGAGGAGUUGAGAAACAAAGAAUAUGGAUAUAUGAUCUUUGACAGCUCACAUCCCUCUAAAGAUAAAUAUGAGAGGUUCCGGAGACUCAGAAUUACAUCUACCCAGUAAUUUUGUUUGGCUAGGGAAAUCCCAUCCAUUCUUAGCCACUCCAAAUGUGAGAGAUGCGACAACCACUCUAUGUUUUCAACUCUGUACCUUCCAACGGAUCCAAGGUUAAGGUAUUGCAAGUUGGUGAGGUUUCCAAACUCUGGAGGAAUGGUUCCAUAAAAAGAAUUAUCGGAAAGGCCAAGGUGCCUUAAUUCGGUCAAGGAACCAAUGGACCCGGGAAUGGUUCCAUUAAGAUGAUUGUAGGAAAGAUCAAGAUACCUUAAUCGAGUCAAUGAACCAAUUGACCUGGGAAUGGUUCCAUUCAACAAAGAAUUGUAGGAAAGAUCAAGAUGAUUCAAGCAAGUUAAGUUAAGAAACGUAUGGCUAAUCUCACCUCCAAGAUCAAAAUGACUGAUAUCAAGCCCUGUGACAUGACCUGUUUGGUUGCUGCAGGUGACUCCUCUCCAUUUGCAGCAGUCAUGAUUGUCAGCUCUCCAUGAAGCUAGAAUGCCUCGGCGAUCAUAAAGGGGAGCUUUGAAAAGAAGGAGAGCAAGUCUCUCCUUUUCCAGACACUUGUUCAUAUUAGCACCAUUUCUAUCAUCUCCUCCUUCUUCUCCCCCUGCUACCAAUUGGCUGGCAGUUGUAGUCGUGAGUAGCAAGAGAAUCGAGAUGAUUAUAAAAACACAAAGAUUCAUAAUGUAAAUGGAAAAUCUUGGUGAUUUUUGGAUUGUAUUGAUGCUUAAUUGCUUAUAUGAACUGCCCCCAUCAGGGUUUAUAUAGUCUUGAUGUGAAAAUCAUUGCUUAGUAAGUGUGUGGCCUCAAAUUGCAGGCCUACUUGUGUGGGGCAUACAAUACUUAAUUUGGUUGAAACUGGAACCAAGCUAUAAGACAAAUGAAAGAUGACGCGUUAAAAUAAAUUGCUUCAAAAUUUUGAUUUUUGUAGACAUAUAUGAAUGAAACCAAGUUUAUCCAUGCAUUACUUAAUUGUGGUCUUUUUCAUUGAUAAAAAUGAUAUUACCAUGCUACCCUGAUUGAUACUCACUCGAUUAAAAACAUUAGAUUACAAUCAAUACACUUAGAUGAUUGGAGACUUAAUCAAGAAAACGCCAAUAGUUCAUGGCCAAAAUAGUGACAUUAAACCUUAUAUAAAUAUCAAAAUCACACAACUUAAAUAGUAGACAAAGUAGCUGCCUUGGAAAAAAAAUGUUAUUUUUAUACUGAGAGGAGUUUCCCUAUAAGACCAGAUCUUUUCAGCUGCCCUAUGUGGACCAAAUGAUAUUCAUUGUGAUUCUUUGUCAACGUUUUUGGUCAACAGAAGCUUAAAUGCUUAACCAUCUUCAACCAUCUUAACAACUUCAAUCUCAAACAAGUUUUCAUUUUCUUGAAUCUAAAUCUAGCCACACAACGUCUGAACCCAAAAAAAGAUAAUUUUUUAUUUUCUAUUCACCAUAGCAAUAGCAAAUAAAUAUAUACAAAAUAAUCACACAAAGUGAAAAAUCCAAAAUUUUCUAUAAUACCAGCAACCAACCUUUAUGCGUCACUCUUUUACUUCGCAUCAUCAUAUGAUUGUAAUAAUUUAAGAGUAAAUUACGUUUUUGGUCCUUGGCUAUAGCUGAUCUUUUCAGCUUUGGUCCCCAAAUGUUUUGUAUUGUAAAUUUGGCCUUUAUUUGAAGUUUUUAUAGCGUUUUUGUUCCUAUAGCAAGUAAAAGAUGACUAUUUUGGGAUCAAAAUUGCAAAAAUCAGUUAUACUCUGGGACCAAUAUAGUAUUUUACUUUGAACAUUGACAAAGAACAUUAGAAGAACCUCUAAUAAGGAGCAAAUUGCAAGAGAAAACUGUCUGGUGUAUACUUAGGGACCAAAAAUGUUACUCUAAUUCUAAACAUUCUACUCUCCUAGCACAUAUUGAAUAAAGAUUUCAUAGUAAGUUUGGAACAUUAAUAAAUAAUAAGUAAUAUAUUUUUCCAUCUUUUAGGAGAAUUGGAAAAUAAUGCAAGUUCAUAUGGUAUAUAUUCUCAGCUGUUUCUUUCUCAUAAACUUGUUCGUCUGUAGUCAUCUGUAGUCAUCCAGGGGCCAUGUGCUCCAAAUACGAAAGACAACUCAAUAACAAAAACUAAAAAAACCUAACUUAUCCAUAAUUCAGCCUUUAGUUUUUGUAGUAUUUACAUUGGCUUCUUUCUGGAUGAAUACGUCUAUUUGCGGUGUUUUUAUCUGUUAUGAAGAAAAAAUAUAUAGAAUAAAUUACAAUUUUGGCCCGUGAUUAUAGUUGAUAUUUUUUUCAUAUUCGGUCUCAAAAAGGUUUAUGUUGCAAUUUUGGUCCGUGUUCCAAAAUAAAAUGACUAUAUUUCAAAUUGGGUACGAAACAUAGUUGUUUUACUUGGAACAUGGACCAAAAAUGUUACAAAAACCUCAAAUAAGGACCAAAAUUAUAAAAAACAACUACAGUCAUGGAACAAAAAAUGUUAUUUACUCAAAAUUAUAUAUACGAGACAUAGAAGUUUUCUUUUUGCAAAAAAAAUUGAGCAUCUGAAAUAUGUUACCUUCUGUUUUCCUAAAUUAAGCUCCUGCAAAUUAAAUAUCACACAUUAAAGUUGGCCUAAUUCUUGAAAAAAAAAUAUUACUUCAUUUACUAUUUAUUUCAUAAAAUCUACAAACUGCCAUCAUAUGGCUGUUUGAUUGAGCAGGUCUCUAGUUUUGCAACUUUGUUUUCUGAACAAUCACUAUUAGAAAAAUGUUUUCCUUGACAGACAAUGUCUAUCGUAAAUGCCUAUACAUGACAAAUAUUUGUCUGUCAUUGAAAGCCAUGUCGUAAAGAAAAAUGACAAACAUUUGGUUUGUUAAAAUAUUUACGACAAACCUUUAUGACCGACAAUCAAGACAUACAUACACGACAUGCGUUUUCGACAUACAUUUAUGACUGACUUUGUAUGUCAUAAUUCGUAACAUUUUUGUAAAUUACCGAGAGACAUAUACGACUUGAAAUAAUUAAGAUAUUCUGUAUGUCAUGAUUUUGACAUAGUUUUACAACAUACUUUGUAUGUCAUGGUUUUCCAUUAUAUAUAUUUCAAAUUUGUAACAAAUCUAAAUUUAAUUAAAUUACACAUUUAAUGUCUAAUAAGUAAAAUAAAAUAUCAUACUUACACAAAGAUAAUUCAUUACACGAACUAUAUUGCCAAAUUCAAAAGUAUAUUUCAAAUUCAUCAAAAAAAUAAUUGUCAAAUACAUAUCACCGAUUAAAUAAAGGUUGUGACAUAAGUAGCACAUUCUUCACGGACCUUAUCAUUCUUGAAGUUUGUAUAUUCCUUCUUCCUCCAAAUCCGAGACAACCUAAUAUAUUAGCAAAAAAAAAAAAACAAUUAAACAAUUAUAUAUGUGAAAAUUCUACAACACUUCAAAUAACUAAUACAUUUACUAACAUAGUUUACAUGCACCUAAUGGCCACUUUAAACCCAAAAACGAAAUAGAAAUUAAGAUAGAUAAGUGUAAAAGAAGCUUAAAUGUAAGAAAUAGAAAAGUACCAUAUGGUUAAGGAAGCUUAAAUACAUGAAAUGACAACUUACUUUCUACUUCUUUAUGAUAAAGGAAACUUAAAUGAAAAAAAUAGCAAAGUACAUUGCUAUUUCCUACACUUGCAGUCAUAAAUGAACUUGUGUAGUAAAAAAAGUAAAUUAUGUUCUUUCAGUAAAAUCAAUUAAAGUAUGCUGCUAUUUCUUGCAUUUUUAACGAAAAACAGCUAAAUGCACGAAAUCGCAACUUGCUUCUACUUAUUUUUGGUGAAGGAAGCUUAAAUGCAAGAAAUAGCAAAGUAUAUUGCUAAUUCUUUCCCUUGGGAUAGAAAAAGGACUUGUGUAAUAAAAAAAUUAUGUCUUUUUUUUUUCCUAAGUAAAAUCAACUAAAGUAUGUUGUUAUUUCUUGCCUUUUAAUCAAAAAAUAUCUAAAUGCAAGAAAUAGCAAGUUACUUCUACUUAUUUAUGGAAAAGAACCUUAAAAAUAAAAAGUAGAAAAGUACACUACCAUUUCUUCCACUUGUGACAAAAAUGGUUUAUGUAAUAAAAAGAGAUGUUUUAUUACUAAGCCAAAUCAAUUAACCUGUCGAGUUAAAAUCGAGAUAAAAAAAUUUAAAAAAAAAAACAUAUGAGAAAAUCAUUGAAUAUUUACAUGUCGGGUUAAAAUAGAAAAGUACGGCAUACAUGUUGUUGUAGCCUAUGUAUUUAAGUAUCAAUCUAUAGAAAAUAUAUUUUAAAUGAUUAGUAUUAUUUAUGGCAAAUUAAAGAUUAAAAAAGUGUAACGACGUAAUUUUUCAACCAAUUUUUUUUUUCAUUUUUAAAACACAUAAAACUCAUAUAUUAUAUUUCAUAAAAAUCAUAAGUGUCUCAAAGUAAACAUAAAUCCAUAACAAAGUCAAAUCCCAGAAUCCUCAACAUAAUCUCGAACAGGUGUACAAUCACACAGGUGCCUUCCCACGAUCCUCGGAAGUACCUGAAACACAUAACACAUAACACAUAACACGGUAAGCAUAAAGCUUAGUGUGUUCCCCAAAAUACCACAUACAACACAUUAGCCACUCGAGGCUAUAACUAUGUAAGACCCUCCGGUCAAUGUGUCUCAGUGGGACCCUCCAGUCCCACAACUCUGAUGGACCCUCCGGUCCUAACUCUGUGGACCCUCCGUCCCUAAAUCUGUAAACUCUAAAUACACAUAGCAUAAAUCACACAAACAAAAUGCAGUAAUAUAACAGUACUCAAAUAAACACAUAGGACCCUCUGGUUACAUAUAAAUACCACUCUAGGUAAAGUAUAGUGAGAAGAUUCCCCUCGUAAGCUAGUAAGUAAAAGUCUCAUGCUCGAAAUCCUCGAUCUAUCUUCUGCCUAUCAUAAGGAUAAUAUCUCUAAUUAAUACUCUCUUCAUUCUCAAAUGUGCCAAACAUUGAUCUCUCUUACACUGUAGCCUUAAAAAUGGGUAAAAGACCAUUUUACCCCUUCCUGACCUCCAUCACUCAUUUGACCAACCCUAAAGUUAACCAAAGCCAAUUCUAGUCAACAACCCAAAUUGACCAGACUCGCCUAGUGCGCCCAUGCGACUCAUCGAGUCGCACCGAUUCUUGACAAUCUUAUGAAGGUCCAGCCCGUCGAAUUAACCCCUAACUCUUCGAGCUUUCGCCUGAUCCAGCUAAUCGGGACAACCCUAAUCUUCUCGCUGAGUCAGCUCAUCAACUUGGUGAUUCCAUUCAGACUCAACUUGCAUUCAGACGACUUUAAGGCAAGAUACUUUCCCAAACUCCAGAUCCAUACUCUCAGGGCUCAUUUAUAUCGUAAAGUCAUAGACUUUACGUCCAUGCAUGGCAUUUUGGGCAUGAAAUGCCAAGAACACGAUCUAACUGGGUUUUUCACUCAUAAAUUCCGUCAAGGCUAAAUAAAGCAUGAACCUUUAGAUGCUAGGGACCUCCUAAGGUCCAGAUCUGGAGUUCAAGCCUCCUCAUGAACCCUAAAUCCUCAAAGUCCUGAAAUAUAAAGAAAAGAAGCCCUAAUCUUCAAAAUGAGAGAUCUACUCAAACAAAAGAGAAAGGUUCGAACUUGAUACCUCUAACGGAAGCUCUUGGACGUAUAAGCAAUAGAUCUAACAGCCGCUUCACAAUCCUUGCUUGGAAUCCUCCUUUCCUCUAACAAAAUGCACCCACAAAUCUCGACUAAGGCUUAAAACUCUCUCAAAACUCAAGGGGGCGAUUAGGGUUUCUUCUCAAUGAGGUGUGGCCACAAAUGAGGCUAUAAGUGCCUUUAAAUAGACCACAAGCCCAAGAAAUUAAGGUUUCCUUCAGCAACGCUGACUCGACGAGUCGCCUUACAGACUCGUCGAGUCCAUUAAUUAAUCCACGUCACCAGACGCGACUCUACUAGACGAGUUAAGGCACCAACUCUUCGAGUCACUCCACAAAUCUCAAAUUAAAUGAUAAUAUAAUUACUUGGGAAUCCGGAUGUUACAAUUCCCCCCCACUAGAAUCAGACUUUGUGACAACCCGAAAUUUCCAUUCGGUCAACCCUAAAAGUCAACCACUUCGUAUCAUAAGUCAAUGUCAUUAUGUAACAACCUGAAAUUUCCGUAUCAUUUCUUGUAACUCUUUCGUAGUACAAUUCACGCAACCAAACGUCGUUUCCAAAUUCGAUUUCCGAUCUUUCGUUUAAUUAAGUCAUUAACUGGUAUGUAUUUAUAAUGACUUAAUGGGUGUCUUAAUAUAUUUAGAAAUCAUUUUAGCACCCAACUUUAGUGAUCGGAAUAUUUCUAGAAUUUACCGUAUCGGGUUACGGCAACCUAAUCGGGUACGACCAAAAGCCUCGUCUAACGCCGGUAUCGGGUAGAAUUUCACCGUGUCCAAAACUUAAACACUAUAUAAUGUGUCUUAAGCCUCCAUUUCAAGCCUUUGGCCAUUUUCUCAUAGAACUCUCACAACCUCUCUCCUCAUCCAUAAUCAAAGGUCCAAAACAAAGAUUUAAGGCUUCCAAUCAAAGAGGUAACACUCCUAACUUGUUAUUCAACCUCUUAAGCCUUCAAAUUAAUGUUUAAAUUAUAUUUUGGGACCAAGAACAUGAGUUUACGGCCAAGGAUCAUGCUUGGACCGUAAACUCCUCAACAUGGGGUUUUUGAGCCAAUUUACCCUUCCAAAUCAUAGUUGGGACUUAGAUAUGACUUUAAGGCUUGCUAAUUUGGGACUUGGAACACAUUAAACAUGAAUUAUAUGGGACAAACAAGAGUUUACGUCCAAGGCAUGUGCUUGGGCCGUAAACUCCAUUAAAUUGGGGAUUUAGUGCCUUAAAUCAUGUCCAAAUGCCUUGAAACUCAACCAAUGGCCUUGUGGUAAAAUCUAUAUGCAUUUAAAUAUAGUUUAAGGGUUUGAAGCAUAUCAAAAAUGUCAUUUAUAGGAGUUUACGGCCUAGGAACAUACCCUUGGCCGUAAACUCAUAAAACCUUGUUAAUGAUGCAUCAAAUACACUCUAAUGGUUAGCAUAAAUUUCUAGAAUCACAUGUGAUUGUUUUUAAGCAUCAAAAACUAACUUUUCAUGAGUAUAAGAGAGUUUACGGCCAUAUAACAUGCCUCUAGGCCGUAAACUCCUAAAAGUAUGUUUAAUGGUGUUCUAAAUUCAUAACAAGGCUUGGAAAAUUAACUAGAAUCACAUAUGAUUGUCCUUUGUAGCUUAAAUCCAUUUUUCUUGGCCAUGGGUGAGUUUACGGCCGUAAACUCUUAUGGUGUGGCCGUAAACUCCCUUUUAAGUGUUAUAAUUCCAUUCAAUCCAUUCCAAGGCAUUUUAGAAAUCCAUUCCAACAAUCCCCAUGUCCAUUUAAGCCAUUAAACACUCAAAACCACACCAACAUGAGUUUACGGCCGUAAACUCAUGUGUGAGUNGGCAUUUUUAGAUAUCCAUUCUAGCAAUCCCCAUGUCCAUUUAAGCCCUUAAACCCUCAAAAUCACACCAACAUGAGUUUACGGCCGUAAACUCAUGUGUGGGUGUGUUUUGUGGUUGUAAACUCUUUAAAAUGUUUACUCUUGGGGAGUAAACUCAAGUCCCAAGUCCCUAGUGCCAUUACACAUCCGAAGAUGUCACCCGGGUCACUCCAAACGCUCGUUUUGAAGUGUUUAACCUCGUUGGAGUGUAAUGUUCCAUAUGAUUAGUGAAUGUAUCUCUAAUUGAAUAUAUAUGGACAUUAUUUCAUUUUACAUAUGGACAUCGCGAGUAAUCAAACCCCGAACCAACGUCUAGUAUCCGAAACUUACACAUUUUCGAGUCCGGUGAGUUCAUACCCCUACCCUUUUUCACUGUUUUCACUGUUUUCAAGGGGGGCACACAAGCAAAGUACAAGAGAAUUCUUGUACUCAAAACAUGUUUUCAAAUGUGUGAUUCAUAUUCCAUAUGCUUUUAUUACUGAUUACCACAACUGAUAACCAUUUGAACAUGCAGAUCACGUAACAUUUAUUUGUGAAAUAGGUAUUUAAACUGUUAUGUUUUACAUAUAUUUCACAAAUGGUUUUCCACAAUUUAUCAGUUAAAAGCAUGAAAUUAGACAUUUGAAUAUAAUACCUGUACACUGUUUUGUCCUCGGUAACACUCCACACACAUACACGAGUGGAGGACUAUCAUAUUAUUACUAGUAAAUUUGUUAAUCCUGUAUGAUUGGAGACACGUCCUCGGCGAACACUCCACAGAGAUACGCGAGUGGAGGACUACACCCAUAACCAGAAUCUCUGGUAUUUAGAGAGCGUGACUUGAGUGUAUAGAUCUAUACGGGGCUGACUACCCCACACUUGGCUGCUAGCAACAGCCGAACCGAAAUGGUUCAAGGGUGACGAAAGUCAUAAGUAUGUGGACUACUUAUUGCCACAUGUUGACUACUUAUUGCCACAGGUUUAGUCUAUCGUAUGGUUAUGGAACUCGCAAUUAGGAUAACAGAGAUUUACUUAUAGUAAUAAUAAACCACUUAUACAUCUUUUACAUCUUUUACAUCUUUCACGUACAGUAAUCAACAUUCAGGAAAGUAUGGGACUUUCCUGGGGAAAACAUGGAACCUAACCACAUUUACAUCUUUUACAUCUUUUACAUCACUCACAUUGGAAACCAACAUGCAGGAAAGCAUGGGGCUUUCCUGGGUAACACUUACAUAACUAGAAAGAGUAACAAACUGGAUAACAUUACAUCUUUUACAAUUAGUAAUAUACAAUAAGGAAAGUAUGGGACUUUCCUGGGAAUACACGAUAAGUAAACAGAACAGUUUAACAAGUCGGAUAACCAACUAUACAUUUUCACAUGAGCAGACAUGUUUUCAGUGUACAAACUUACUAUACUUUACUUUUGUGAAACAAUAACCAACUUUUAAGAUAAUACGGGAUUUUCUUGGUAUACAUAACAUUUCAGAAACAGAAAGGAAACUUGAAACAUUUUCACAAACAAAAACCGCUUAUGAACUCACCAGCUUUAUGCUGAUUUUUAAACCGCUUGUGUUCUCAAGUCAGCGUUAGAACAGGUACCCGAAGAUCCCUUUUUGAUCAGAAGACAGAGUACAUGAAGACCCGUUUCAUUUUGUUUAUAUAUACUAUGUAUCACAACUGUACAAACUUUACUUUUGAAACAACUGUAAAACUUUAUUAUGUAAUGUAAUGGUUGUUUUACUUUACUUACUAUGUGCAUUGGAUUUGAUACUCAACGUGGAGUCAACCCCGGAAAUGUUUUCGCCUUCGGUUUUUGGGGUGUGACAGAUUGGUAUCAGAGCCCUUGUUUAUAGUGAAUGAAGUAUACCAAACCUUACAUGGUAUAAAACUAUAAACACUAAAGGGCCUAAGUGCUCUGAAUUAAAAGGAUCUUCAAACUACAAGUAUUUUCAAAAGUAUACAAGUAUACCGAACCGUCGUCAUCCAUAACCACAAGUAGAACAGAACAUAAGUAAUUGGGUGUUGUGUACUAUGGUUAAACCUGGGCAGUUAUGUAGUCGUGUCUAGGGUCAAUAUAGCCUGGCCAACUAUAUUCAUUCGAGACACGACCAACAUGUGCUUGGGAGUGACUGUGGUAUGCGGCAUGCCUAAAAAUUACACUAAUAUCCCAAACAUCGAAUCAUUGUCGUAAACAAUUCAUGAAAUACUAUGGGAGUAUUUCUCGAUCCCAAUCCUCUGAAGAAAUCCUUAUUCGAGUGGCUUUCUGUGAUUAUUCUUAGCGAUAAAUUAUCUGUUUCGAUAACUCUUUCCUAUUUUAUCGCUUAUUCGGAUCAUAUAACUGCCAUAUCUAGCGAUUCAAUAUAGAGGACUUACCAUCCUCUCUUUCUUGAUCUUAUUAGAUCAAGAUGCCUCCCAGAAAGAGACCCAGCUCAAAGAACAACAACAAUCCUUCUUCGCCGCCACCUCCUCCCCAAUUUGACCUAGCGUCACUCCAGACGGUCAUGACAGCUGCAAUGGUGGCAGCCAUGUCACAAAUGAACCCUAGUGGUUCAGGAGGUGGUCCCCAAUCUCAAAACCCCGACGUUAGCCAGGGACACCAAAGAGGGGGUUCCUAUAAGGAUUUCAUGAACGCAAAACCAACAUCCUUCAAUGGCGCUGGAGGUUUCAUUUCCUUAUCCCGAUGGUUCGAGAAAAUCGAGUCCAUCUUUGAAAUCUGUGCUUGCGCGGAAUCUGAUAAGGUUAAGUUCGCGGCCUGUACCUUCGUUGACAAAGCCCUGACUUGGUGGAAUGGCCGAGUCAAAUCUCUAACCUUACCCGUAGCCAAUGCCAUGGGCUGGGAAGCCAUGAAAGAACUCCUUAUAGCCGAGUACUGCCCCUGUGGUGAAAUGCAGAAACUAGAACACGAGCUCUGGAACCUGAAGAUGAAAGGUUCCGACAUUGUUGCAUACACUUCCUGAUUUGAUGAUCUUGCACUUCUCUGCCCGGGAUUAGUCACUCCUGAAAACAAGAAGAUCGAAAGGUUCGUUUGGGGGUUAUCCCAACUGACAAAGAGUCAUGUUUUGGCUGCUCGUCCGGAUACCUAUGAUAGUGCCAAGACUUUAGCUCAAACUUUGAUUGAUCACAGCGACGACGUUAAGGAAAUCACUACCACCUCUGAGCCGACUCAAAGGAGUGGCAAAAAGAGAAAAUUCUGGAAGAAGAAGAAGGGUCAAUCUUCUCAAGGAUCUUCCAAGAAACAGCAGACGAUAGCAGUCCAUGCUGCUACUACCCCUGUUGCUGCUGCUUCUGUUGUGGGAUCCACAACUCCAACUCCUACCAGUAAAUAUGCUGGUAACCUUCCUCUGUGUGACAAGUGUAAAUACCAUCAUCAUCCUGGUCCCUGCCGAGAACUAUCUUGUACCAACUGUGGUAAGAAAGGGCACACAGUUCGAUUCUGCAAAACUCCUACCCAAUCAGCCAACCAAUCAUCUGGAGCAGGUGUUAGUCAAGCCUGCUGCAAUUGUGGAGAAGUUGGGCACUUUAAAAGGAACUGUCCCAAGAAGUCAACUGCUGAUAACAAUGGAAGGAUUCUAACCAUGGGACGGGAGGAAGCAGUCGCUGAUCCCACUAUUGUUUCGGGUACGUUCCAUCUCGACAACUCAUAUGCUAGUAUUCUUUUCGAUUCGGGUGCUGAAAGGAGUUUUGUUAGUCAUGCAUUCAAACAUAAUCUAAAACGUAAUCCCCAACCACUAACUAAAACGUUUACCGUCGAGAUGGCUAACAGUGAGAAAGAAAGCGCUAACGAUGUAUUCAUAGGCUAUACACUUACCUUGAAUGAUCACUCAAUUCCUAUAGAUCUCAUGCCCGUUUCCAUUAAGAGCUUCGAAGUUAUCAUUGGCAUGGAUUGGUUGAGUCCCAAUCAUGCUGAUAUCCUUUGUUACGAAAAAGCCAUCCGUAUCAAUCUUCCUUCGAAUCAAACUCUCGUAAUCUAUGGUGAUAAACCCAAUUCCAAUCUUCAUAUCAUUUCCUGCAUCAAAGCUCGAAAGCUCCUUCGAAAGGAGUGCAUUGCAUUCUUAGCCCAUGUGAUCAACGGGAAACAAGAAGUUAGAGACCUCGCGAGCGUCCCCAAAGUCUGUUACUUUCCUGAUGUAUUUCCCGAAGAGCUUCCAGGAAUUCCUCCCGAACGUCAGGUCGAGUUCCGUAUUGACCUAAUUCCUGGAGCUACCCCCGUAGCAAAGUCUCCAUAUCGCUUAGCUCCAGCAGAAAUGCAGGAGUUAUCCAGUCAACUCAACGAGUUGCUCAGUAAAGGAUUCAUUAGACCGAGUUCCUCACCCUGGGGAGCUCCGGUACUGUUUGUCAAGAAGAAAGAUGGAUCCUUUCGUAUGUGUAUCGACUACCGCGAACUGAACAAGUUGACCGUUAAGAACCGAUAUCCUCUUCCACGAAUUGAUGACCUCUUCGAUCAACUCCAGGGAGCCAGCUACUUUUCAAAGAUAGACCUUCGGUCAGGGUACCAUCAGUUACGAGUCCAGGAAAAUGAUGUUUCCAAAACAGCUUUUAGGACUCGGUAUGGACACUACGAGUUCGUAGUGAUGCCCUUCGGUCUAACCAACGCACCGGCUGUGUUCAUGGACCUGAUGAACCGGGUGUGCCGUCCCUUCUUAGACAAAUUUGUCAUCGUGUUCAUUGAUGACAUCCUUGUCUACUCCCGAAACGAAGAAGACCACAAACAACACUUGAGGUUAGUGUUGGAGACCCUUAAAUCCGAAAAGCUAUAUGCGAAAUUUUCCAAAUGUGAAUUCUGGAUACGAAAGGUAACUUUCCUCGGUCACAUGGUAAGCGAGGAGGGUAUUCAUGUAGAUCCUUCCAAGAUUAAACCGAUAGAGAAUUGGUCGGCACCGAAGACACCCACAGAAAUUCGUCAAUUCUUGGGUCUCGCCGGCUACUAUCGAAGAUUCAUUUAGAAUUUCUCCAAAAUUGCCAAACCUUUAACCACUCUAACACAGAAAAGUUUACCAUUUUGUUGGAGUGAUAAACAAGAAACUGCAUUCCAAACGUUGAAGAAAGCCCUAUGCAGCGCGCCUGUUCUGUCUCUGCCCGAAGGGACAGAGGACUUCGUUGUCUACCGCGAUGCGUCUAAUCAAGGUUUAGGCUGUGUGCUUAUGCAAAGAGGAAAGGUGAUUGCCUAUGCCUCAAGACAGCUGAAAGCACACGAGGUCAACUAUACCACACAUGACUUGGAACUAGGAGCCGUAGUCUUUGCAUUGAAGAUUUGGAGACAUUAUCUUUACGGAACCAAGUGCACGAUCUUCACUGAUCACAAGAGCCUGCAGCACAUAUUUGAUCAGAAAGACUUAAACAUGAGGCAACGGCGAUGGGUAGAAUUACUCAGUGAUUAUGAGUGUGAAAUCCAUUACCAACCCGGCAAGGCCAAUGUGGUAGCAGGUGCCCUUAGCCGAAAGGAUAGUGCAGGCCACAAAGUGAAGAACUAGACGAUGACCAUCCAUUCCAACCUACCCAUGCAAAUCCGAGAAGCUCAGUUAACAGCCCUCAAAUCCGAGAACGUGUCGAAUGAAGCCUUGAGAGGAAUGGAAAAGAAACUUGAGAUCAGAGGUGACGAAGUUCACUAUUUCAUGAAUCGUAUCUGGAUUCCCAAAUCCAGAGGAUUCAGGGAAAUAGUCAUGGAGGAAGCGCACAGAACCAAAUACUCUGUUCACCCAGGUUCUGACAAGAUGUACCUGGAUCUCAAGAAACAAUAUUGGUGGCCAAACAUGAAAGCUGAGAUAGCUACUUUCGUGGGCAAGUGUCUGUCUUGCGCCAAAGUUAAAGUUGAACACCAGAAACCCUCAGGUCUGCUCCAACAGCCCGAGAUCCCCGAGUGGAAAUGGGAGAUGAUUACCAUGGACUUCAUCACCAAACUGCCCAAGUGGUCUAGUGGGUACAAUACCAUUUGGGUAAUUGUUGAUCGUUUGACAAAAUCCGCUCACUUCAUUCUAAUCAAAGAAUCAUACAAGAUGGAAAGACUCGCGCGAAUUUACAUCCAGGAGGUAGUACGUCUACACAGCGUACCUGUAUCCAUUAUCUCUGAUCGAGAUAGCAGGUUUACCUCUAGAUUCUGGCAAUCCCUUCAGAAAGCCCUUGGAACCAAACUAGAUAUGAGCACGGCGUAUCAUCCUCAGACCGAUGGACAGAGUGAGAGAACAAUCCAAACCCUGGAGGACAUGCUUAGGGCAUGUGUCAUUGACUUUGGAAAGUCAUGGGACACACAUCUAUCUUUGAUCGAAUUCUCGUACAACAACAGUUACCACACCAGCAUUAGGGCUGCUCCGUUUGAGGCCCUAUACGGUCGUAAGUGCAGAUCCCCUCUGUGCUGGGCCGAGGUGGGUGAUACACAAUUAGCCAGGAGUCGAGUCCCCGACAGUGCUCUCACUGGUCCUGAAAUCAUCCGCGAAACCACCGAAAAGACCAUUCAAAUCCGUAACCGAUUGAAAGCUACACGAGAUCGCCAAAAGAGUUACGCUGAUAAUCGUCGGAAACCACUAGAAUUCCUGGUUGGAGACCGUGUACUGUUGAAGGUCUCGCCCUGGAAAGGCACUGUACGCUUUGGUAAGCGUGGGAAACUUAAUCCAAGGUACAUUGGACCCUUUGAGAUUCUCUCCAGGAUCGGUCUAGUUGCCUAUAAACUUCAUUUACCUCAUGAACUCAGUAACAUUCAUCCUGUCUUCCAUGUUUCAAAUCUCAAAAAGUGCCUAUCCGAUGAAACCCUAACGAUUCCCAUAGACGAGAUCGAAAUCAAUAAAAACCUCAACUUUGUGGAGGAACCGAUCGAAAUCAUGGAUCGAGAAGUCAAACGUACAAAACAAAGUCGCAUCCCAUUAGUGAAGGUUCGCUGGAAUGCCAAGCGGGGACUGGAAUUCACUUGGGAACGGGAAGAUUCAAUGAAACAGAAAUAUCCACAACUCUUUCCAGAUCCAUGAUGUGUAUCUUGUCUUGUGUUUUAAACUUUGAAUUUCGGGACGAAAUUCCCUUUAACGGGGGGAUAAUGUAACAACCCAAAAUUUCCGUAUAAAUUAUUGUAACUCUUUUGUAGUCCAACUCGCGCAACCAAUCGUCAUUCCAAAUUCGAUUUCCGAUCUUCCGUUUAAUUAAGUCAUUAACUGGUACGUAUUUAAAAUGACUUAAUGGGUGUCUUAAUACAUUUAGAAAUCAUUUUAACACCCAACUUUAGUGAUCGGAAUAUUUCUAGAAUUUACCGUAUCAGGUUACGGCAACCUAAUCGGGUACGACCAAAAGCCUCGUCUAAUGCCGGUAUCGGGUAGAAUUCCACCGUGUCCAAAACUUAAACACUAUAUAAUGUGUCUUAAGCCUCCAGUUGAAGCCUUUGGCCAUUUUCUCAUAGAACUCUCACAACCUCUCUCCUCAUCCAUAAUCAAAGGUCCAAAACAAAGAUUUAAGGCUUCCAAUCAAAGAGGUAACACUCCUAACUUGUUAUUCAACCUCUUAAGCCUUCAAAUUAAUGUUUAAAUUAUGUUUUGGGACCAAGAACAUGAGUUUACGGCCAAGGAUCAUGCUUGGGCCGUAAACUCCUCAACAUGGGGUUUUUGAGCCAAUUUACCCUUCCAAAUCAUAGUUGGGACUUAGAUAUGACUUUAAGGCUUGCUAAUUUGGGACUUAGAACACAUUAAACAUGAAUUAUAUGGGACAAACAAGAGUUUACGGCCAAGGCAUGUACUUGGGCCGUAAACUCCAUUAAAUUGGGGAUUUAGUGCCUUAAAUCAUGUCCAAAUGCCUUGAAACUCAACCAAUGGCCUUGUGGUAAAAUCUAGAUGCAUUUAAAAAUAGUUUAAGGGUUUGAAACAUAUCAAAAAUGUCAUUUAUAGGAGUUUACGGCCUAGGAACAUACCCUUGGCCGUAAACUCAUAAAACCUUGUUAAUGAUGCAUCAAAUACACUCUAAUGGUUAGCAUAAAUUUCUAGAAUCACAUGUGAUUGUUUUUAAGCAUCAAAAACUAACUUUUCAUGAGUAUAAGAGAGUUUACGGCCAUAGAACAUGCCUCUAGGCCGUAAACUCCUAAAAGUAUGUUUAAUGGUGUUCUAAAUUCAUAACAAGGCUUGGAAAAUUAACUAGAAUCACAUAUGAUUGUCCUUUGUAGCUUAAAUCCAUUUUUCUUGGCCAUGGGUGAGUUUACGGCCAUAAAAUCUUAUGGUGUGGCCGUAAACUCCCUUUUAAGUGUUAUAAUUCCAUUAAAUCCAUUCCAAGGCAUUUUAGAAAUCCAUUCCAACAAUCCCCAUGUCCAUUUAAGCCAUUAAACACUCAAAACCAAACCAACAUGAGUUUACGGCCGUAAACUCAUGUGUGAGUGUGUUAUGUGGCUGUAAACUCUUUAAAAUGUUUACUCUUGGGGAGUAAACUCAAGUCCCAAGUCUCUAGUGCCAUUACACGUCUGAAGAUGUCACCCGGGUCACUCCAAACGCUCGUUUUGAGGUGUUUAACCUCGUUGGAGUGUAAUGUUCCAUAUGAUUAGUGAAUGUAUCCCUAAUUGAAUAUAUAUGGACAUUAUUUCAUUUUACAUAGGGACAUCGCGAGUAAUCAAACCCCGAACCAACGUCUAGUAUCCGAAACUUACGCAUUUCCGAGUCCGGUGAGUUCAUACCCCUACCCUUUUUCACUGUUUUCACUGUUUUCAUGUGGGGAACACAAGCAAAGUACAAGAGAAUUCAUGUACUCAAAACAUGUUUUCAAAUGUGUGAUUCAUAUUCCAUAUGCUUUUAUUACUGAUUACCACAACUGAUAACCAUUUGAACAUGCAGAUCACGUAACAUUUAUUUGUGAAAUAGGUCUUUAAACUGUUAUGUUUUACAUGUAUUUCACAAAUGGUUUUCCACAAUUUAUCAGUUAAAAGCAUGACAUUAGACAUUUGAAUAUAAUACCUGUACACUGUUUUGUCCUCGGUAACACUCCACAUAUAUAUGCGAGUGGAGGACUAUCACAUUAUUACUAGUAAAUUUGUUAAUCCUGUAUGAUUGGAGACACGUCCUCGGCGAACACUCCACAGAGAUACGCGAGUGGAGGACUACACCCGUAACCAGAAUCUCUGGUAUUUAGAGAGCGUGACUUGAGUGUAUAGAUCUAUACGGGGCUGACUACCCCACACCUGGCUGCUAGCUACAGCCGAACCGAAAUGGUUCAAGGGUGACGAAAGUCAUAAGUAUGUGGACUACUUAUUGCCACAUGUUGACUACUUAUUGCCACAGGUUUUAGUCUAUUGUAUGGUUAUGGAACUCGCAAUUAGGAUAACAGAGAUUUACUUAUAGUAAUAAUGAAUCACUUUAUACAUCUUUUACAUCUUUUACAUCUUUCACAACACUGUAACUAACAUUCAGGAAAGUACGGGACUUUCCUGGGGAAAACAUGGNNNNNNNNNNNNNNNNNNNNNNNNNNNNNNNNNNNNNNNNNNNNNNNNNNNNNNNNNNNNNNNNNNNNNNNNNNNNNNNNNNNNNNNNNNNNNNNNNNNNNNNNNNNNNNNNNNNNNNNNNNNNNNNNNNNNNNNNNNNNNNNNNNNNNNNNNNNNNNNNNNNNNNNNNNNNNNNNNNNNNNNNNNNNNNNNNNNNNNNNNNNNNNNNNNNNNNNNNNNNNNNNNNNNNNNNNNNNNNNNNNNNNNNNNNNNNNNNNNNNNNNNNNNNNNNNNNNNNNNNNNNNNNNNNNNNNNNNNNNNNNNNNNNNNNNNNNNNNNNNNNNNNNNNNNNNNNNNNNNNNNNNNNNNNNNNNNNNNNNNNNNNNNNNNNNNNNNNNNNNNNNNNNNNNNNNNNNNNNNNNNNNNNNNNNNNNNNNNNNNNNNNNNNNNNNNNNNNNNNNNNNNNNNNNNNNNNNNNNNNNNNNNNNNNNNNNNNNNNNNNNNNNNNNNNNNNNNNNNNNNNNNNNNNNNNNNNNNNNNNNNNNNNNNNNNNNNNNNNNNNNNNNNNNNNNNNNNNNNNNNNNNNNNNNNNNNNNNNNNNNNNNNNNNNNNNNNNNNNNNNNNNNNNNNNNNNNNNNNNNNNNNNNNNNNNNNNNNNNNNNNNNNNNNNNNNNNNNNNNNNNNNNNNNNNNNNNNNNNNNNNNNNNNNNNNNNNNNNNNNNNNNNNNNNNNNNNNNNNNNNNNNNNNNNNNNNNNNNNNNNNNNNNNNNNNNNNNNNNNNNNNNNNNNNNNNNNNNNNNNNNNNNNNNNNNNNNNNNNNNNNNNNNNNNNNNNNNNNNNNNNNNNNNNNNNNNNNNNNNNNNNNNNNNNNNNNNNNNNNNNNNNNNNNNNNNNNNNNNNNNNNNNNNNNNNNNNNNNNNNNNNNNNNNNNNNNNNNNNNNNNNNNNNNNNNNNNNNNNNNNNNNNNNNNNNNNNNNNNNNNNNNNNNNNNNNNNNNNNNNNNNNNNNNNNNNNNNNNNNNNNNNNNNNNNNNNNNNNNNNNNNNNNNNNNNNNNNNNNNNNNNNNNNNNNNNNNNNNNNNNNNNNNNNNNNNNNNNNNNNNNNNNNNNNNNNNNNNNNNNNNNNNNNNNNNNNNNNNNNNNNNNNNNNNNNNNNNNNNNNNNNNNNNNNNNNNNNNNNNNNNNNNNNNNNNNNNNNNNNNNNNNNNNNNNNNNNNNNNNNNNNNNNNNNNNNNNNNNNNNNNNNNNNNNNNNNNNNNNNNNNNNNNNNNNNNNNNNNNNNNNNNNNNNNNNNNNNNNNNNNNNNNNNNNNNNNNNNNNNNNNNNNNNNNNNNNNNNNNNNNNNNNNNNNNNNNNNNNNNNNNNNNNNNNNNNNNNNNNNNNNNNNNNNNNNNNNNNNNNNNNNNNNNNNNNNNNNNNNNNNNNNNNNNNNNNNNNNNNNNNNNNNNNNNNNNNNNNNNNNNNNNNNNNNNNNNNNNNNNNNNNNNNNNNNNNNNNNNNNNNNNNNNNNNNNNNNNNNNNNNNNNNNNNNNNNNNNNNNNNNNNNNNNNNNNNNNNNNNNNNNNNNNNNNNNNNNNNNNNNNNNNNNNNNNNNNNNNNNNNNNNNNNNNNNNNNNNNNNNNNNNNNNNNNNNNNNNNNNNNNNNNNNNNNNNNNNNNNNNNNNNNNNNNNNNNNNNNUAAACUCAUGAGUUUAAGGUAGUAAACUCAUGAGAAAUGGUCCUUAGACCAUAAACUCCAUUUAGGAGUGUUUUGAUGCCACACAACACUUCCUAAGGCAAAUUUGUGAAGUAGGAAUGCUUGGAAUAGCCUAGAAGACUUCAAAUCACCAAAUGGUCAAAAGGUUAGGAGUUUACGACCGUAAACUCAAGAGUUUACGACAAUAAACUCAAGGGGUGUUGAUCAUAAUGGAGUAAACUCAUUUUAAGAGUGUUCCUUGAACCCCAAACACACUAGCUUUUCCCUACAACACUUAGAUGCAACCCUUGAGACUUAUAANAAAGUGUUUGUCAUGCCUUAGAGUGUCUUAACUUUGUUUAUUAGUUGUUUAAAGACUAAUUGUGUAUAUACAUAUAUCCUUUUAUGUUAUUAGGAUCUUUGUGCGUGUCUAAGUCUUCACUUAACACCAAGCACUUAUCCGACACUUCCUUCCGAUCCACUUACUAUAGGUGAGUUCAUACCCGUUAAUCAAUGUUUUAAACUGUUUUUAAAUGUUUUAUGGGGGGGGGGGAUACAAGUAGAACCAUGCUACUUAUUAUAUCAAUCACAUGUGAUUAAUAAGCAACAUUCAAAUGAUUGGCUACUCAUUAGCCGUUUUACCAAACAGUUUCCUUCAAAUGUUUUUCAUAAACACUUUAUGUGUUUAAAACUCCCUAUUACACUGUACAUUUUACUCUGUAUAUUACAUUUCAAACUUACUUUCAAUUGUGUUUCAAACAAAUGUUUCUUUAUACUAAACCGUUUUAUCAAACCCAUGCCUUCAAAACCGUUUUAUAGAUUGACAUCAAGUCGAUCUUUUCUUAGAAAAUGAUUAUGCUCAAAGGUUUUACAAAAAUUAUUUUAUGUUUUAUUAUUAUAAAUUGCAUGCCUAUAUAUGUAUAGUUAUAUAAGAAAUGUUGAAAGGACAUAGGAAGGCUAUCCACCCUAUUUCCUUUUCCUCGAUUUGGAUGUGGUCUGGUGGGAUAUCGGGUACCCGUACGAAGGUCGUUUAAAUAUUAAUUAUAUAUCAUGUGUACAUAUAUAGUCAUAAAAGUCCUUCCAGUUCAUCAAUUGCCCUUGGGUAGCAAGGGUAUACAUCCAUGUUCAUACGUGCCAGUUAGAUUACUAGUAAACUACCAUAGGGGUAGUUUAGGAAAAUACUAGAACAAUACUAGAACUAUUACUAAAACGCAAUAACAUACAAUGAGUCAAUUCAUUCAUGAGUCAAUACUUGCUAGAACACUACAGUACUUUACUAUACUUGUUAGAUAGAGAGAACAUACAUUACAGCUAGAGCAUUUCAGUACAUUACUAUACUAUUACGUAGAUAAGUUUACAUGGUCACACUUACAUGAGUACAAUUACAUGAUCACACUUACACGAGUACACUUACAUAUACAUAGAACAUAUGUCACUAGGUGCUAUAGCAUGGACCCAGUUCAGGAUCUAACUAUACUGAUGAAUCACAACGCAAUUGUGAUAGUUAUAUCGAGUAUACAUGAUCAUAGUAAUGUGGAUGCUCACGGCUUGUAGAUAUGCAGGGGUCGUGGGUAGGUCCCAAAAUCCCUUUGAUAGGGGAGCGUAUAGCCUGGGAUCUAGACAUCACAUUAUACCUUAUCCCUCAAAUAAGGUAGCUGAGUACCGAUGUAGUUAUUUAUUACAAAUGCUACAAUACUUACAAGAUUACCCUAGACUUAAGGUAAUUGGUACGGUUGUAGUUCGACACUAUACCAUAGUACUAUUUCAUUUUCCCAUUACAUUCACUUCGUGAACAUUCACACGACGCACGGUAAUGUGGAAACUAUAUUUUUGGUUAAUGAUAGUCAUACUUGGGAAAAUACAUACUUUUACAAGAGACACACACACAGGCACUAGAUGGCUUGGUAGAAGGCUACAUUCAGAGCAGUUAGGUCUUGGUAUAAGACUACAUAGAGAGCAGUCAGGCCUUGGUAGAAGGCUACAUUCAGAGUAGUUAGGUCUUGGUAGAAGACUACAUUCAGAGCAGUUAGGUCUUGGUAGAAGACUACAUUCAGAGCAGUUAGGUCUUGGUAGAAGACACCUUCAUAUAAUAGUAGAAAUCAUAGGGAUUUCUAGGGUUUUUCAAACAUUUAAAGUUGAUUUACAAACAUUUUCAUACUUACAGUUCAUAUACACUUUCAAUACUUACAAUUUAUAUACAUACAAAUUCUUACGUACAAAUUCAUGCAUACAAAUACUUACUUACAAAUUAAGACACUAAAAUACUUAUGAUCUCACCAGCUUUAAAGCCGAUACUCGCUUUCAUAAUUACUUGUAUCCUCAGGUCAUCUAUAGACAGGUACAGAUGCAAGGUUUAGAGAAGAUGGAGCUCGUUCAAGACUCAUCUUUCAUUUUGAUUUAUGCUUUAGUCUCUAUUAUAUUUUGACAGAACACACUUGUAUAAUAAUUAUUUUAUUAAUGCAAUGGAUGAUGUUGUUGCUUGUUUACUACUUUACAUUGUUGUGAUACUGUACAUGACGUCCUCCACCCCAAAACGUUUCCGCCAUUAUUGGUUUUGGGGUGUGACAGAUUGGUAUCAGAGCAUUGUUUAUAGUGAAUUAAGUAUAUCAACCCAUAAAAGAUAUACUAUCUAUAAAUACAUAAGGGAUUAAAAAUACUCUGACCAAGAGUUUAUACUUUAGAUAAUAAAAUAUUUAAUUAGUAUACGUGCCUGCAUUUAUACUAAAAUCGGUGUCACUAGAACAGUACAAAAGAAUUACAAUUAAUGGGCAACGCAAGUGGGCUUAGAGACAUAUGGUCAAAACUGGGAAGAUAUAGCCUGAUCACCUAUAUUAUCCGAGGGUUGACUUGCAUGUGCUUAAGUUUAGUUGUGUGGUUGCAACAAUGCAAAAAUCUUACCAACCCUACCACAAUGAGAACAGUAGAACAUAACAUUAAACUUAAAAUACUAUAGGAGUAUUUGGUAUUACUAUAAGUACUUUAUACUUGAGAACUAAAACAGGAUCUUCAUUACUAAGUUGAUAGUUGCUAAGUGGAUACACUAAGGCUAUAUCUAAUUAGGAUGUUAUAGACUUAGAAUCCGUGAAAGUUUUACUUUACCCCUAUUCUGUGUGAAUUUGGAGUUAAGGUCACUUAUUCGAAGGCCUAUCCUGUUUCGAUUUCAUAUAACCGGUAUGCACUUCACAAAUAGCAAUGUAACUAAAGAAGAUUUUCUAAAUAAUUAUCUAGAUAGUUCGUCUAAUGAUUAUUCUCUUACCCCAAUUCUCGCGUAGAUAACAUGGCUGGACUCCAUCCUCACGACAACCCGUACCUUCUGAAUGAGGUCAUUGCUGGAUGGUUUGAAGAAGAGCCAGAAAAUGAUCAUCCUAUCCCUGUGAAUGAUCACCAUGAUGAAGACCUUUCGGAUGGUGCUAAUUCCGAGCCCGAGGUUGAGGAUCUACCCCAGGCAGCUCCUGUUCCAAUUCCUAACCCUCGUCCGGCUUUUCAUGGCCCGACGCCUCCAUGGGUGGAAUGUUUGGAAACAUGGAGCGAAGGUCAAGAUCAACCCAUGUCGUUUAAUGGAGACCAAAGCUUCUACAACAUAAGUAAAGGGAGCUUAGCAGAUAGAGUUCUACCAAUUCUGAUCCAUAGAGUUGCCCGAAACGAGAUUCAGGGCAUGACAGCCCUACAACGUAUCGCGGAAGUUGAUACAAAUUAAGGAAUGCAUAUGCUUCGCACCAGUCGGCUUGAACAUGCUCGUGAGAGGUCUGAGAGAGACAAUGAGACCUUGCUGCAAGCAGUAGCUAAAACUCGAGCUGAAGUCAUAGAGCUCCGAGUACACCAGAGGGUGUACGAAAGAUACCUUCUUGAUAUGGAACGACAACUGGCUGAACUAAGAGUUCACCAGAGGGAUGACCGUCGCCAGGAGUAGAUGCUUUACUUUAUUUUUCCUGGUUAAAAUAAAUCGUUCUUCUAUCUAUGCCCGAUGUGGCAUUUUCUAUGAAACUUUCUGGUACUGUAAGUACUGUUGUUAGGUCUUUAUGCUGUCAGGAACUAUCUUCUUUGUUUAUGAUGUAAGACCUAUUACAAGGUCAUUUUCCCGAACUUUUACGUAAUGAAAAUCAAAAAUAUUGACAGUCGGCUAACUUCUGUUCCCUUUUUAGUCAAGUACUCUCAUCCUACUUUCCUUGGAGUCAAUCUGAAACAUGCUUUAGUCAAGUCAUUGGACUAUAGUAAUUUAACUCCGGAGACAUUUCCAUGUCUAUUUCAAUGGUUGGAUCAUGUUAUUCACCAACCAACGAUACCUCGGCUUGAACGACAAACGUCUUGAGACCAUUCUACAAACUCACUUCCAUUCCGUACUUGGACUGCAUCAUAUGGAUGUAGGUCAACCUUUCGAGAACAUACUCUUACUCCUUGAUUGAGCAAUCGAAGUACAUCUAGGUUCAACCAGAAUCGAUCACAAAAUCCUUAUCUUUUGUAUUACAUAACCAUGUCGUCAUCCGGAAGCAAUCAGUCGAACAACGAAACCUCCGCUUUUCCCAUGGAUGCAGCUACUUUCCAAACCGCAGUUACAACGACUGUGAUGGCUUCCGUGACAGCUGUCCUUGCGCACUGUAGCGCGAUCAGCACAAUCAAUACUGAUGAUAGGGUUGAAGUUUCCAAUCGUGGUAUCCAUCCAGGAAAUCGCCAAACAGUAACAGUCACAGGCUCGCCAAGCCGAAAGACAGAGAAAAAGAAACUAANGUCAAGCUCAGAAAGAACGCAAGAAAUCCCAAAAACUUGCCAUGCAACAGCAACAAGUGGAAACCACUGCCAUUCCCGUACCGAGCAGGCCAUACGAGGGAAAACUCCCGAAGUGUGAUAAGUGUAGUUUCCAUCAUCAUGGGGCCUGCCAUGAGAUGCAGUGUUGCAAUUGCCUAAAAAUAGGGCACCAUGCUCGUAAUUGUGGAGCACUGACACGACCCAUCACUCAAGUCCCUUUCAUCGGGACCAAACCUACACACGAGAGUAGUGAUAAAGCUGAGCGCUUUAGGAAGCAAUUUCCAAGGUGGAGUAAUGAGGAAGGCACUCGUGUCCACAUAACACUGGCUAAACACCUCACUUCCACCACCAAUGUUGGUGCUGUCCAGAUAUGUCACCAAUGCGGUGAAAUUGGACACUUCAAGAAAGAUUGCCCUAUAACAAAGAACUCUGGCGCAGACGGGAAGUUUCUCAAGAUCACAGCUGCAGGAGAACCCACUCCGGACCCUCGUUAAUGUAGUUUAGGCGUUUUGUUGUAACAGACUUAUAAACUAUUCAAAACUAGUGUAACUAGAGUCUUACCUUCUGCGAGAUCAUGUCUGUAUAUGGAUGCUCGUGCUGCAUAUACUUGUCUUUUGUAGUAUACCUUAUUCACAGCAAUAGCCUUGUAGUAAAACUAAAGUACUGUAACUCUACUCAUGGUUGCACGGUUGUGUUUUGUCUGUAAACGACUUAUGUUCAAAUCUAAUGUCUUUAAGUUUCUGUAUGAUUCCGACAUUAUCAUGCGACCCGAUUCAACUUGAUCCUCACAAAAACAGCUUCAUACAUACAUCUCUUUGUCAGUAAACGUCGUCUCAGCGAAACCGUCAUAUCAGAACACCAAAGUACUCUUGCAUGGAGUACCUCAUAGUUCUUUUCUUUUCCGAAGAAAUCCCUGAAGUACCACUCACGCAGUACGUCAAGUUCAAUCCAAGGAUUCAUGCGGAUGAUCUAUCACUGAGGAUUGUAUACAUAAGAGUGAUAUAUAAUCAAGGUUCUACAGGUUUAGAAUUAAUGAUUUCGCUUUAACUCAUUUCCUCGUUGGGAUGUGAGGGUAAAGAAGAAUCAGUUAUUCGACUACCUUUUCAAUCUUAAUUAUAUACGACUCAUAUAAACGAGAUUGUGAUUGUGAAACCAUGUAUGAAUUCUAAUAUGAACUUCAGGACGGAGAACUGCCUAAGUCUACGAGUAAUCACAUCGUCAUGUGAACAAACUUAGAACCCAGUAUGACUCCCAUAAACAGAUCGCCCUAUAGUCUAAACAUCUACGGAGAUACAAGAAAAGUACAGACGACUUAACGAACUACAAAGAAAUAGAAUUAGAAGACUAGGCUUCUGACCCUGGAGAACCCCGAUCUUAUUCUUCUAGAGAUCGACGGAUUGCAUCGUAUGUACCUCGGAUAUCGAGGACUCCGUCAAGAAUUUUCAUUACAAAUCGUUAUCUCUGCCUCACAUAGAUGAAAUGGUUGAGCAAACGCAAGGAAAGAAUUACUUUCAGAAAUGGACCUGAGAUCCGAAUAUCACCAGUUCGAGUGUUAAGGAAGGAUGUCCGGAAGACUAUCUUCCGAACUAGAUGUGGACACUUCGAAUUUGUAGUGAUACCCUUCGGAUAGGACCAAUACGCCCAUAGUUUUCAUGAGUUUAAUGAAUAGAGUUCGUCUUUCCUACUUGGAUCAGUUCGUCAUUCUCCAUGUAAUGACUUACUUAUCUAUCCUCGUAGUAAGAAGGAACCCAUGGAAACAUUACCUUCGGAGGAACUUACGCAAAGCUCUCUAAACACGAGUUUUGAAAUUGAAGGGUCAGAUUUCCCACGACGCACUAUUAGUGAUGUGGAAAAUUUUGAGCACUCUUCCAAUUUGUCAAAACCGUUGAGAAUUUGUCGACACCAGAGACGCUGACAGAAAUUCGCCACAUUCUAGGUCUUACAGACCUACUGUCAUAGUUCAUUCAGAACUCCUCGCAAAUUACAGAAACCCUUUCGACUUUGACCUAGCAAGGGGUGGCCCUUGAAUGGGAAGUUUAGUAAGAGAAAGAACCCUUGGAAGUUCCAAGUGAGAGACCAAGUUCUUCAGGAAAAGCUCACUUUGGGAAUGGCUUAAUACGCUUCGUAAAGCGUGGAAAGCUAAAUCCAAGAUUGAUAGGACCUCCGGGAUUCUUACCAAAAUCGGUCCUGUACCUCGCACAAACGAGACCUACUCCGCGAACUCAGUAACAUACAUUCUACUCUUCAAGUCUCGAUCGUGAAACCGUACUUUUCCGUUAGGAGUCUUGUAAGCCCACUCGUCGAGAUCCUCGCCUUCGUAUUAGAACCGCAGUGACCCUCGACCGAGAGGUCAAGCGGACGAAGCAACGCGAUCGCCCGUUAGUGAAGGUUCGUUGGGAUACCAACUGAGGAUCCGAUUUCACUUAAGAGCUCUAGAACCAAUCGAUUAGGAAGUUCCCUCCUCUCGACUCGAUUAUUCAUACCUACUUCCUUACCUAAAUUCUAAUUUCGGGAUGAAAUUCCCUUUAACAGGGGGACGAUGUGACAACCCGAAAUUUCCAUUCGGUCCAACCCUAAAAGUCAACCAUUUCGUAUCAUAAGUCAAUGUCAUUAUUUCUUAUUUUUAAGAAAUAUAAAAUUCGUUUGAUUAUUUUAAUAUUAUUUUUAAGCGAACGGGUGAAAGAAAGUGUUGUCUCGGUUUUUGAUUUUUGAAAACCGCAAACACUUCGCGUAUUAGAAACACCCGACCAAACUUUUAUUUUUGGGUUGAAAAAUCAUCCAAAAAUCGUGAACUCAUACCUAUGUAUGAGUUUACUCCCCAAAAACUAGUCAUUUGUGUUUACUCCCCAAAAGUCAAAAAGAGUAAACUCCAAAAUAUCCUCUCAAGUAUCAUCCAAGUUUUUAUUCUAGAUCUUCAAACUAGUAAGUGUUUCUAGCCUUUCAAGUUAGUAUAUCACUUAAUCUAGUGAUUUUACACCCUUUAAUCCAUCCAUUUUUAUGUUUUGAUUAGUUUUUCCAAAACACCAAGAACACCAAGAACACACACUAGUGUUCUUGGACUUAAAGUUCAUUUCAAGCUUCCACAAUGUAAGUACUUCUAUCCUAGAGUCAUUUUAAGCUAGCUAUACAUGUUUAUACCAAGGAAAAGUCCCAAGAACACCAAGAACAAGGUGUUCACGGUUUUGGGAGGCUCCCAAAACCGUAAACACCAAAUAUAGUGCCUUAGGGUGCUUUAGGGUGUUUAGAUGCUUCUUUAUGCCUUAAGAACUUGUAUAGAUCCACCCUUGAUGAGUUUAUCACCCAAAAGUACCAAAACCUUCCAUUUUUAUGUGUUUACAGUUUAGGGAUGUCCUUAAACCGUAAACACCCCAAAAGGUGUGAAAAUGUCCCAUAAAAGUCCCAUGGUUGUUCCUUACGGCUAAAUCUAACCUAGACUAGUGCCAUGAUUGAGCUAAGGACUUGAAAACCCCAAAUACCAUAAACUUAUGAGUUUAAGGUAGUAAACUCAUGAGAAAUGGUCCUUAGACCGUAAACUCCAUUUAGGAGUGUUUUGAUGCCACACAACACUUCCUAAGACUAAUUCAUGAAGUAGGAAUGCUUGGAAUAGCCUAGAAGACUUCAAAUCACCAAAUGGUCAAAAGGUUAGGAGUUUACGACCGUAAACUCAAGGGGUGUUGAUCCUUAGGGAGUAAACUCAUUUUAAGAGUGUUCCUUGAACCCCAAACACACUAGCCUUUCCUUACAACACUUAGAUGCACUCCUUAGCACUUAUAACACUUAUACAAAGUGUUUGUCAUGCCUUAGAGUGUCUUGACUUUGUUUAUUAGUUGUUUAAAGACUAAUUGUUAAUAUACAUAUAUCCUUAUAUGUUAUUAGGAUCUUUGUGCGUGUCUAAGUCUUCACUUGACACCAAGCACUUAUCCGACACUUCCUUCCGAUCCACUUACUACAGGUGAGUUCAUACCCCUUAAUCAAUGUUUUAAACUGUUUUUAAAUGUUUUAUGGGGGGGAUACAAGUAGAAUUAUGCUAAUUAUUAUAUCAAUCACAUGUGAUUAAUAAGCAGCAUUCAAAUGAUUGGCUACUCAUUAGCCGUUUUACCAAACAGUUUCCUUCAAAUGUUUUUCAUAAACACUUUAUGUGUUUAAAACUCCCUAUUACACUGUACAUUUUACUCUGUAUAUUACAUUUCAAACUUACUUUCAAUUGUGUUUCAAACAAAUGUUUCUUUAUACUAAACCGUUUUAUCAAACCCAUGCCUUCAAAACCGUUUUAUAGAUUGACAUCAAGUCGAUCUUUUCUUAGAAAAUGAUUAUGCUCAAAGGUUUUACAAAACUUAUUUUAUGUUUUAUUAUUAUAAAUUGCAUGCCUAUAUAUGUAUAGUUAUAUAAGAAAUGUUGAAAGGACAUAGGAAGGCUAUCCACCCUAUUUCCUUUUCCUCGAUUUGGAUGUGGUCUGGUGGGAUAUCGGGUACCCGUCCGAAGGUCGUUUAAAUAUUAAUUAUGUAUCAUGUGUACAUAUAUAGUCAUAAAAGUCCUUCCAGUUCAUCAAUUGCCCUUGGGUAGCAAGGGUAUACAUACAUGUUCAUACGUGCCAGUUAGAUUACUAGUAAACUACCAUAGGGGUAGUUUAGGAAAAUACUAGAACUAUUACUAAAACGCGAUAACAUACAAUGAGUCAAUUCAUUCAUGAGUCAAUACUUGCUAGAACACUACAGUACUUUACUAUACUUGUUAGAUAGAGAGAACAUACAUUACAGCUAGAGCAUUUCAGUACAUUACUAUACUAUUACGUAGAUAAGUUUACAUGGUCACACUUACAUGAGUACAAUUACAUGGUCACACUUACAUGAGUACAAUUACAUGAUCACACUUACACGAGUACACUUACAUAUACAUAGAACAGAUGUCACUAGGUGUUAUAGCAUGGACCCAGUUCCGGAUCUAACUAUACUGAUGAAUCACAACCCAAUUGUGAUAGUUAUAUCGAGUAUACAUGAUCAUAGUAAUGUGGAUGCUCACGGCUUGCAUAUAUGCAGGGGUCGUGGGUAGGUCCCAAAAUCCCUUUGAUAGGGGAGCGUAUAGCCUGGGAUCUAGACAUCACAUUAUACCUUAUCCCUCAAAUAAGGUAGCUGAGUACCGAUGUAGUUAUUUAUUACAAAUGCUACAGUACUUACAAGAUUACCCUAGACUUAAGGUAAUUGGUACGGUUGUAGUUCGACACUACACCAUAGUACUAUUUCAUUUUCCCAUUACAUUCACUUCGUGAACAUUCACACGACGCACGGUAAUGUGGAAACUAUAUUUUUGGUUAAUGAUAGUCAUACUUGGGAAAAUACAUACUCUUACAAGAGACACACACACAGGCACUAGAUGCCUUGGUAGAAGGCUACAUUCAGAGCAGUUAGGUCUUGGUAUAAGACUACAUAGAGAGCAGUUAGGCCUUGGUAGAAGGCUACAUUCAGAGCAGUUAGGUCUUGGUAGAAGACUACAUUCAGAGCAGUUAGGUCUUGGUAGAAGACACCUUCAUAUAAUAGUAGAAAUCAUAGGGAUUUCUAGGGUUUUUCAAACAUUUAAAGUUGAUUUACAAACAUUUUCAUACUUACAGUUCAUAUACACUUUCAAUACUUACAAUUUAUAUACAUACAAAUUCAUGCAUACAAAUACUUACUUACAAAUUAAGACACUAAAAUACUUAUGAUCUCACCAGCUUUAAAGCUGAUACUCGCUUUCAAAAUUACUUGUAUCCUCAGGUCAUCUAUAGACAGGUACAGAUGCAAGGUUUAGAGAAGAUGGAGCUCGUUCAAGACUCAUCUUUCAUUUUGAUUUAUGCUUUAGUGUCUAUUAUAUUUUGACAGAACACACUUGUAUAAUAAUUAUUUUAUUAAUGCAAUGGAUGAUGUUGUUGCUUGUUUACUACUUUACAUUGUUGUGAUACUGUACAUGACAUCCUCCGCCCCAGAACGUUUUCACCGUUCUUGGUUUUGGGGUGUGACAGACUUUGCCCUCGAAGUCAUGCUCAGCAAAUAACUCAGGAUGCUGCUCCCGCAUCUUUGACUCCGGCUCCCAAGUCAAAUCGGACCCUCUCUGAUGUUGCCACUGAACCUAAACCAGGGACACUUCCUUGUUUCUUAGAACCUUCACAUUUCGAUCCAAGAUCGCUAUCGGCCUCUCAAUAUAAUUUAGGCUCGCAUCUACCUGAAUGUCCUCUAGCGGUACCACUGUCGUAUCGUCGGCUACACACUUCCUCAACUGGGACACGUGGAAGGUGUUAUGGAUCUGACUCAACUCCGCAGGUAGCUCCAAAUGGCACGCUACCCAACCAAAUCUGGCGGUCACCUUAAAAGGACCGAUGUAUCGGGGUGCAAGCUUGCCCAGGUUCCUGAGUCGGAUCACCCCUUUCCAAGGGGAUACCUUUAGAAGGACAAAAUCUCCAACCUGAAACUUGAGAUCAGAUCGUUGCCUGUCUGUGUAACUCUUCUGGCAACUCUGGGCCAUUAGUAACCUCUGCCUGACUUGCUGAAUAUGCUCGGUCGUCUUGAGUACUAUCUCCGUGCUACCCAUCACUCGUUGUCCCACCUCUCCCAAACAGAUAGGAGUUUGACACCUUCUCCCAUAAAGGAGCUCGAAAAGAGGCAUACCAAUGUUGGAUUGGUGACUGUUAUUGUAAAAAAACUCAGCCAAGGGUAAGUAAGUGUCCCAACUUCCUCCGAAAUCCAUCACACAUGCACGCAUCAUGUCCUCCAGCGUCUGAAUCGUUCGCUUGCUCUGUCCUUCUAUCUGUGGGUGAUAGGUAGUAUUGAAAUGCAAGAGCGUGCCCAAAUCCUCAUGAAAUCCAAAACCUGGAAGUAAAACGCAUGUCUCGAUCCGACACUAUCGAGACCGGCACUCCAUGUCGCGCUACCACUUCUCUCACAUAGAUCUCGGCCAAUCUCUCCGCAGAAGAGCUCUCACUAAUAGCAAGGAAGUUAGCACUCUUCGUCAGUCGGUCCACAAUCACCCAAAUCGCGUCAACCCUUCGCGCAGUCUUCGACCACUUGGUGAUAAAGUCCAUUGAGAUCUGUUCCCACUUCCACUGGGGAAUCUCAAGAGGCUGCAAUGGACCAUGUGGACGUUGGUGCUCUGGCUUGACCCGAAGGCAGGUCAAGCACCUCUCAACUACCCAAGCAACAUCCUUCUUCAUACAUGGCCACCAAUAGUCUCUUUUUAGGUUUAAAUACAUACUAGUAGCCCCGGGGUGGAUCGAGAAGCUCGAUUUAUGCGCCUCUUCCAUCAUUAUACGUUGGGCUCCGCCCGUAUAGGGCACCCAAAUCCACCCUCAGGAAGUCAUAAAUCCUCGGCUAUCCGUCACAAACUCGAACACCUGCCCAAUCACCCUCUCCCUCUUGUGGUUCUCCGAUUUCACGGCCUCCGCCUGGGCCUCUCGAAUGGUAUCCAAGACCGGAGCUGUCAUUGUUAUCCUCAUACACACAUCUCAAAUUGGGGUACUCUCUGCUCUACGGCUCAGGGCAUCGGCUACUACGUUAGCCUUCCCCGGAUGAUACAGGAUCUCACAGUCAUAGUCUUUCACCACAUCCAACCAUCUCCUAUGCCGCAUAUUCAGGUUAGGUUGAUCCAUGAGAUACUUCAGGCUCUCGUGGUCCACGUAUAUGGUACACCGAACCCCAUACAAGUAGUGGCGCCAGAUCUUGAGGGCGAACACAACCGCCCCUAACUCCAGAUCGUGGGUGGGAUACCUUGUCUCAUGAGGGUUCAACUACCUCGAGCAUAUGAUAUCAUGUGAUCCCUCUGCAUCAACACUGCACCCAUCCUUGAGAUAGACGCAUCACAAUAAACCACAAAGUCCUACACUCCCUCCGGAAGAGCUAGUACACAAUCUCUAGCGAAGAGUCUCGAAUAAUGGAUACUCCCAACAAGAAUAGAGGAUAUGCUAUAAGUUUAUAUCAUAUCUCUUCAUGUUCUAAAGGAGUAAAGUAUUGGUCUUUUUUCCUACACAAGAGUAAAAAAAAAAAUCUUUAGUAUCCAUAAAAUAAUAACUUUUAUCUACUAACAAAGCAAAAACAAGAUUACUAACCAUUUUAGAAACUCCAGGUGAGAUUUCACAAAAUGCUUUAUGUCUUCUUUUAAAACAAGUGCAUCAGAUGAAAAGUACAUCAACUCCUGCAUCAACAAAAGCCGUAGAUCUCCAAAGAGCUUCUUGUAUAGCAAUGCCUGACAAGAAUAUGUUCUUGUUACAAUAACAAUGUCAUAACCACUCUCUUUCAAAGCAUCAACAAUUAUUUUUAUCUUCAUCACAAGUUCUACUCUAGAUACCACUUAACUGCCUUAUGUAUGACCACAAGCUUUUGAGGAUACCUUGCAGUUUCAACAUUAUCAGCAAUCUGCAGGACCUACAUAUGAAUCCUAUGAUAGUUGAUGUUAGGAAAUGAAUUUGAUCUUCGAGAAUUAUUUUAACAAAUCCUGCUCUGAAAUAUUUGGCAAGCUUUUAUAAUGGACAAUGCUUUUGUAAUGUCCUUGCUUCACAAUCUCUCCAUAAGAUAUUAGUCCAGUAUUAUCUAGCAGGCCUAAUCGAGCCAUCUGUAUUCCAAAACCUAGCGAGAGAACAAAUCAAAGGCAAAAUUACAGGAUUGAUCAGACGAGGUUGCACAUUAAUACCAAUUUCAACAUUCUAGCCAUCUCUCUCUAUUAGCUUCACAUCAAGGUCAUUGAAACAAGCAGGGGCUUAGUGAAUUCGAGGAGAAUCAAGUAGUUAUCGUAACUUCUUCGUCGGAGAAAAAUCUGAAGUGGCGUUGUUUAGGCUGUUUGUCUCCUCCAUAAGAACUUAUGGUGAUAGAAUUGGGUGCCGAUAUAGCCCUAGAAACUGGUGAAAUAGAAAUCGAUGAAAGGGAAGGAGUUUGAGGUUUUCAAUGGGAGGUAAUUAUAAGACAAAAUCGGGGGAGGGGGGCACAAAUUCCAAACUGUGGGAAGCGUGUUUGACCUAGAGGAGGUGAGAGAUACAUACGAUCUUGAGAGUUGUGGUGACGGGUGAGAAGAUGUAGACGGGCUGGAGGAGUAGGCGACACAAAUUGUGUUCGCCAUUGACGGUGGUGGUAACCGAUGUUGAUGGCAGAGAAGGGAGACGGAACCCUAGAUCACCCAUGUGUGUGUUUUGAACCAAAACAUUGAAAACAUAACGGUAUCUUUUUCCGUCAUUUUAGACACUAAUUCACAACAAACAUUGUUUAUUUCAUUAUUUUUUAUAAAAGAUAACAUUACGACGUACAAGCGUUAAUCCUGAACAUUUUACAUACAUAACUUUUUAAGAAAUAUCUUUUUGUCUGUCAUAAAAUUAGUGUAUGUCAUAAGUCUGUCAUUAAAAGUCUUUUCUAGUCGUGUCAAAGACUAUGUCACCGUACAUCCAAAGUAUGUCGAAACAUUUGCUAUCCUUUAGAAGUUAAAAAUAACAUUUUUCUAGUUUACUUAAAAAAAAGUAUUUAUCGGGCAUAAACCUUUCUUAGAAAUCCUCCAAAACCUUGUAUCGACAACAAAUUGAAGAACUGAUAGAUGGAAAAAACAUUUUUUUAAGGAAAAAAACGGUAUUAAAACCCCUGUCAAAUUUAUUGAUAUGGAUGUUGAACUUAAAACCCCCUCAAAUUACAUUAUAUACCGAAAUUAAAAGCCAAAAAUAAAAAAUUAGAUGAAAACUACAUCUGUCGAGCCUUUUGUAAAUUUGAUAUGAAUGCCACUAUCUUCACAUAAACCCUGUCUUUGAAGUUAUCAUAACAGUGAAAAAAAGCAUGUCUUCCACGACGGUUGACAAGUAAAGCACCACAUGCUAUCCAAAAUCCAGUAGCAAAACCGGUCCCCCCACCAAUAUAGAACCAUCCCCAAAUUUCAUCUCCACCUUCCCCAUCACCCACACUUUCACCAACGACAGGUGGCACUUUUAAAUCUUCAUCCUCAGGACAUUUUUUGUUAAGAGGAGGUCCACAUAGUCCUACAUUUCCAUCGUAUCUUGAAGGUUCAAAGGACUGGAGCUGUGUGCUAGAUGGGAUUCUCCCUGUCAAGUUAUUAAAUGACAUGUCUAGGUAAUUCAGUAAGCUCAUCCGAGACAUGCUUGAUGGUAUCUGCCCUGAAAAAUUGUUUCUAGAUAAAUCCAAAGUCAAAAGAUUUUUCAUCUCACCAAUUUUCUGUGGAAUAUCUCCAAAUAGAUCGUUGUUUGACAAGUUUAGAGAAAUCAAGUCAUGAAGAUUGGUAAUUUCGUAUGGGAUUUGUCCUGCUAAAUUGUUGCUUGAAAGGUCAAUGCUCUUCACCAAUUUUAGAGUGUUAAAGAAUUCCCGUUCAUCUCCUUGCCACCUAAUCAUCGCAUUGUCAACAUAUGUCGUCCAAACAUAUGUUUGACCUCCUUCAGUUCUAUAUACCUUUAUAUCUUGUGAGAAUCCUUGUAGAACCAUGCUCGUAAGAUUACUCAAAUACGAGGGUAUGGUUCCAUAGAGAUUGUUCAUUGACAAGUCUAGAAUUUGAAGAUUUGCUAAUUGACAUAAUUUUGAAGGGAUGGUUCCAAUGAAGUUGUUUGAUCUUAGGAUAAGAACAUACAAUCCUGUUAAGUUUUCCCCAAUCCAGACAGGCACAUUACCAGAGAACUUGUUGGCUCCCAAAUUCAACGAGUUUAAACUCGUGCAAUUCUUUAAUGACAAAGGCAAUUCGCCAGAUAAUUCAUUCUUGUAUAAAUGCAAUACCUUGAGAUUGAUCAGAUAUUCAACAGAGGGAGGAAGCCUUCCAAAGAGAUUGUUGUGCCCCAGAUUAACAAUUUUUAGUUGUUUGAAAUGCCACAAACAGUCGGGGAGUUGUCCAGUUAAUGAGUUAUGAGAGAGGUCAAGAAAUGACAAGAACCCACCAACAAUCUGGCAUAUAAACGAGAUUCCCCCAGAAAACUUGUUUCUGGAAAGAUCUAAUGAUGCCAAAGUGGAAGCAACAUUUGGUAUUGGACCAUGAAAGUUGUUGGAACUCAAAUCUAUCACAGAAAGGUUGGCAAAAUUUGAUAAUAAAUCUGGUACUUUCCCACUAAUGUUGUUGGAAGAGAGAUUCAGAUAUUCUAAUUGAGAAGGCCAUGUGGCCCAAAACUCGAGAGGAGUUGUGUCUGAAAUUUCAGUAUUGGAAAGAUCAAGACUGGUAAGAUUUUUGAGUGUAUGAAUCCAUUUUGGGAAGUGAGGCCCUAUCUUACAAGACAUCAGACCAAUAACCUUUACAUAAGAAAGGCUUGACAAGUGAUAUGUGGAAGGAACUGUAAGAUUAUUAGAAGAAAGAUCAAGAAUUUGGAGCCUGGGUAGUUCCCACAGUUUCUCACUUAUACUUCCAUUUAACUGAUUAUCAGAUAGGUACAGAGAUUCUAGGGAUGCAAACUUCUGGAUCUCAUCGGACAGUGACCCUGUAAAUUGGCUACCUCGAGUAAUCAACAUUUGUAAGGUCAAGGACGUGCAUCCAGACAAGUUGUUGAGAAAAUCAGGAAAUUUGACAACAGCAGAGUUGUUAACGAUGUACAAACGUUCCAAACUACAGAGGUUCCCAAGGUAUUUGGGUAUCCCAUCUAACAUAUUGCCAGAGAGAAGAAGAGAACUAAGCUUAUUGCUGGUUAAUGGAAGCAACCAGCGAUACAUGGAUGAGUUCAGAUUGUUGUUUGUAAGAAAAAGGUAUUCAAUAGAUGAAGAAGAGUUGUGAAAAGAAGAAUAUGGAUACAUGACCUGUGACAGCUCACAUCCAUCUAAACUUAAACUCAACAGUUUUGGGAGACUCGAAAUUACACCUACCCAAUUAUUUGCAUUCGCAAGGGAAAUCCCAUCCAUUCUCAGAUCCUCCAAAUGAGAGAGAUGAGACAACCACUCCAUGUUUUCAACUCUACAACUUCCAACAGAAUCAAGAUAAAGGUAUUGCAAGUUGGUGAGGUUUCCAAAGUGUGAAGGAAUGGUUCCAUAAAGAGAGUUACUGGAAAAGGAAAGGUGCCUUAACUGGGUCAAGUAACCAAUGGACCUGGGAAUAGCUCCAUGAAAGGAAUUGUAGGAAAGGGAAAGGUACCUUAAUCGAGUCAAAGAACCAAUGAAAGUGGGAAUGGUUCCAUGAAAUGAAUUGUCAGAAAGAUCAAGAAGAUUCAAGUAGGUUAAGUUAACCAAGGAAUGGCUAAUCUCACCUCCAAGACCACCCUGUGAAAAGAAGUUGUUGAGUUCAAGCUUUGUGACGUGACCAGUUUGGUUGUUGCACUCGACUCCACUCCAUUUACAGCAGUCAUAUUGGUCAGAUCUCCAUGUAGAGAGAGUAUCAGAGGGGUCGUGAAGGGGAGCUUUGAAAAGAAGGAGAGCAUCUCUCUCCUUAUCCAAACACUUUUUCAUAUUUCUAUCAUCUCCUUCCAAUUGGCUGGCAGUUGCAUUCACAAGGAGGAGCAACAGAAGUGAGAAAAUUAUAAAAACACAAGGAUUCAUAAUUUAAUUAAAAAUGAAAAUCUUGGUGAUUUUUGGUUUGUAAUGAUGCCUGCCUAUAUGAACUGCACCCGUGAGUGUUUAUAUAUAUAGUCUCGAAUGUGAGCAUAACUGAUUCUAAACGGGUGGCCUUGAAUUAAUUAUGUCGGGGAUACAAUAUUUAAUUCCCAUGAAAUUAGAACCAAACUAUAAGAAAAAAUCAAAGAUGAAGAUUUGAAAUAAAUGUCCCAAAUUAGUCGUUCAAAGACUUGCAAGUCUUGACAAUUUGCAUAUAUUAUCUAUAUCUUAUCCGAUUUCAUGAUAUAUUCAAAGACUUUAAAGUGAUGUUUACCAUAACCUUUAUUAAAUACAAACAUAUAAGAAUGUAAACGCAAACAUUGAACUGACCACCAAAUUAACAACAACUAUUUAAUAAAUCUCGUAUUCCCAUUCCGUUGUUAAACAAUUUAUGUUUAUGCUAUCCUAAGAGUAUUUUUAUGAAAUCAAUUAGAAAAGUUUUAGCAGAAACAUAUAUCUAAUUUAUCAUAUCAAUUAAUUCAAAAUUUUCGAACAGAAACAUAAACCCAGUAUUCAACAGAAACGAAAAAAAAUUCAAACAAAAUCAAAAGAAACGUUAUUCAACAGAAAAAAUAGAGAACAGGGAUGAAGAGGAGAAAUGCGUUGAGUAUUAGUGACGGAAAACCAAGAAGAUGACAACGGUAGCUAGGCGGCGUCUUCGACGACAGUGGGGAGGUAAAAAAGCAAAAAAUUUAUGGAUAUUUUUUAGCAAUAUAUUAUAUUAUAUGGACUUGUUCGCGAAAACAUUAUUAUAUUUAUUUAUUGGUUAUGUAUAUAUCAACCUGAAAGAUAUUUUUAUAUUUUUAUCAUACAAUAACCAUUUAUAUUGCUAAAAAAUAUCCAUAAAUUUAUGUGAUUAUUUUUUUCCCACAUUAAUAAAAAAUAACCUCAUAAUUUAAGUUAUUAUUCCCUAAUUGCAGUACUUGACAUCAGAUCAGUGAUAAUUAAUGUUUUGCAAAAACGACAGUUUUGAACCCUAAUCCAAGUUUGAACCUUGAGUUUAUUAUGCUUGGAAAAUAUAAAAUCUAUUCAUAAUUACAAAAGAGUUUCUAAAAAUAAAAUAUUUAUAAAUUUCUAUUUGUAAUCACUAACCUCUCUAGUCUCUAAAGACUUUGAGUGUGUUCUUGGUGAACGUGUAUGUGAGGUGACGUUAAGCAAGAAUUGAAGAUAAAACAAAGAGUUUGUUUGUAAUCUCCAACAUAAGAAAACAAGGUAUUACAUCAAAGUUGAAUAUUAUGAGCAAACUCAAGAACCUUAAGUUUAAGGUUUGGACAAAUGAUGACUUUGUUCUUAAAUAAUCAUUCAUUGAUCAUGCAUCAGCCUAUCAUUAAGUGGGAUUGGUGGUUAAUUAAAGAACUAUCAUAGAUUUAAAAAUGAUACAAGUAUUUGAUGCAUAACAUGAAAAGUAUAAGUUGUAUAGUCUGGUAAUAUAGAAUUUCAAAUCAUGUUUAUGAGUAAUUAAAAUGUCAUUAGUAGAGACUGGGAAACUAAUCAUGUAUUAGUAUGAGUUUGAAGUUGGUUUUAGUAGUGAUGUAUAGCUUAUAUUGUUACCCUGCAUGAAAAGCAUGAUCGGGGAUUAUAAAGCAAAGGUUUCGUGCAUGAUCGGGGAUUAUAAAGCAAAGGUUUCGUACUACUGUAACACCUAGCUUUUUUUAUAAAAUACAUAACAAAUUACUAAAAUCGUCCUUAUGGUUUGAUUAAAAUUGCAUUUUUGGUUCUUAACUUUUUUUUUUUUUUUUUUUUUUUUUUUUUUGCAUUCGGACUGUUCUCAAAAUAUGAUUUUAUUGCGUUUUUCGUCUCUAUCCGGCCUGAAAAGACUAUACUUCCCUCUCUAAUUUAUUUUUUACUUGUUUCUAUUAUUAGUUUUAUAUUUUUUUAAUAAAAAAAUAGAAUGGGCCCACACUCAACUCUUCGUCUUCUCACAUGUUCAACCAUCUUUCACUUUACUACCAUUCACUACCAAUACUAUGCCAUUACUCACCCACUAAGACUCAUUAUCACCAUCUCCAGCGAGACUAGAAAUCCGACAAGACCAGAACGCCGACGAACAUCACACAUCAUCACCCACCACAUGUCACCCACCUCCACCAUCUCUCCCCGUAAAUCGGUAAAUCCUCAUCAAUAAAUCGGUAAACCACUCACCUCCACCAUUUAACCCCCUAAAUUCUUCGGCGAGUCCAUAACGACGACCAACACCACACUCACCCUUACUGUGCUUUUUCCAUAUCUUUCCUCCAUUGGACUACAGAUAAAGAUCUUAAAUAAAAAAUCAGAGAUCUACAACACAAGAUCUUGAACUCAAAUCAAAAUUGGAGAUCUGCAAUAUAAGGUCUGGAACUCAAAUCGAAGAUCUUCAUUGUACCUGUAUCAUAAAUCUCCCAACACCAUCAUCUUCUUAUUAAAAUUGGAGCCACCACCACCACUGUGUUACUGAAAUGGGUGAUUUUCUGAAAUAGAAGGCACCACCACCAUCGCCUUACGUAAACCAAGCCAGAACCAUCAACGCUUCUGAAAAUCAUCUUUCAUUUAUAAGAUAUCAUCAAAUUUUUUCUUUCAUCAUUGACUUGAGGUUGGGGUUUACGUUUUGGGUUUUGAUUUCUAUAUUUGGUUUUGAUUUCAUUUUAUGUUCUCAUUUAACAAUUUCGGGAGUUGACUUUGGUUAGAUUUUGAUUUCGGGAUUAGACGUUGGUCUAGUUUUGAUUUCUCGGAUUUGAUAUUGGGUUGUCACAUGAUGAAAUUGAUGAUGUGGGCGAUGGUGGUGUCAGAAUAGGUGUAUGGUGGUCGUGUCAGAAUCGUUGAGUGGUAGUUGUCAGCAACUGUGGUGGUUGUCGAUGAACGGUGAAUGAAGGUGGUUGUGGUGUAAGUAGGAGUAUGAGUGGGUCCCAAUAAAUCACUUAAUUGAUUUUCAUAAAUCAAUUAAUAAUAAACAAAUAAUAAAAAAAAAUAAAUAGAAAAUACAAAGGGCGAUAUAGUUUUUUUUAUCUCUACAAGGGACAAAAAACGCAAUAAAAUCAUAACUUAGGGACGGUCCGAGUGCCAAAAAAAUAAUACUUAGGGACCAACAAUAGUUUUUACCAACCAUAUGGACUAUUUUAGUAAUUUGUUCUAAAAUAAAAUAUUAUAGUUUUAAAACACUUUAUGGCAUUAAACCAUAUUUAUUAAAAUAUUGCCCCGAAAGUUUUCAUUACAAAACAAAUUGUAAUACUUUAAACCGGGUAUUACAACUGAUACAACCAAAGCCAUAGUAAAUAAAUAAUUAGACAUACUCAUAGAAACUAUGUCCAAUUUCUAUCCUUCAAAGCUCAUUUUAUCGGUGCAAACAAAAUCUUAUACAUUUCAUAUCGGACUUGGAAUACAUGGCAUUUAACAAAACAUAUGUAAGACAAUAAUGUCUCGUAAGUCAUAUGGGGUUAGACCCAAAAUAUUUACAAUAUAGGUAAAAAUUACCACUUUUCAUAUCUUGAAAACACUUUCAUAACUUGUAAACUUUUUUAUAGCCUGAAAAUACUUUUAUAACUUGUAAACUCUUUUAGAGCUUGAAAAUACUUUUAUAAGUUGUAAACUCUUUUAUAUCUUGAAAAUACUUUCAUAAAUUGUAAAAUCUUUUAUAGCUUGAAAAACAUUGAGACUAUACAAUGCAUGUCCUCACUCAAUGCAAACUUGUGGGACUUCACAAAUCUUUUAUCUUUUUUUAACUCAUGGAUAUGUGUUGAAUAUGGUGUCGAAAAGGACAUAAGUUGUGAGAAUAUGUCGAAUCUGGCUUAUCAUGAUAGAUGAAGAAAUCAAUCUACCAUGAUAUAUGAUUUGAAGUACGAGAGGUAUUAUCCGAGUAGUAUCUUGCUAAUCCCUUCCGUUAUGGCUCGCUUUCUAUUCAUUUUACUCAUUUACUAUGCAAUUUACUAUUAUGAUGCACGAUUACACUUUUCUUGCCAAGAGUUGAUCACACAUGAUGCUACGCUUUAAACUUAAUCAUAACAAUUUGGAUAGUAAUAACAUUUUCAUAUAAAACAUAUAAUCAUAUAAAACAUAUACCGGUAGGGGGGCAAGCUGAGACGUCGCCUAGGGCCCAACUUCCAAUCUGUUAGUAUCUAUAUAUAAAUUACAUUGUCAAAACCAUUAAACAAACAAGUUACAGGCUACUUGGUAAGGCGCUUCACAUCUUUAUAAUCAACCUUGGUUCAAUUUUAGCCUGGAACAUAAUUGAUUACUUUUUGCUAAAUUUAAUGUUUCUAAUAUUACAAUGAAUUUUAAAAUGAUAAUACAUAGAGCUUGUUCAACAAAACUAGCAGGUAGCGGGUAGCAUUUGCUUUUGGAGUGUUUUGUUGAAAGCUCCCAAACAAGGCUUUUUUUUUUUUACUCCAUGUAGCUUUUGAUUUUGGAGCGUUUUGUUUAGGAUAAAAGCUAAACGCUCCUGUCGCCAAACAAGGCUUUUUUUACUAGCGUUUUCCUAAAAGCUAGAAGCCAAAAGCUCCCAAACGGUGCAUGUCGAACACACCCAUAAUUUGUAGCCACCUUGGUAAGAACCUAUGAAAUAUGCACACAAAUNACUCAACAACCUCAACUAUUUAUUUGUGAUUCUAUAUAUAUAUAUAUAUAUAUAUAUAUAUAUAUAUAUAUAUAUAUAUAUAUUAAACUAACUUAAUUUAUACUUAUACAAACAUAUUUAAAACAAUAAUAAACAUUGUGUACAAGUUACAUUUUGUUGGAACUGAUUUAUACAUAAACCUAUUUUUAUAAAGAAAAGAAUAACUCAGAAAACAAAUUACAAUAUUUGAGUUUAAUUUAUUAAUUUGUUUUCUAUAAUAAAAAUAAUGUGUAGUUCAAUUAGUCAAAAAAGUUAAAUACCUUGCUCGUUAACAACAAUAUUAUACUUAACUUAGCUCAAAUUUAAAAGUGAGUUUUUGAUAUAUUCAGGGGCACUUUAUUUAGUUUUUCUCCCAGGCCCCAAAUAUGUAUGGACCAACUUUGGUCAAAACAUAAAUCAUAAAGCUUGUAAAAUACUUUUUUCCUUACAAUACAUUUUGAUAUGUGCAUAUUUUUAAUCAUGUAUAUCGUGCAUAUUUAUAAUAGUUUUAGCUACAAUUAUGCUUAUUUUGGGACAUAAGGUACUUAUUAUGUUUAAAAUAUGUUUUGUAGUAGCAAAAACAUGCUCGGGAUGAAAAGGAAAAAAAACGAGGAGCUAGAAGCAGGAAAAUUUGGGCUAAGUUAAAAAGAAGACAAAGAAUGCAUGAAUUCUGAAGCCCACGGCAUGGUCACUAUAUUCCAUGCCGUGGUAAAUGGAAGAAUCACGAUCAAUCAUCUGACUUGGAGAAUAUGAGAUUUAAGAGAAGACCACAAUGUGGUGCCUAUUCACCACGCUAGUGAUCAAGUUUAUGGAAACUAUAUAUAUUCAAACAUUAGAUCGAAUGUAGAAACUUCUGGCUGAUUUUCUGAGAGGGAUUGUGACUAAAACCCUCUUGAAAACCUUAGGAAAAUCAGGACUCAAUUGGAGCUCAAGAGUUGAAGAGAUCCAGAAGAAAUCAACAUAGAUCUAUUAAGUUUGCUAGCAUUACUCAUGUCUAAUCUUAAUUACAUUGAUUUAGUGUGCUUUUCUGUUGUGAUGAAAGGCUAAAAACCUUAUAAUUCUGUUUGGUGAAGAUGAACACAAAUCUUAUGUGUUGAUUUCAAUUUAUGGAUGUUUUACAUUGAUUUUACUUGUGUUUGAUAAUAAAAACCCUAACAUGUUUUAGUUCUAGUAUGUGAAUGCCUUGCUAUGAGUUUAGUGUAGAUGAACUCAAAUCUUAUGUGUUGAUUUCAAUUUACGGAUGUUUUACAUUGAUUUUACUUAUAUUUGAUAAUAAAAACCUUAACAUGUUUUAGUUCUAGUAUGUGAAUGCCUUGCUAUGAGUUUAGUGUAGUAGAUGAUCAUUCUAUUUGCAUGAACUUGUUUACCUAGUGAUUUAUGAUCAUUAAAUUGCUAUAGCUAGGAUUAAUCACAUCUUAGAUAAGGUAAUUAAAGCUAGUAACUUUAAUUGUGUUAGAGAGCAUAAUAUAUCUUAAAUUGUGCUUGCUUGCUUAACUUGAUCAUAGCAAAGUAACUAUUAGAUUUAUCAUUCAUAGUCCAAUUUGUGCUUAUAUCGAUUUUGUGUUUAACCUAUGCUUGAUCAUUACAUGGUAAUUCAUAAAUUGGUACAUCUAGGUAUUUGAUCAUAAUAACUAGUAAAUUAACGAAUUGGUAUAUCCAAAUAGCAUGUGUUUGCACCAUAAUCCAUUGACAAAACAUUGUGAAGUCUCAUCAGCUUAUGGUUUUUUAUGUUGAAUCAAUAACUACUUUUAUUAGAAGAAUCAGGAGAAGAAUGUUAUGAUACAUUUAAUACACUCUAGUGUUUUGGUGUACCCAUCGACAUAGAGUUUCCAAGCUCUCAUCAACAUUUGUUAUUAAAUGUAGAAUCAUAAAACUUUAAAAAAGAAAAUUGGCCAAGAAUGGAUUUAUGCAUGUGAUAGUCUACGGUACAUAGACUAACCAUUUGCACAUAUUUUCAAGAUCUCAUCAAUGUAUGGUACUUUACACUGAAUCAUUAAACUUUAAAGAAGAAAAUAGGGCGAUAAUGGAUUGGUGCGUGUGAUAGCCUACACUACAGUAGUGCAUAGACUAACCAUCGACACAAAAUUUUCAAGCUCUCAUCAGUGUAUGCUAUUUUACGCUGAACUAUGAAAAUUUUAAAGAAGAAAAUCAGGUCAAUAGUGGGUUGAUGUGUAUGAUAAACAACAAUACAUAGUUUAACCAUCAUCAUAGAAUUGUAAACUUUCAUCAGUAUGUGGUUUUCAUAGUGAGUUGUUAAGUUCUCGUAAGAAGAAGUUGAGAGAAAAGGAUGUUUCAGUCACACUGAAGUGAAAUCAACGUGAAUGAUAAAAUAGUUUAAACUCAUAAAAAAAAAGUGUUUUCAUCUUCCAUAUCAUAGAGUUAAGUUUCAGUCCAGAAUAUUCAAUUCACCAUCAAUUUGUUUAAUAUGGUACAAUACAAGAAUGAAAGAAGAUAAGAAAAAGAAAAACAACCAGGAUACUUUAAACAGAAAAUUUCAAGCUUUUGCAGAAUAAUCAUAAAAAUGAUGGCAGCAUUUUGCAAGAACAUCAUAAAAGUUUAUACGAAAAAUAUUUUGACUUGAAUACUUAUAAAAGAGUUUCCUUUUUCAAAGAUAUAUCUUAUUAGGAAUUAACUUUAAAAGAUAAGAAAUUAGCAUCUCAAACCAUAAAAAAAUACUACAAACAAGGGAAUAGACAAAAUUCUUAUCCAUUGAUGGGAUAAGAGAAUUGAUGAUACGGUCUUUGUAACCAUCGAGUUAAAAGUUUCUAAUAUGUGGGAGCUUCGAGAUGCCGAAAUCAACAGGGAGGUACUUGAGGUUUUAUUGAAGGUACUUGAGGUUUCAUUGGAUUAUGAGCCAAUAGAUGCACGUAAGAGUAAAUGUAAUAUCAGUGACUGCUUGUAACCAUGACAUAGGAUGGAGGGGUAGGAGAGCAUCGUCAAGAAGAAGAGGACAUGAUUCCAUCUUUCACUUCAUAUCCUCAUUCGCAUAAGAUGAAGGUGGCUGAGGUGACAUCAAGGGCAAUCAGGAAAUUCACCAAGCCUCUAGCUCUUUUAAUAUGGAGUCAAGUGACAAUUCUGAGUGUAAACAUCACCAUUCAUUACUUACGAAUUGAUAGUUGCAUCUGUUUCAAGAGUAAGAAGAUGAUUCAAUCUUGCAACUUCGGGGAUGUAAGAAUGAUAAGUGAUGCACAAGAAUGAAGAUACAUGAGAAAGAAAUUAGAGAGGCAAAGAGAUGAAAGCAAUGUAAUUACUAGAUAUAUAUAGAAAAGGAAGCAAGCAAUGUCAAGAAUUUUUCUAAAAAGAAAGAAAAAGAAUAAAAGCAUUUUGACUUUAUGUUUUUGUGUUUUAAUAAAAGCAUUAAGAAAAUAAGCAAAGAGAAAUUAAGUCAUUAACAACAUGCCAAGAUCAACAACCAAUUUGUUUAAAGUCUUCUCAUCUUGGGCCUUAGUGAAAAUAUUCUCCAAUUAAUCAACGGUAGGGAUGUAUAACAAGUCUACUUUGCCUUUUUGAACAAUUUCCCUGAUAAAAUGAUGGUGGAUAUCAAUGUGCUCUGUCUUUGAAUGUUGUAAUGAAUUUUGAAUCAUUUGGAUGGUACUUGUGUUAUCAAAGCAUAUGAGAGUCUUUGAGAAAGAAAAAACAUAGUCUAGGAGCUGAUUCUGAAUCUAAAGAAUCUGAGUAUAACAUCUUCAAGUGGCUAUGAUUUAGCUUUAGCGGUAGAGCAUGCCACUAAUGUAUGUUUCUUGCUGGACCAGCUCACAAGCCUAUUUCCUAGCAUUUGAGCUCCUCCAUGAUCACAGUCUAUAAAUCCCACUAGUUUGAACUUGGAGUCAUGAGGAUACCAUAACCCAAGAUUAGGUGUAUGUUUUAAGUAGUGAAAGAUCCUUUUUACAGCCAAGAGAUGGGACUCAUUUAGGGUAGCUUGAUAUCGAGCACACAAUAUCGUAGUAAACAUAGAAAUUAUCACUCCAUGAUACAAUGUUGCAUUCACAUGAGUGCCAACUUGAUCAUCAAAAAUAGACGUUGAUGGAGACAUUGGAGUUUUUGCCGGUUUAGAGUUAAUAAAACCAUAUCUCUUCAGCAAAUCUGAGAUGUAUUUUUCUUGGAAAAUUUAAGAUUCCAUCAGUGAGUUGCUUAACAUAAAAAGAAUGUUAGUUCACCCAUCAUGCUCAUUUCAAAAAUUUUGGCAAUACCAUUAGCAAACUCAGAACUCAGUUUCUCAUCUGUGGAUCCAAAAAUGAUGUUGUCGACAUACACUUGAGCAAGAAUAAUGUAAGAUCUAGUUGCUUGACGAACAAAGUGUUGCCGAUUGGUCCAUGUUUGAAUCCAUUCUCUAGAUGAUAACUAGCUAAAGUGUUAUACCAUGUCCUGGGAGCUUGUUUCAAGCCAUAGACGACUUUAUCUAGAAGAUACACAUGAUCAGGGAAUUCUUCACUUUCAAAUCCUAGAGGUUGUUUUAGAAAAACUUCGUCUUGAAUAUCCCCAUUGUAACAACCCAAAAUCCAGGUAAGCUUAUGACCACUUUUAUUUUGGAGAGUUGGCAUAUUAGUCCCUCAAAGUUGUAUGGUGGAUUAGUGAGUACGUUGGGCGUACUGAAGUGUACGCCGCGCGUACUCACACGCUUAAAUUGGACGCGGACUCGCCCGGGUACGCUGGGCGUACCCAGGGGUUACGCUGGGCGUAGCGAACCAAGAAGCAAACCCUAAUUCCUGGCUUUUGCACUAUAAAAGGAACAUGUAGUCCCUUGCCCUAGCCACCAUAUCUCCUUGAGUAAGUCCUUUGAGAGCUGAGAUUCGUGCUUUAGCUUGUGUGUGUGUUUUUGAGCUUGAAUUUAUCUUUUCAAGGUGAAAAAGGAGAAGAAGGAGCCAUUGUUGGAGCUAGAAGUUGAAGAACAAGUGUAGAUCUGAGUUCUACAGUGGUUGGAGAUCUUUUCUGAUGUAAAAAGCUCAAAGCUUUCCUUGUUCUUCAUAAGUUUUGCUUUUUGGACCACUUUUUGGGUUUUUGGUUCAAAGUUGGAGACUUUAUGUGCAAAGAGUCUCCAUAAGCUUAGAUCUGACCUUUUCUAGUGUAUAAUGUGUUGAGGAGUCAUAAAAAUCUAGUCUUGGAUGUGGAUCUUGUGUCAUGCAUGAGUUAUAGUCUCAUUAUGGAAAGAGGAAAGGUGUUUUGAGCACAAAGUGACCUUUACAACCAUGCAAAGGCUUAAAGGUUUCAACUUUAUGGAUUAAGUCACAUUAGAGGAGUUAGAUCUGAAGUUUGGAUGCAAGUCUUAACUAAUUAAGACCUGAAUGAGAUGGAUAAGGAAACUGGGCAUUACGCUUGGCGUAAUCCCAGUACGCAGCGUAAGCAGCUGCGCACCCCGUUUCUGUGAAGGCUCCGGGUGCUCCCAGCGUACACAUUUGGUACGCGCAGCGUAACCCGGGGGGUUGAAUUUUGUUGACUUUUAGGUUUUGGUCAAUUUUAGUGUAAUUGAGCCAAGUAAGGGGUAAAAUGGUCUUUUACCUUCCUGGGAGUGAUUAGAGGGAAUGGUCUAGCCUAGGGAAAUGUAUUGAUGUUGAGUGUUGUUUCAUAUGAUUAGGCGGAGGUUAGAUCUUAUCCCACGGAGUCCAAGAUUUCUGAGAUUUACGAGUUACCAAGCUACACCAGGUGAGUCUUCUCACUAUACGUUACCUAGAGUGGUAUUUAUGUGGACCGGAGGGUCUUAUGUGUUAUGUAUGAGAUUAUAUGAAUCUAUAUGCUAUGUGAUAUUUUCAUGUUAUGUGAUUGUAUAGACCGGACAGGAAGAUCCAAUGAUACAGACGGGACCAGAGGGUCUAACGAUUCAGACCGGGCCAGAGGGCCCAACGAGCUACGGGACUGGAGGGUCCCGCUGAGACACAUCAACCGGAGGGUCGUAUUGUAGCCUCAAGUGGCGUAUGUGUUGUAUGUGGUAUUUUGGGGAACUCACUAAGCAAUUAUGCUUACAGUUGUUGUGUUAUGUGUUUCAGGUACUAGCGAGGACCGUGGGAAGGCACCGAUGUGACUCGUACACACUAGAGUAGGGAUUUGUUUUUGUGAUCUUGGGAUAUGUUAUGUUUUGAUAACUAUGGUUGAAUACUUUUGAGAAUAUUUUGUAUAAAUUUGGUUGUUGAAAAAUGAAAAAUUGUUUUGAAAUUCACGUUGUUACAAGUUGGUAUCAGAGCCUUGGUUUGAGGGACUCGGAUGCACCUUUGGGCGUAUCUGAACUCAAACUGAGGAUUUGAGAAAUUUUCAACAAUAAAAACUAAAUUUUCUAAAAAAGAAAACAGUUUUGAAACAAACAGAGCAUAGCAGUGUGUACGGUCAACCAGCGCCCGAACGGUGAAUCCUCAAAAUACCCUUACAUUAUGUGUUAUGAGAUAUGCUAUGUUAUGUUAUGCAUGCUAGAGUAGGCUAGGUAAUCAUAUUAGGACUAGAGUGGCCUGAUUUGUGAUGCCUUAGCCUAGGAGAUUUCUGCUACUAUAAGAUGCCUUGAGAGCGAGUAGGUAGCAGUUCGGAGCUCUUGAGAGGUCUAUCGGAGGGUAGCCAAUGCAUAGUGAGAGUAGAGUACUUGCAAUCCGGGAUCCAAGGAGGAGGACUUGGGGUAAAUGCUGAUACGGUGUGGUCAGUAGUAUAGGGCUUGUACUACUGAAGACACCAGAUCAAUAAGCAGCCCAAGUAAGAAUCCUUUGGGUAUUGGAGGACGAGUAGGGUUGCGUUAUCGAGUGCGAGUAUGCUCGAUCGAAUCUCUAAUAUUUUAUGUUGUAUUUCAGAGGCAUCAUGGUUGGGACACGACACACACCUGAGAGCAGUUGGGUUAGUGACGAGGAGAUCCGUCGUUUGAUUCAUGAGGAGGUGGUUGUUGCCAUCCGGGCUGAGAUUCCGGAGAUGUUCGGGGACAUCAAGACCACACUGAUUGAGACCUUUGAUGAGCGGUAUGCAGCGGUGACUGAGGCUGCAGCUACUGCAGCUACUGCUGUUGUGGCUGCUGCCAGACCUCAGGGAGGUGACUCAUUGUUGUUUCGGGAGUUCAGCAACACGAAGCCACCAGAGUUCGAUGGGACGCAAGACCCGAUUGUUGCGAUGAGAUGGAUCUCUGACAUCGAGGGAUGUUUCUAUACGUGUUCUUUUCCAGAACACUUGAGGGUGCGGUUCGCUCUGAACCAGCUCCGCUUCGGAGCGAUGGAUUGGUGGAAGUUCAUGAUGGCGAGCUUCACUCUGGCAGAGAUUUCUGAGGUGACUUGGGAGAGGUUCACCGCCAUUUUUAGAGAUGAGUAUGUUCCCCCGGUGGAGAGGGAACGAUUGAUUCAGGAGUUCUUGACCCUCAAGCAGGGUACUGAUUCUGUUACAGUCAUUACCAGGAAGUUUCACAAGAGAGCGAUGUUUUGCCCUGAGCAGGUGUCUACUAAGCAGGCUCGCAUGAGCCGGUAUCUGAGUGUUCUGAGGAGAGAUAUUCGGGAGUUCGUGGCGAACUCGACUUACCGGACAUUUGCUGAGCUCCAGGCAAAUGCCCGAAAGAGGGAGAUUGAGUUGGAGACUCAGGCCAGGGAGGAGGCCGAGUCCCAAAGGAUGGAUCGGCGGUAGGCUCAGUCUCAGCCGACAGCCAAGUGGGCUAAGCCCGCUGAUUCGAGAUCUGGGGGCGCGAAGGGCCGCACUUGUGGGAAGUGCGGCAAGAGUCACAAGGGGUCGUGUCGGGCAGGAGUAUGCUACAAGUGCGGGAAGGAGGGGCAUAUCGCGAGGGAUUGCCCCAAGGGAUUUUUGGUUUGCUUCCGUUGCAACCAGACCGGCCAUCGGAAGGCCGAGUGCCCUCAGCUUUAGCAGGGAUCUAUGCCUGCGACCAGGACUACCGAGGUUUGGCCAGUGAAGGCCGAGGCGCCAAAGGCUCGUGGGAGGGCCUUUCAGUUGACAACGGAGAAGGUCCGUGCAGCACCCGACGUUGUGGCCGGUAUGUAUUCUUCUCUCUAUUUAUUUAAGUCUGAGAUAUUAUUCUUAUAUUAUGUUAUGCGUAGGUACUUUUCUUGUGAAUUCUGUACCUGCCUUAGUGCUAUUUGACUCGGGAGUGAGCCGAUCUUUUGUGUCAUUAGCCUUCAAUCACCAUAUUAGUAUUUGUCGAGAGGCCUUGAGUCGACCUCUGCGAGUUUCUAUAGCUAAUGAGCGAGCAGUUUAUGCCACAGAUGCGAUUCGAGGAUGUAUCAUUGAGAUCUUCGAUGUGGAGUUCCCGAUAGAUCUGGUCCCGAUUGCGAUGGGGGAUGUGUGUGUUAUAGUGGGCAUGGAUUGGUUGAGCCGUUUUGGAGUUGUGAUAGACUGUGAGCGUCAGUUGGUGACGAUAAGAGACCCUAGUGGGGGAGUACUUACGGUGUACGGAGAGAGUACCCGUCCUGAGUCAGCAUUUUGUUCAGCUGCUAGGGCGAGACAGAGUUUACAGCAGGGCUGUAUAGGAUUUGUGGCCUAUGUGAUGGACACGCGAGUGGCCACUGGGAGGCCAAGUUCGAUUGAUGAGGUCCCAACUGCGUGGGAUUCCCUGACGUUUUCCCCGAGGAGUUGUCGGGCGUGCCUCCCGAGAGGCAGGUGGAGUUUCGUAUCGACUUGGUGCCAGGGGCGACACCUAUUACCAAGGCACCCUAUCGCCUUGCGCCAUCCGAGAUGCAGGAGUUAUCCUCGCAGCUUCAGGAGCUGUUGGGAAAAGGGGUUUAUUAGACCGAGUAGCUCACCUUGGGGAGCGCCAAUCCUUUUUGUCAUGAAGAAGGACGGUUCACACCGGAUGUGUAUCAAUUACCGGGAGUUGAACAAGUUGACGGUCAAGAACCGUUAUCCAUUACCGAGGAUUGACUAUCUGUUUGAUCAGUUGCAGGGGGCGUCUUGGUUCUCCAAGAUAGACUUGAGGUCGAGAUAUCACCAGAUGAGGGUGCGGGAUGAGGACAUCCAGAAGACAGCGGUCAGAACUCGUUACGGACAUUACGAGUUCGUGGUGAUGCCAUUCGGGCUCACCAGUGCACCAGCAGCGUUCAUAGAUCUCAUGAACCGGUUGUGCAGGUCGAUGUUGGAUCGAUCGGUGAUUGUAUUCAUCGAUGAUAUCUUGGUAUAUUCGAAAUCCAGAGAGCAGCAUGAGGAGCAUUUGAGGGAAAUCCUCGGAGUUCUGAGAUCGAAGAGGCUUUACGCCAAAUUCUCCAAGUGUGAUUUUUGGUUACGGGAGGUCUAGUUCCUAGGGCAUCUCGUUAACCAGCAGGGGAUAUUGGUCGAUCCGGCCAAGAUUGAGGCUGUGAUGAGCUGGGAGGUGCCGAGGUCACCUACUGAGAUCAGGAGUUUCUUAGGGCUAGCAGGUUAUUAUCGGAGAUUUAUCAGGGAUUUCUCCAAGAUCACCGUGCCACUCACCAAGUUGACCCGGAAGGGUGUUACUUUUUCUUGGGGUCUGGAGCAGCAGACCUCAUUCGAGACACUUCGCCAGUGAUUAUGCGAAGCCCUGGUGUUGGCCCUUCCGGAGGGAAUGGAGGAUUUCGUGGUGUAUUGUGAUGCAUCAAUAUCAGGGUUGCGAGCAGUGCUUAUGCAGAGGUGGCAUGUGAUAGUAUAUGCAUCGAGACAGCUAAAGCCUCAUGAGUCGAGGUAUCCCACUCACGAUCUGGAAUUAGGGGCAGUAGUGUUCGCCCUCAAAAUAUGGCGGCACUAAUUUUAUGGGAUUCAGUGUACGAUAUUCAUGGACCACAAAAGCUUGAAGUAUUUAAUGGAUCAGCCCAAUCUGAACAUGCGCCAGAGGAGAUGGAUGGAUGUGGUGAAGGAUUACGACUGUGAGAUCCUGUACCACCCAGGCAAGGCUAAUGUUGUAGCUGAUGCCCUGAGCCGAAGGGCGGAGGGCGCCUCGAUAAGAGAUGUUUGCAUGAGAUUGAAAGUGAUGACUCUGGUAUGGGACACCAUUCGAGGGGCCCAGGCAGAGGCGGUGAGACCGGAGAACCGCAAGAGAGAGCGAGUGACUAGGUAGGUAUCAUAGUUUGUUACCGAUAGUCGAGGACUUAUGACCUUCCAGGGUCGGGUUUGGGUAUCGUUUGUGGGCGGAACGCAUACCGUCUUGAUGGAGGAGGUGCAUAGAUCGAAGUUCUCGAUCCACCCCGGGCCACUAAGAUGUAUUUGGACAUGAAGAAGGAGUAUUGGUGGUCCUGUAUGAAAAAGGGAUGUUGCAUGGUUCGUAUAGAGGUGCUUGACCUGUCGCAAGGUUAAGACCGAACACCAGCGCCCGCAUAGUAAGUUACAGCCGUUAGAGAUUCCCGAGUGGAAGUGGGAACAGAUUACCAUGGAUUUUAUCACCAAAUUGCCGAGGACUGCUAGGGGUGUUGAUGCAAUUUGGGUGAUUGUGGACAGGUUGACGAAGAGCGCUCAUUUCCUUGCCAUCAGUGAGAGCUCUUCUGCGGAGAGGCUGGCAGAAAUGUACAUGAAGGAGGUGGUAUCGCGGCAUGGAGUACCGAUCUCGAUUGUCUCAGAUCAAGAUGUGCGUUUCACUUCCAGAUUUUGGAAGAAAUUUCAUGAGGAAUUGGGUACGAGACUACAUUUUAGUACCGCGAACCACCCACAGACCGACGGGCAGAGCGAGCGGACGAUUCAGACGCUCGAGGACAUGCUUCGGGCAUGUGUAUUGGAUUUUGACGGGAGUUGGGAUACAUAUUUUCCCUUGGCUGAGUUUUCCUAUAACAACAUCCAUCACUCGAGCAUUGGUAUGCCACCUUUUGAGCUGUUGUAUGGAAGGAGGUGUCGUACCCCCAUUUGCUGGGGCGAGGUAGGGCAGCGUGUGAUGGGUAGUACAAAGAUAGUGCUUCAGACGACAGAUCAGAUACAACAGGUUAGACAGAGGUUGUUGACCACUCAGAGUCGCCAGAAAAGUUAUGCAGAUAGACGACAAUCUGAACUCGAGUUCCAGGUCGGUGAUUUCGUGCUCCUGAAGGUAUCUCCUUGGAAAGGAGUGAUCCGAUUCAGGAAGAGGGGCAAGCUGGUACCCGGUAUAUUGGGUCAUUUAGAGUGAUCGCGAGGGUGGUCAAGGUAGCGUAUCACUUGGAGCUACCUGCAGAGUUGGACCGGAUUCAUGAUACCUUCCACGUGUCGCAGCUGAGGAAGUGUAUUGCCGAUGAGUCGGCAGUGGUACCCUUAGAGGAUAUCCAGGUGGACGCAAGUCUAAAUUAUGCUGAGAAGCCGAUCGCAAUCUUGGAUCGGAGGAUCAAGGUUCUGAGGAACAAGGAAGUGCCCCUGGUUCAGGUCCAGUGGCAACAUCGGAGAGGAUCCGAGCUGACCUGGGAGCCAUUGUUGGGGAUGCGGGAGCAGCAUCCGGAGUUGUUCGCAACAUGAGACUUCGAGGGCGAAGUCUGGUUCUAGUGAGGGAGAAUUGUAACAGCCCGAAAUCCAGGUAAGCUUAAGACCCCUUUUAUUUUGGAGAGUUGGCAUAUUAGUCCCUCAAAGUUGUAUGGUGGAUUAGUGAUUACGCUGGGCGUACUGCAGUGUACGUCGCACGUACUCACGCGCUUAAAGUGGACACAGACUCGCCCGGGUACGCUGCGCGUACCCAGGGGUUACGCUGGGCGUAGCGAGCCCAGAUGCAAACCUUAAUUCCUGGCUUUUGCACUAUAAAAGGAACAUGUAGUCCCUUGCCCUAGCCACCAUAUCUCCUUGAGUAAGUCCUUUGAGAGCUGAGAUUCGUGCUUUAGCUUGUGUGUGUGUUUUUGAGCUUGAAUUUAUCUUUUCAAGGUGAAAAAGGAGAAGAAGGAGCCAUUGUUGGAGCUAGAAGUUGAAGAACAAGUGUAGAUCUGAGUUCUACAGUGGUUGGAGAUCUUUUCUGAUGUAAAAAGCUCAAAGCUUUCCUUGUUCUUCAUAAGUUUUGCUUUUUGGACCACUUUUUGGGUUUUUGGUUCAAAGUUGGAGACUUUAUGUGCAAAGAGUCUCCAUAAGCUUAGAUCUGACCUUUUCUAGUGUAUAAUGUGUUGAGGAGUCAUAAACAUCUAGUCUUGGAUGUGGAUCUUGUGUCAUGCAUGAGUUAUAGUCUCAUUAUGGAAAGAGGAAAGGUGUUUUGAGCACAAAGUGACCUUUACAACCAUGCAAAGGCUUAAAGGUUUCAACUUUAUGGAUUAAGUCACAUUAGAGGAGUUAGAUCUGAAGUUUGGAUGCAAGUCUUAACUAAUUAAGACCUGAAUGAGAUGGAUAAGGAAACUGGGCAUUACGCUUGGCGUAAUCCCAGUACGCGCGGCGUAAGCAGCUGCGCACCCCAUUUCUGUGAAGGCUCCGGGUACGCCCAGCGUAACCCGGGGGGUUGACUUUUAGGGUUUGGUCAAUUUUAGUGUAAUUGAGCCUCGAGUGGCGUAUGUGUUGUAUGUGGUAUUUUGGGGAACUCACUAAGCAAUUAUGCUUACAGUUGUUGUGUUAUGUGUUUCAGGUACUAGCGAGGACCGUGGGAAGGCGUCGGCGUGACUCGUACACACUAGAGGAGGGAUUUGUUUUUGUGAUCUUGGGAUAUGUUAUAUUUUGAUAACUAUGGUUGAAUACUUUUGAGAAUAUAUUUAUAUAAAUUUGGUUGUUGAAAAAUGAAAAUUUGUUUUGAAAAUCACGUUGUUACACCCAUGUAAGAAAGCAAUUUUUACAUCCAUCUAAUAGACCUUGAAGUUCUUGAUUGAAGCAAAAGCACGAAACACUCUAAUUUCCUUAAGUUGAGCAAUGGGAGCAAAGGUUUCAUCAUAGUCCAAACCUUCUAGCUGACAAAAUCUCCGUGCCACCAGUCUAGCCUUGUUUCUUACAACAAUCUCAUAUUUAUCCAUCUUGCUUCUGAAAACUGAACAAGUACUAAUGAUAGUUUUUUGUUAAGGCUCAGGGACAAAUGUCCGUACGUGAUGACGUUCAAACUCAUUCACUUCGUCUUAUAUGGACUUUCAUCAGAAUUUUGUUCACCCUUUAAUCCAUUAGGUUUUCCAGCCCAAAAACCAACUAUCACCCAUUUGACAGUUUAAGCCCCUAUAUUUAAUUAAUCUCUUUUGGCCACCAAAUUAAUUCCUAAUUAAUUUAUGACUAAUAUUAAUUUAAUAAUAUGAUUUUCCUUUUAAUAUAUUAAUCACACAAUAUAUUAAUAAAUCAUAAUUUCCUCUCUCUCUCUCUCUCUAUAAAUUACCUUGUAAAGUUGGUUUGGUGAAGGCAACCCAAAAGGACCAUACACAACCGGGUCAAGUUUAUACCAAAUAUAGUUUCGGGAUUAGACACUAAUCCAACAGUCUCCCACUUGGAUAAGUCUGAUAACUAUAUCUCACAUAUGACUUCAGGAUCCGAUUAGCAAUCGUAGCUCUUAUACGCUGUUGUCACCUCUGAUCAAAAUCCUAUCCUUUAGAUAACGGAUCGUAUAAUCCUCUGUUCUAGAUAUCAUGCUGACAAUCACAUGGAACUUAGUCAUACUUAUUAUUCAGCACAUUGUUCCUCGAUCUCCGAUUUGUUUGACAUGGAACUUAGUUGAACACAUCAACUUUUUCCUGACCGGGCCCAGCACAUAAGUCAAACCAAAUCAUCAAGUGGCCAGAUAUCGCUUUCAUCCUCUUGGAAUAAAAGGAAAAGAUAAACUUCGACUCAUAUGCUUUUAUUAUUCACUGGCUAACUCAUACACAACAAUACGUUCUAUAACAUCAAGUUACUGAUGCGUUUACCCAUUAUCAAUGCACAACCAACCAACAAAUAAUAACCAUAUCUCUAGGUUUAAACGUUAUAUGAUAUUAUCGUCUUGCGAUCAUUCGUGAUAAAUUCCAUGAAGUGAUACCAGCAAGCGCGGGUUUAUUCGAAUUCUCAAAUCAUAAUUCAUAAGCACUCAUGAGCUUUGCAGCAAACCUUUGCCAUGCCUAAAACCUUUUAGACAAUCUUCAAACAAAUUCAUGACAGUCUUCUUUCAUAUCUACUUCCAACAUAUGAGCGAUUGUGGACUGUUUGAAUAAUCUUAUUAUUCAGGAAGUCAAAACAUGCAAAAUUGAAACAAUAGAUAAAUAAUCAACACAAGAUAGUAGCUUUACUCAUAAACAAUACACCUUUAUUUAUUCAUCAAAUGUCAAGUACAAAUUAUCUAUUACACAUUUCCUAUUUAUCUAAUUUAAACUUAUAUCGUCCUUCAGCCCUAUGCUCCUCGCAUGCCGCAAGUGCUUAACCCUACUUAGUCCCUUUGUAAGGGGAUCUGCUGGGUUAUCUUCUGACGAUACCCUCUUCACCACGAGGGGUCCAGCUUCUACCCGAUGUCUAAUGAAGUGAUAUUUUCUGUCAAUAUGUCUGGAUCUGCCGUGAUCCCUUGGUUCCUUGGUCAAGGAAACCGCACCUUCAUUAUCACAGAAAAUCUCCAUAGGCUCCUUUAUGGAUGAAAAAACUCCAAGGUCUCCAAUGAAGUUAUUCAACCAUAUUGCCUCCUUUGAUGCUUCACUUGCCGCAAUGUAUUCUGAUUCACACAUUGAAUAAGCUAUCGUCUCUUUCUUGGAACUUUUCCAACUCACUGCCCCUCCGUUAAGGGUAAAGACCCAGCCAGACUGCGAGCGGUAAUUAUCCCGAUCCGUCUGAAAACUAGCGUCACUGUACCCUCGUACCCUUAAGUCAUCACUCCCACCGAGGACUAGAAACCAUUCCUUGGUCCUCCGAAGGUACUUAUGAAUAUUCUUAACUGCAGUCCAAAGAGCUCUACCGGGGUUUCCCUGAUAUCUGCUUACCAUGGUUAAAGCGAAGGCCACAUCAGGGCGAGUACAAGUCACAGCGUACAUGAUUGAGCCAACUGCGGAAGCGUAAGGUACUUGGCUUAUCUCUACUAUCUCUGCCUCUGUACUUGGUCUCUGAGUCUUAGCUUGGUAUUGCUUUGGAUUGGCAAUUCCCCUUUCUUGGAAUUUUCCUUCCUAAAACGUUUUAGUACCUUAUCCAAGUAUGUAUCCUGACUGAGUCCUAUCAGUCUCUUAUUCCUGUUUCUUACUAUCCUUAUUCCCACAAUAUACACAGCUUCUCCGAGGUCCUUCAUAGCGAAGCACUUCCCAUGCUAGGACUUGACUUCCUGCAAGGGUGGGAUGUUGUUUCCUAUGAGUAGUAUGUCAUCGACAUACAAUACGAGGAAGCUCACUAUACUCCCACUGGCUUUGACAUAUACACAUGACUCAUCUUCGCUUCACAGAAAACCAAAAUCUUUGACCUUCUCGUCGAAACAAAGAUUCCAUCUGCGAGACGCUUGCUUCAAUCCAUAGAUGGAUUUCUCAAGCUUGCACACUCUAUUGGGGUGCUUCGCAUCGACAAAAUCCUCUGGCUGUUUCAUGUAAACAUCCUCAGCUAACUUCCCAUUAAGGAAAUUAGUUUUAACGUCCAUCUGCGAUAUUUCAUAGUCAUGAAAUGCAGCUAUUGCGAGCAUCACCCUAAUUGUCACAACUAGCAUUUUUAGCUAGGAAAUUCUAUUCUCAUAUUAACAUCAUCCAUUGUAAGAGCAUGUACUCUAAGUGAAUACCAUACUCUAUCCUCAUUCAAAAUACACCUCAUAUGUUCAACUAAGGAUUGGAAACCUUAGUAAUCCCGGUCCAAGUUCCUUAUGAACUAAAAUUCUCCUAUUGGGCCUAGAAGCCCUAAGUGGGCUCUAUAUAGACCACAUUCAUAAAAAUUUAGCAAUUUGGGCCAUGUGGGCCUAAAAUAAUCCAUCUUACCUCUAAUGAGCCUUGUUGGGCCAUAAAAGAUUUCGUUUGUCCCAAUGGGGCCGAAAAUUUACCUUUGGGCUUCAUAAAUUCGAGUAUGGGCCCCAAGAUGAUUCCUUUCCUUUCUCCUUAGCCCAAAUCAGCCCAUGUUUUUUAAAAAAAAAAAAGAGAAAAGAAUGGAUAAAUGAAGACUAGACAUGCAUGUGACAACUCAUGUUUAACCACCAUGUAUCUAUGGUAGCAUCUCAUGUUUCAAGGCAAACUAUUACCUCACAAAUAACAAGGUUAUGAUCUCUCUCUCCUCUCUCUCCAUAUUCUCGGCCAACCCUCUCACCACCUUCAUUUUUCAUUCAAAAACUCUCUUAAACACUCUCAAAUACCUCUUCCAUCCUCCAUCAAAAAUCUCGAGUUGGUGUGUGCUUUCAAGAGGAUUCUCCACCAAAAAUCACCAUCCUAGGUAAGUUUUUACUUAUAUCCAUGGUUUAGCUUCUUGAUUUCUUCAAAAAUCUCCUCUUAACCCUCUCCAUUUCGUGAAUCAUACAUCCUAGAGCCAUCUAAGUUGUAAAGCUCCUCAAGAAGCUUGCUAGGGCCGAAAUCUUCUCUCAAAUCUUCAUCAAAAUCAAAUCCAAAUCUCAAGGUGAGCUUCAUACCCCCUAUUUUCUGUUUUUAUGAGUUUUGUGGUGGGGGGGGGGGAAUACGAGUGAAAGUGUAGAUCUAUAUGUGUUUUGUAUGCCUUGUAUGAUUUCCAUGCUUAUAUGUAUGCUUUUGUGUGUUAUAAUGUUGGAUCUAGCCAUAAAACCCCUCAAAACCGAGAUAUAUCUUAUGUUAAAUGAUUUUAGCAUCAAAUAUAUUUCUACAUACAAAGUGUUUCAAGAAAAAUAGCUAAGUGGUUUAGUAACAAUUUUCUUUGGGCUAAAAACACAAAUUUUGGGCCUAAAAUGUGAAAAAUACAAAAUUAAGGGCCCAAAUUGACAUAUCACGAAUUCUGAUGGAUGAAGUGUGUCAAAACAGUUUCAAUAAAACAAUUUCUGGAAAUAUACUCAUUUAGAGGAUUAAAAACAUAAAUUUCAAGCUUAAUGGGCUAAAAAUGACAAUUUCGGCCCAAUGAGGCCCAUUAUGCGAAUUUUUCUGUUUUGGAGGGCCAAAACUGUGAUUUUCUGUAAAACAGUGGACCAUAAGUGAUCCAAGUCCUUUUCAAAGGUUUAAAAUGCUUUUUAAAUUUAAAAAGGACCAAAGUUGCAAAAAUUUUACAAUUUGGGCCAAAAUUGUCAAAAUUGCGAAAAGAAGGGUUAUAACCGAGAAAACUGAAAUUUCAGGGACUUAAGCUGUUUUCUAUGAAAAAUAUGCUGGAAAAUAUUUAUUUCAAUAAUUUUUGGUGUUAAAAUGUCAAGAAAAUUGAUUUAAGGACCAAACCGGAAAGUAUUUAAAUAAAGGGUUGAAAAAGUAAAUUUUACAAACAAGGAGGGGCUGAAAACAGAAAAUUUUCAAGACUAAUUCAAUACAUGCAAUUUGACCAAAUAAUGGUACCACGACUAUCGACAAAAUACAAUACAUUACAACACCAAAAGUCGUUGUUAAACGAAUUGGUUCGGUCUCGAACCAAUAAAAAUCCGAAACUACUAACACGACGACACUAUGAUACUACAACACUACGAUUCAUACAAAUAACGAUUUGGAAUUCAUUAUACAUGCGAAUGUGCACAGACGUCUACGCACUAUCUUUGGGCCCCACAAGUGUAAAAUCUUGUUCGUUGAGCCUAGCUAGCCCAACGACCUGAUCUUAAGGCCCGAAGACUUCAAUCUUACGAAGUGUUGGGUUUUACCGAUCCGACACGACGUAACCGGACUUUCAAUGGCUUGUAGACUACUGGUCCCCAAGGGUCCUUUAGUGUCGCUAGUAGAGUCUGCCUUUUAUGCGAGGCGGGUCUGGGACCCCUCGUACCUUUUUAUCCCCAACCGGCUAAUGGAGUCAUCGAGGCCUUCGUGUCCUCUUUCUCUUCGGAUGUGGGACUACACGUAGUCAGGGCGGUUGGAUAACGUGAUUAGUACGGACGACGCCUACGGGAUCGUUAGUAUUGCUAUAGACUAGUCGUUUGUGUAACGCGUGUUUGUAGCAGAUAAUCAUGCUCAAAAAUAAUCCAAUGUCGCCUGGUAAUGAUAACUUCAUGCGUUGCAAUGGUUUCAAUGUAAAUUCAUGGAAUUCAAAGAAUUAGGAAAACAUCGGGUUUUCCUAGGGUUUUCAAUACAUACAGAUUCGAAAUACCUACAAUUUCAAUAAACAAUUUUUACAAGUAUAGAAAACAAACAAGCAUACCUAUGGAUCUUCACACCUUUUUGACUAUACUAUUUUCAGAAAAUAUCGGAUUUUCUGGUGGUUUUCAAACGAUACGAAACAUUGUUUUCAAAUACAACUUAUGAACUCACCAACAUUUCAUAUGUUGACGUUUUUCAAAAUGCUUGUAUUCUCAGGGAACCAGUGAAUCAAAGGAAAUCAUAUUCAGUGAUGGCUUGCAGUUUAUUUUUUUACCAAUCGAACAAUUUAUUUUGGGGAAUGUAAUGUUUAAACAAUGUACUUCAUGUAAACUUUACUGGUUGUACUAUAUUAAUGCAUGGUGACGAAUGUUGUUACGUUUCAUAUAUAUACAAUGUUAUGGUAUUCAAUUGAGUCACGACAGCCCCCGAACGUUUCCGCCGCCUGGUUUGGGGGUGUGACANNNNNNNNNNNNNNNNNNNNNNNNNNNNNNNNNNNNNNNNNNNNNNNNNNNNNNNNNNNNNNNNNNNNNNNNNNNNNNNNNNNNNNNNNNNNNNNNNNNNNNNNNNNNNNNNNNNNNNNNNNNNNNNNNNNNNNNNNNNNNNNNNNNNNNNNNNNNNNNNNNNNNNNNNNNNNNNNNNNNNNNNNNNNNNNNNNNNNNNNNNNNNNNNNNNNNNNNNNNNNNNNNNNNNNNNNNNNNNNNNNNCUAGGAACCUAAAAUCAUACCCCUUAAUCUCCAAGAAGGGAACCUCAACUGAAUCUAUGCAAUAGUCGUAGAGCUCUAGGAGUAAUUGGUAAGCUAUUUGUUUCUAGUAUUCAUAGCCCAUCGUGCAAUACGCUAUAGACGAGUAUCAUUAGCCAGGAAACCCUAUCUCCUUAGCCAAGGAAUAGUCGGGUGGCUCGACCCAGAGGAAGAACCCCAGGAGGGACAUGAAGUAGAACUCGCAGGUGAACCCGCUGAGUCAAUAGUGGACCUCGAAGAGGAAGAGCCGGAGGGCAAUGACGAUGACGACACGGAUGUAGAAUCCAAUGACAUCAAUCCUCCAUGUAAAUCCAGGGCACCGACUUAUAGUGUGGGCCCCGGUGACCCCAUGCCCCCUCGGGCACCCGAUAUUUGGGGAUAAAGUCACCAGUAGGGAAUACGACCACACCACGGUAAGAGCUGAGGUCUCUUUAAUUUUAGCCACAGAGGACCAGCUGACCAGGCCCUCCCAGUCGUGGUGCAACGCACUCGAGGUAUUGAUAACCAAGCUCAGGACAUCCCAAAUCGAACGAAACAAAUAUGGUUUGUUACUAAGAGGGACGAAAGGAAAACACGGGAGGUGAAUGGAGACUCUCGAGCGGGACAGUUAGUUGGGAGGCACACCUACGAGAUACCGAGCAACAAGUAGCUCGUCUCCGAGGUGCAUCCACUUCAUCAGCAUCACCACCAGACACUUCUCGCCACGACUAGGAUCAGCCUUUUCUAAUUUCCCCUACUAUCCGACAUGACUCUCUUUCGUGUACUAAGAUGGUACAUACCCCUGAAACGAUUAUGUGUUAUAUUUAUUUCAUAUUGCUGCAAAGACUCAAUUAUAUGCACAAGCGAACCCUCGGAACCACUAGAUACUUAAGGAUCUCGAAACUAAAACAACCCAUAUAACCUAAGGAUAGACGUAACAAUCGUGCCAAAUCAAUGAUUACCUAUUACCGCAAAUACAUCAUAGGGAUGUAGAUGGAGGCAGUAAGAAUUAUACAACAAGAUGCAAAAGAAAAAUUUAUAGAGUACAACCAGUAAUGACGAUCAUUACUUACGAUCUGGGUUAUCAAUGUGCAUCAGGAAAAUGCCAUCCCGCAAGAAUAACAAGCGCACCCGCGAGACACCACUCCUGCAGAUGGACUCUGCUACAUUUCAAGCUGCUGUAAUGGCAGCAGUAACCGCUGCUAUGGCACAGAUCAAUGCAAACAACCCUAAUGGAGGCAGGAAUAGCAUUGACAACUCCAGCCAAAGGAACAAACAUGGAAACCAACAAGUGACAACCUGUCAAGGAACUCCAAACCCCAAGCUUAAGAGCAGGAAGCUGAGGUCUGGAGGUAAGAGAAAGGGACAACACACUCAAGGGUUCUCAAGGGAGCAACGUGUUGUUGCUGUUCAUGCGACCACGACCACUAUUACACCAGCAACCAGGAGACCAUAUGCUGGAAACCUUCCAAAAUGCAACCAGUGCAAAUUCCAUCAUAAUGGAGCCUGCAGGGAGAUGCAUUGUAACAAAUGCAACCGAAAGAAUCACAUCGCCAAAUUCUGUAGAACUUAUCCAUGCCAGAAUCGUCAGCCAAAUGAAAACGACAACAAUCGCAACAACCCUAACAACAACACCAAUGAUGAGACCAGUCGCACCUGCUAUAGGUGUGGAGGAACUGGCCACAUCAGGCGCAAUUGCCCUAGGAAUAACGAUCGAGGAGCAGAAGGAUCAGAAAUGGUCCUGACCUUGGGUCAAGGCGAAGCAAUCCAAAACCCAACAAUUGUUACUGGUACGUUCCCACUUGACAACUCUUUUGCUUACCUCUUAUUCAAUGGUAAAUCCGAGUGAAGUUUUGGUUAGUAACAACUUCAAACACUUACUAAAACAACAUCCCCAAAGCUAAGCUAAGCCUUUUCAAUGGACAUGGCCAAAGGGGAAAAAUGAUUUAAUCUAGGGUACUCAUGUGGAGUACGCCUUAACACUAAACGACCAUUCAUUACAAAUAGAUUUCAUGCCAGUAAAUAUUAGGAGUUUUAAUGUGAUAAUCGUCAUGGUUGGGUAAGCCCCCACCGUGCUGAUACUAUGUGCCGCGAGAAGGCCGUUUGCCUUCACCUUCCUAAUCACGAAAACUCUAAUAAUCCAUGGUGAUAAACCUGGCGCUAAUCCUCUUCCUAUCUCGUGCAUCAAGGCACAGAAGUGCCUGCACCAGAAGAACUACGUUUUCCUCACUCAUGUUGUGGACAAGACCAAAGAAGAGGUAGGCAUACAGGGUAUUCCAGUAGCUUGUGAUUUUCCCAAAUGUGUUUCCUAAGGAACUUUCGGGAAUACCCCAGAGAGACGGGUUGAAUUUCGAAUCAACCUCAUAUCGGUAACCACAUCAAUUGCCAAUUCACCCUAUAGGUUGACUCCCGCCAAAAAUUCNUUCACCCUGGAGAGCUCUGGUCUCGUUCUUCAAGAAGACGGAUCCUUCAAAAGGCACAUCGAUUUUAGGAAAUUGAAUAAGCUCCCUAUAGAAAAUCGAUACCCACUUCCUCGGACUGACGAUCUAUUUGGCAAGCUCCAAGGAGCUAGUUGCUUCUCUAAAAAUAGAUCUAAGAACCGGUUAUCAUCAACUUCGAGUCCGAGAAGAGGACAUUCCAAAAACUGCCUUCCGAACUUGUCACGACCAUUUCAAAUUCAUUGUGAAACCCUUCGGUCUAACGAAUGCUCCCAUGGUUUUCAUGAGCCUUACGAACCAAGUUUCCCAACCAUUCUUAGUUAGCCCUUUCACUAUUUUCAUCAAUAACAUACUUAUCUGCUCACAAAGCGAGAACGAAACACUAUCAUCAUCUACGACCAGCCUAGAAAGCAUCAAGGCUGGGAAUGUCGCGAUGAAAGCACUACAUGGAUGGAUAAGACUCUCGAAGUCGAAAGACGAAGCUUUUUGUUAUAAGAGUUGAGUUGGGCGUUAUCUGGGUGAUCGUCGAUAGGUUAACCCAAUCUGCUCAUUUCCUGCCAAGACAGAAAUCAAACAAAAUGGAGGGAUUAGCUUGGAUCUAUAUCCAGGAAAUCGUGAGACUCCAUGAAAUAUCGGUAUCUACUAUCUCGGAUCGAGAUAACAGAUUUUCUUCAAGACUAUGGCAGUCAUUUCAGAGGGCUAUGGGAACAUAACUAGACAUAAGCGUUGCUUACCACCUUCAAACCAAUAGCCAAAGUGAACGAAAUAUUUGACCACUCAAAUUCAUGCUACAAGUCUAGGUGUGGGAAUUCAACAAGUCAGGGGAUACCCGGUUUCCCUUGACUAAAUUCUCAUACAAUAACAACUAUCGCACGAGCAUCAAGGAUGCUCCUUUCGAAAACUCAUUAUAGUCAUAAAUGUAUAUCACUCGGUGGUACUUUCAUGAGACCGGAAACCACUAACGAAACAACAGAAGAAGAUAAUCCAAAUCAAAGCUGGAUUUCAAUGCAUCGCGAGACCGACAGAAGAGCUAUUCUAAAAAGCAGCGUAAGCCAUUAGGAUGUCAAGUCGGGGAUCGCGUGUUAUCAAAAGAAUCUCCUUGGAAAGGGAUGAUUCGCUUUAGGAAACGAGAAAACUAAACCCACGAUACAUCGGACUGUUCGAGCUUCUUGCUAGGAUUGAAGACAUAUAGACUGUAGCUGCUUGUAGAGCUUAGCAACGUGAACCCUGUGUUCUGUGUCUUGAAUCUGAAAAGAUACAUAUCAUAUGAGUCUCUUAUCAUUCCUUUACGAGAAAUCAGAGUAAGCGAGGAUCACAUGUUCAUCAAAGAACCAGUCAAGGUAUUGAAUAGGGAAGUAGAACAUACAAAACAAAGCCCCAUUAUGAAUGCGAAGAUUCCAUGGAAUCCUAAGCUUGGACCGAAAUGCACAUGGGAAACGUGAAGAUCAGAUGAAGUGCCUAUUCUCUCAUUCACGAACCUAUCCUUAGAAAGAAUUUCGGGACGAAAUUCCCUCUAACGGGGGGAUGAUGUCACAACUAGCAUUUUUAGCUAGGAAAUUCUAUUCUCAUAUUAACAUCAUCCAUUGUAAGAGCAUGUACUCUAAGUGAAUACCAUACUCUAUCCUCAUUCAAAAUACACCUCAUAUGUUCAACUAAGGAUUGGAAACCUUAGUAAUCCCGGUCCAAGUUCCUUAUGAACUAAAAUUCUCCUAUUGGGCCUAGAAGCCCUAAGUGGGCUCUAUAUAGACCACAUUCAUAAAAAUUUAGCAAUUUGGGCCAUGUGGGCCUAAAAUAAUCCAUCUUACCUCUAAUGAGCCUUGUUGGGCCAUAAAAGAUUUCGUUUGUCCCAAUGGGGCCGAAAAUUUACCUUUGGGCUUCAUAAAUUCGAGUAUGGGCCCCAAGAUGAUUCCUUUCCUUUCUCCUUAGCCCAAAUCAGCCCAUGUUUAAUAAAAAAAAAAAGAGAAAAUAAUGGAUAAAUGAAGACUAGACAUGCAUGUGACAACUCAUGUUUAACCACCAUGUAUCUAUGGUAGCAUCUCAUGUUUCAAGGCAAACUAUUACCUCACAAAUAACAAGGUUAUGAUCUCUCUCUCCUCUCUCUCCAUAUUCUCGGCCAACCCUCUCACCACCUUCAUUUUUCAUUCAAAAACUCUCUUAAACACUCUCAAAUACCUCUUCCAUCCUCCAUCAAAAAUCUCGAGUUGGUGUGUGCUUUCAAGAGGAUUCUCCACCAAAAAUCACCAUCCUAGGUAAGUUUUUACUUAUAUCCAUGGUUUAGCUUCUUGAUUUCUUCAAAAUCUCCUCUUAACCCUUUCCAUUUCGUGAAUCAUACAUCCUAGAGCCAUCUAAGUUGUAAAGCUCCUCAAGAAGCUUGCUAGGGCCGAAAUCUUCUCUCAAAUCUUCAUCAAAAACCAAAUCCAAAUCUCAAGGUGAGCUUCAUACCCCCUAUUUUCUGUUUUUAUGAGUUUUGUGGGGGGGGGGAAUACAAGUGAAAGUGUAGAUCUAUAUGUGUUUUGUAUGCCUUGUAUGAUUUCCAUGCUUAUAUGUAUGCUUUUGUGUGUUAUAAUGUUGGAUCUAGCCAUAAUACCCCUCAAAACCGAGAUAUAUCUUGUGAAAAAUGAUUUUAGCUUCAAAUAUAUUUCUACAUACAAAGUGUUUCAAGAAAAAUGGCUAAGUGGUUUAGUAACAAUUUUCUUUGGGUUAAAAACACAAAUUUUGGGCCUAAAAUGUGAAAAAUACAAAAUUAAGGGUCCAAAUUGGCAUAUCACGAAUUCUGAUGGAUGAGGUGUGUCAAAACAGUUUCAAUAAAACAAUUUCUGGAAAUAUACUCAUUUAGAGGAUUAAAAACAUAAAUUUCAAGCUUAAUGGGCUAAAAAUGACAUUUUCGGCCCAAUGAGGCCCAUUAUGCGAGAUUUUCUGUUUUGGAGGGCCAAAACUGUAUUUUUCUGUAAAACAGUGGACUAUAAGUGUUCCAAGUCCUUUUCAAAGGUUUAAAAUGCUUUUUAAAUUUAAAAAGGACCAAAGUUGCAAAAAUUUUACAAUUUGGGCCAAAAUUGUCAAAGUUGCGAAAAAGAAGGGUUAUAACCGAGAAAACUGAAAUUUCAGGGACUUAAACUGUUUUCAUUGAAAAAUAUGCUGAAAAAUAUCAAUUUCAAUAAUUUUUGGUGUUAAAAUGUCAAGAAAAUUGAUUUAAGGACCAAACCGGAAAGUAUUUAAUUAAAGGGUUGAAAAAGUAAAUUUUACAAACAAUGAGGGGCUGAAAACAGAAAACUUUCAAGGCUAAUUCAAUACACGCAAUUUGAUCAAAUAAUGGCACCGCGACUAUCGACGAAAUACAAUACACUACAAUACCAAAAUCGUUGUGAAACGAAUUGGUUCGGUCUCGAACCAAUAAAAAUCCGAAACUACUAACACGACGACACUACGAUUCAUACAAAUAACGUUUGGGAAUUCAAUAUACAUGCGAGUGUGCACAGACGUCUACGCACCAUCUUUGGGCCCCAAAAGUGUAAAAUCUUGUUUGUUGGGCCUAGCUAGCCCAAUGACCUGAUCUUAAGGCCCGAAGACCUCUAUCUUACGAAGUGUUGGGUUUUACCGAUCUAACACAACGUAAAAGGACUUUCAAUGGCUUGUAUACUACUGGUCCCCAAGGGUCCUUUGGUAUUGCUAGUAAAGUCUACAUUUCAUGCGAGGCGGGUCUGGGACCCCUCGUACAUUUUUUUCUCCAACCGGUUAAUGGAGUCAUCGAGGUCUUCGUGUCCUCUUUCUCUUCGGAUGUGGGACUACACAUAGUCAGGGCGGUUGGAUAACGUGAUUAGUACGGACGAUGCCUACGGGAUCGUUAGUAUUGCUAUAGACGAGUCGUUUGUGUAACACGUGUUUGUAGCAGAUAAUCAUGCUCAAAAAUAAUCCACUGUAGUCUGGUAAUGAUAACUUCAUGCGUUGCAAUGGUUUCAAUGUAAAUUCAUGGAAUUCAAAGAAUUAGGAAAACAUCGGGUUUUCCUAGGGUUUUCAAUACAUACAGAUUCGAAAUACAUACAAUUUCAAUAAACAAUUUUUACAACUAUAGAAAACAAACAAACAUACCUAUGGAUCUUCACACCUUUUUGACUAUACUAUUUUCAGAAAAUAUCGGAUUUUCUGGUGGUUUUCAAACAAUACAAAACAUUGGAUUUCAAACACUACUUAUGAACUCACCAACAUUUCAUAUGUUGACGUUUUUCAAAAUGCUUGUAUUCUCAGGGAACCAGUGAAUCAAAGGAAAUCAUAUUCAGUGAUGGCUUGCAGUUUAUUUAUGUACGAAUAGAACAAUUUAUUUUGGGAAUGUAAUGUUUAAACAAUGUAUUUCAUGUAAACUCUACUGGUUGUACUAUAUUAAUGCAUGGUGACGAAUGUUGUUACGUUUCAUAUAUAUACAAUGUUAUGGUAUUCAAUUGAGUCACGACAGCCCCCGAACGUUUCCGCCGCCUGGUUUGGGGGUGUGACACUAAUAGACUUUAUUUUCGCGACUGGUGAAAAGGUCUCAUCAUAGUCAACCCCUGGAGUUUGUGUAAAUCCCUUCGCAACCAAUCGUGCUUUAUAAGUGUGUACUUUCCCAUCCAUGUCCGUCUUCUUCUUAAAGAUCCAUUUGCACCCGACCGUCUUACGACAUGGUACAUUAUCAAACAAAUUCCAAACUUGGUUGUCGUACAUAGACUGAAUCUCACUGUCCAUUGCUUCUUUCCAUUUAGCAGACUUCGGGCCUGCCAUGGCUUCCUUGUAGUUGCUAGGUUCAUCCAAAUUUACUAGUGUACUAUCACUAAUAAAUGUAUCCCCUUCAGUAGUAAUAUGGAAUCCAUAAAACUGGGGUGGAACACUAGCCCUACUUGAAUGUCUAAGAGGUAAUUACUCGUCAACAGGUUCAAUAGGAGAUUCCUACUCAGGUUGAUCGCCAGUGUUAGAGGUUCCUUCAUCACUCGACUCAUGAAGCUCUUCAAGAUCGAUUUUCCUCCCACUGUACCCUUGGCCUAUGAGUUCUCUCUCUAGGAGAACCCCUCUCCUUGCAACGAAGACAACAUUGUCACUCGGUCUAUAGAAGAGAUAUCCGAAGGAUGUUUGCGGGUAGCCGAUGAAAAUACAUCACUCAUUACGAGGUUUGAGCUUGUCGUGAGUCUCUCGUCUUACGAAAGCCUCGCAACCCCAAACCUUGAUAUGUGCCAACGAGGGAGCUUUCCCUGUCCACAUCUCGUGAGGUGUUUUGGCAACCUUCUUCAUGGGAACUAGGUUAAGGAUAUGGGUAGCAGUCUCUAAGGCAUACCCCCAUAAAGCUAUUAGUAACGAAGUCCGACUCAUCAUAGAAUGAACCAUGUCCAACAAGGUCCGAUUACAUCUCUCAGCCACACCGUUCAAUUGUGGCGUCCUAGGAGGCGUCAAUUGCGAAACAAUUCUACAUUCCUUUAGAUAGUCGUGAAACUCAAGACUUAGGUACUCUCCUCCUCGGUCUGACCGAAGCAUCUUGAUUUUCCUGCCCAGCUGAUUCUCCACUUCAUUCUUAAACUCUUUGAACUUUUCAAAGGUUUCUGACUUUUGCUUUAUUAAGUAUAUAUAUUCAUAUUUGCUAUAAUCAUCUGUAUAAGUCAUGUAGAAGCGGCAAGCAUCCCUUGUGGUGGAUCUAAAGGGCCCACAAACAUUUGUGUGUAUGAGAUCCAAUAGACCCUCACCCUUUGAACAAGUGCCAGUAAAGGGUGACUUGGUCAUCUUCCCAAGUAAACAAGACUCACAUGUGUCAUCGUCCCUAAGGUCGAAUGACUCCAACACUCCAUCCUUUUGGAGUUGGGCUAUUCAUUUCUUGUUGACAUGGCCAAGGCGACAAUGCCACAAGUAUGAUUUGUCCAAACUAUUGGACGAAUCAAUAUUCAACACAUCAUUUCCUAAGUUGUCCACAACAAACACAAAUUCAUAUAUUCCAUUACAAGGUAGUGCAUUAAAAUAGAAAACACCAUCAAGAUAAACAUUAAUAGAACCAAUUAUAUUGUCAAAUGAAUAUCAAAACCCUUGUCUAUAUAAUCCAUGAAAAGAAAUGAUGUUCCUUGCCAUGUCUGGCGAAUAGCAACAAUUAUUUAAAUCUAAACCUAACCCAUUACUCAACACUAAGGAAUAAACUCCGAUCUUAGUAACUGGUGACGAUCUUCUGUUUCCCAUGACCAAGUUUAUCGUUCCAUGCUCCACUUCCCUACCUUUUCUUAGGCCCUACAAAUCAGAACAAAUGUGGAAACCACAUCCAGUAUCAAGAACCCAUGAAGUAGCAAGUGAUGAGUUAUUAGAUUUAAUUGAAUACAUACCUGCGAAAGUGGGCUUUAUCUUCCCAUCCUUAAUAUCUUGCAAAUAUUUUGGGCAACUUCGUUUCCAGUGGCCCUUCUCAUGGCAGUAAAAGCACUCUACAUCCUUAGGGACAGAAGAUGGUUUAGCAGAACCAACUUUGGUCCCACUAGAAGAGGAACCAUCUUGGGACUUCCUAUUUUGGUGGCUCUUAGAAGGAGCCUUCCUCUUCUUACACUUUCCUUGCCCAAUUGCUAAUAUAGGGACCGAUUCAGUAGGAAUAGAUGCAAUAGAUUUAUCCUUUAGGUUGCUCUCAGCAGUUCUCAACAACCCUUGAAGCUUGCUCAAAGUGACCUCCUCUUUGUUCAUGUGGUAUGUCAUUCUGAAGUAUUUGUAGCACGAAGUCAAGGAGUGGAGGAUGAUGUUGAUAGCCAAAUCCUCAUCAAAGUUAACAAUUAACUUUAGAAGAUGAUCAACAUACCUCUGCAUCUUCUGCAAAUGCGAGGUUAGGGAUUCUCCACUCCCCAUCCUAGCGGUCAUCAUGUUAGUGAUGAUCUCAUAGCGCUCUUGCCUCAUGCUUUGGUGGUACCUAUCCAUUAAAUCUUGAUGUAUCUCGAAUGGAUACAUGUCCUCGUAGGACUUUUAGAGUUUUGCAUUCAUAGUCGCGAGCAUGAUGCAAUGAACCUUCGUAGUAUCACGCUCAUGUGCCUCAAAGGCAACAAUUUCUUCAGGAGUGGCAAUGUCUGGAUUGAUCUUUUCAAGCUUCUCGUCGAGGACAUACUCCUUGUCCUCGUAGCGAGUGAUCAUCCGAAUGUUUCGGAUCCACUCGUUGAAGUUGUUGCCAUUAAAGAUCACUUUCCCACACAAAUUCAUGAGUAAGAAUCACCAUUAGCCGCAGGAGCGUUGUUCUUGUUUGCGUUAGACAUCUGAAAAUAGAAAAGGACAAGUUUGAUUAGAAUGAAUCCCCAAUUAAUCACUAAAAUGAGAAAUUAGGGCUAGGAUCCAACAACAUUAUUUACAACUUAGAAAAGAGAUGUCGUAAUCUAAAAGCAAAUAAUCUGAAGGUAAGUGAAUGACGAUUCACUAAUUUUCCACCAUGAAAAACAAAAGAAGAUUAUGUUUUAAAUGUUUUAUGAAAAACUCCUAGAUCUUUGAGNUGGAUUUGAAAUUCCUAGAUUCUUUUGAGAUUCAUUGAACUUUUCAAUGGCAUGUUUCAAUCUCGAUGUGCCCUUCAAUUUUGUGACUAGGAUACCGAGGAUCACAAACAAGGUGUGAAUAACCAUGCGAAUCAACAUGGUGCACUCAAUGUCACUAUCACCUAAUCAAUAUGUCGGUUAGCCACACACAUUCCAUUGAUCUAUGAUAAACAUUGAGCCACCCUUCGCAACUAAUGUCAACCCCAAAUUAGUGUGUCGGUUAACCACACAUGCUGAACUAACGUUUGAUAAGGGUACGAAGCGUAAUUCCAUGGAAUAACGUCAUUUUCACAUUUUACCCUAAAGUAACUAAGAUUGGGAAUUUGAAAAACGUUUAGUUACUUGUAAUAUUCAUUAUACUUAUAAUGAGGAAUUAAAUGCCCUAUCAUAUCCGUUCGGCUAACGACCCUCCACCAAUCAAGGAAGCGGUGGCUGAGAGUGGACACCCAUUAAGCACCAUUUUAUAGGUAGCAACCUUAUACCCCCCUUAUAGACCGGCUUCAUGAAUGAGGCCUACUAGCGAUAAAAGUAGCUUAUUCUUAUACAUAUAUAUAUAUAUAUAUAUAUAUAUAUAUAUAUAUAUAUAUAUGUGUGUGUGUGUGUGUGUGUAUUAAUCUUAUAAUAAAUAAAGUAUAAGGUUUGAAUUUUAAACUUGUAAAAUUCUAAGGGUUUGAAAUUUAAAUAAUUCAAAAUUAAACUUUUAAUCAAAAAUUUAAAUUCCAAAACUUGAGGACAAGUUUUGAACUUUUCAAAACACAAAGGAUCAAAUAACAAAUAAUAUAAAUUAAACAAUUAAUUUUGUGAUUAUCUAUAUAUGACCUCAUCCAAUGUUAUUCAUAAGAUAAUUACCAAAUAAUUUAAACAAUCAACAUUUAUCAUAUAAAGAAACUAUUAUUCAAAUGAUUUAAAAUUAUCUUUUGUUUUGGUAAGGAUAAUCAUUUAAACACAAUAAAAUUCGGAUUUUAUCAUUAAAAAACAACUUUGGCAUUUAUCCAUCAGCAAAACAGCAAUAAAUCCCGAAAAUCUUUCUGUCUGACAGCUAAACUCCUCGAGUCCACCUUGGAACUCGUCGAGUUCAACCUGCUCGUCGAGUUUAUCAGGCAGUUUGCAAUAAAAAAACGAUUUUAAAGCUUGAACAAAUAAACUAGGCAUCAAUACAAUAGAAACCAAACCAGUCUCUGAUAACACUAAUGGGUUUUACACACAAGAACUUUCCUAUGUGCUCAUGCAAACCCUAAUGCUUGGAUCUAGGUUUCUCUAUUGUACAUGCAUUGUAUCCAAGACUUACAAACCCUAAUGUAGAAUACAUAUUUCGAAAAUAUCAAUAUAUACCAGAUCUAGAUGUUUACCUCUUCAAAAAUCUUGGAUCUUCUUCUUCUUGGAGCUUAGAGUCACAAGUGUAACUCCUCUAAUGGCUUACAAACACCACACAAGCAAGAAGUCAAUAUGAGAGAGGGAAGAGACGCUAAAAAUCGGCCCUAGGGUUUCCUUGGAAUCAAGUGGCCGAAAACUGCAUGUAGGGGUCUCUAUUUCAACUGUAGGUUUCUAGGGUUUUAGUCAAAAACCCUAAUGGACAGCUUAAUCACCAAGCAGCCCAUGGAAUCUUCUGGAAUAAGGCCUAUGGAUGAAAUUAUGAUUUUCAUCAUAAUUUCGUUCACCCUUUAAUCCAUUAGGUUUCCCAACCCAAAAACCAACUAUCACGCAUUUGACAGUUUAAGCCCCUAUAUUUAAUUAAUCUCUUUUGGCCACCAAAUUAAUUUAUGACUAAUAUUAAUUAAAUAAUAUGAUUUCCCUUUUAAUAUAUUAAUCACAUAAUAUAUUAAUAAAUCAUAAUUUCCUCUCUCUCCAUAAAUUACCUUGUCAAGUUGUUUUGGUGAAGGCAACCCAAAAGGACCAUGCACAACCGGUUCAAGUUCAUACCAAAUAUAGUUUCGGGCUUAGACACUAAUCCAACAAGUUAUCGAUUCAGUUGAUGAUGCAGAGGUAUGUUAGAAAUAGCAACAUACUUUGAUUUCUUCCUAUUACAUCAUUGUCCUUUAAAGUACAUUGCAUGUAUAAGAAACAUUGAAACUAUUUCUUACAUUCAGCCCAAUACAAUUUUUGUUUUUGUGUCAGGUGAAAGUGGGAGGAGAGGUGCAAAAUAAAGGGUAGGCAAUAGAAAGAAAUGAAAGUGGUGUUGUGUGAUGUUGUAAUAGAAAGAAAUGAAAAUGAGAUGCCAUAAUAAUCAAAUAAAUGAAAUUAUAUUGCUAUUUCUUACAUUUAGCCCAAUAACAUUAUACAUUUGGCUCAACCCUUCCUAACUAUACAAUUGAAACAACAAGAUUCUAAUAGAAAGAAAUCGAAGUAUAACGCUAUAAUAACAUAUAAAUGAAAGUACAUUGAUAUUGAUCGCAUUAAUCUUAACAACAUUAUAUAUGGUGGACAUUUGAAAGUGUUGACAAAGACAAUAACACAUUGUUUGAAGAAGUGAGGAUCAUGGUUUUAAAAUAAACAAGGUGGAGCAGUUGGAAAAAAAAAUCCUACACUCAAUGUGAAAAGCACUCCUUAAUGCCAUGAGAGGUUAAACUUUCUGCACAUAUAAUAUCUAUAUUACUUUGUAUCUGUCUGCAUUAGCCCAUUAUAAAUGUCAUAUAAUUUUUGUAUUAUUUUUUUGUUUGCAUUUUUUAGAAAUUUUGUAGCCUUUAUUAUAUUUUGAUUGGACAAUCGGGAACACCUAAGAGAUGUAUAUUUUUAGUGGCUUUUUUCUUAUACUAAAUGACAAAUGAAGGAAAGAUAGUAAUAAGAUAAUUCAAUUUGAAGGAGGGUUGGUAGUAAAGGAGUAAACAUUUGGUUCUGAUUGCAUAUUUUAGGGUAUAUUGCAAAAAUUAGCUAUAAUCAGGGAAUAAAAUGUUAAAAUAACCUCAAAUAAGGACCAAAAUUGUAAGAUGGAAAAAUAAGCUCUAAUCAUUGGUCUCUAUUCAAACUAAAGGAGUAACACAGGCCCUAUUCAAAGUAAAAUAUGUAUAGUUUUAAGACAAAAAUUGGAAAAAUCAGCUAUGAUCGGGGAUUAAAAUAGUCAUUUCACUUGGAAUAAUGACACAACAUGUUACAAUAACGGCCGAUACGUAUAGUUUUAGGGUACGCACUUUUGCGUAUCAUAAAUCACUGCGUGUCAUAGUUUGCGCGUCAUUAAAGGCCUAUAUUCUAAAAGUGAACCUCAAAUAAGGACCAAGAAUGCAAUGAUAAAAGCUUUCUGGGACCAAAAUUGAAAAAAUAUAUACUCAUGGAUCAAAAUAUAAUUAAAUCAUAAUCUUAUGUUUCUUUUCUUUAGCAGGGUGUUAAGAUAGAUGAUCCACAAGUGUUUAAUGGCCAAGAGGUGGAGGUUUGGUCGCGUGUUGUGUGGAAGCCAAAAUGGGUAGUUACAUUUCUGAUGUUAAAAGGAAAUCGAUGGAAACAACAACUAUGUUUUUCAAAAAUCUACUUUGGUCAUUAGAGGUCGUAUUGUUCUUAUUGAAGAUGUGUCACUUGAUGGAACUUAGUUAUCAGUUCACUUGAUGAUUUUGAGUUAUGUUAGAAAUAGCAAUGUACUUUCAUUUACCCCAACCUAACCUAUUUAAUGAGCAGGUUGAACCUGAGUUGAUUUAUUUAAAUUUCCAAAAAUAUACCCUUGAAAAUCAACUAAGCCUUCAAACACAAUUACAUAAAACUUAAAAACUCCGAUAAUUGUUCACGUUUGAAAAUAAUACAACGAUAAGUCUCUAGUAGAAACACAAAUCAAGUGUUUACAACCAUAAAAACAUUAUACACGUUUAAUCUUUAAAUGCUAGACAGCUCAACUUUCAAUAACGAUCACCAAUCCACAUUUUUUGAGUAAUAAAAAUAACAAAACUAUAAUAAUCAAUUAAAUAAUAAUACUAUAUAUAUAUAUAUAUAUAUAUAUAUAUAUAUAUAUAUAUAUAUAAGAUAAUAUAAAAAAAAUAUAAGNNNNNNNNNNNNNNNNNNNNNNNNAUAUAUAAGAUAAUAUUAAAAAAAUUUAAGCAGGUUCACUGGUUGUAAGCAGAUUGAGAAUUUUAACCCUAACAUAACCCAUUUAAUUAAAUAUAUUAGACGGGUUAAGCCGUUUAGUUAAACGUGUUAAAGAUCUCAACCAAACCAACUAAUUACCAACCCUAAAUAAAGGGUGGAUGAUUGAAAGUGUUGAUAAAAACAAAAGUGUGUUACCUAAAGAAAUGAAGAUUGGGGAUUUCAAAAUUAAUAUAAAUGGAGCAAUUGGAAACAUCUUAUAGUGAACCUAGGAAGCAUUCCUUGAAGGCAUGAGGUUAAACUUUUUGUAUAUUUGAUUCUAACCGACAAAAAUGCAAAAAUGGUCCCUAUGGUUUGUCAUUUUUUGUGGAUAUGGUCCAAACCUUUUAAAAAUUGGAUUUCUGGUCCUUAUUGAAAGGUUUGUUUGUGGAACAAGUCCCUGGGGUUAACAGCCGUUUGUUUGUGGCUGUUAAACCCCUCACGUGCAUUGCACACGAGGGCAUAAAUGUCAUUUUACUUGAGGGACCAUUUUUACAAUUCCUGAAAUAAUAUAUAAAGACUUCCCCAACGUUCUUCCCCAACGUUCAAGUUAUUCCCCAAACGUUGUUCUGCAACUUUCAAGUUGUUCUUCCUUCUCUCAUCUCAUGGACACCGAAGAACCCAGGCAGAUGUUUCUAUGCUUGCCCUCAAAAGGUAAAGAAAUUCGUUUGCACCCAUUUUGAUAUGUAAUCAAAUAACAUUUGUUAUUUUCCCCUUUUUGAAGGAUUCUGCUUGUCGCUUCAUCGGAUGGGUUGAUCCCCCUAUGUGUGAAAGGUCUAAAGUCAUUAUUCCUGGACUAUUGAGAAAUAUUAACCGAAUGCAAGCUUGGUGCACAGCUCUAAAGAUCAUGUUGCUGGCUAGAUGGGUGUUUUUUGUGAUUUUGUUCAUAAGGUCUGUUUAGGUUUAGGUAAUAGGUCAAUGGGGUGGGUUUUUAUUUGUUGAAGAUCGAUAAAAGUGUGGUUUUUUGGUGAAUUAAUGGUUUUUGGUACUUUGACCUAGGUUCUUUGUAGUUGUUUGUAAGGUCAAAGUAAGUUGUGUAUGUAGUAAAUGACUUCCUGGUAUAAAUAUGAAUUUUAUGGAAUUGCUUAUGUUGUUUGUAAGGUUCUUUGUAGUUUUUGUAAGGUGAAAGAAAGGUUAAUGUGAAUAAUUGACUAUAAUGGUUAUAAUAAACAACAAUAACAAAAAACCAUAAUAACCAAGGCUGCAAUUACAUAAUAGACUACAAGCAUAUAGUGCAAUUACAUUAUCCCAAAAUAUGCAACCAUAUAUAUAUGUUCUAAUACUUAUCAUACUAAUGAAAACCAAAAUAACCAUAAGUCAUAAGUUUUUUAACAUCAAAACACUUCCAAAAGUAGCAAAUAACAUCUGCCAAAACAAACACAACCUUGAUCUUCAACUUCCACGUAACUUCCACCUCCUUGACCUUUGCAUGUCCUUGAUUUGUGACCUUUGUUUUUGCAUUUUGCACAUGUUACACUGACAUAUUUCCUUGUUAAUUUCUGAACUCCAUCAGGACCCACUUUACAGCCUUCUUCCUGACAUACACCAUGAGUACCAGUCUGACUUUGACUCCCUCUUUGACUCUGACUCAAUUUUUCAUCCUCACUUUUCUUCCUCUUCUUUGUAGGCCUACCUGGUUGCUUAUGAUGUAUUGGAGGGAUAAGUGUGGUGGGACACAAACUUUUAGGCCACAUUAUUCUUCCUUUUAUGGGCUCUACCUUAUAGGAAUAUGCAUUCUUCCAUGUAUCCAACCAGUAUACCUUAUUGACCCACCUGUAAAUGUCACCAACAUCCUCUGAGUUCUUGGUCAUUUCAUAAAGGGUUGCAAUGGCAUGUUUACAUGGGAUGCCUAUUAGCUCCCACUUUCUGCAAGUACAUGUGUUGUUCCUAACAUCUACAACAUGUUGGUCUUGCCAUGCCCCAGUGACUUGGUAUUUCUCACCCCCAUUCCACCUAGCAAUGUAAUGUGAUGCAUGAGACUUGUUUACAUCCAAUAUGGUUGUUGCAGUGGGUGUUAAAGGCCCUUUUGCCUUAUCCAUCACGUUCAUAACAUUACAGAUUCUCUUCAUCAGGUAUUGUCUAGUAUACUCCAAACAACCUAUGAUUGGCUUAUCUCUUCCCUCUAUUAUCUUGCUGUUAAAUACCUCACAAAGGUUGUUUAACAGUAUAUCAGAGAUUGCUCUGCCUGUUAAAAAAAUUAACAUAUUGUUUUAAGUACAAGUACACAUUUAACAUAUAGUAAUUUAUGGUAAUUUAUGUACCUGUAAAAUGGCUUCUUGCCCAGUGUUUUGGAGGAAUCUUUCUAAGCCAUUCACAUGCCUCCUUGUCAUAGUUGCUAAAUUCUUUCAUGCAAUGUUCAAAUUCAGGUACAGUGGUUGCAGUUGCACAUCUCCAUAAAUGAUCCUUGUACUCUUUCAAUUUCCAUUUCACUCUCAUGUUCUGAUGUAUGUGCCUGAGACAAUACCUGUGCUCAGCACAUGGGAAUAGUUGGGCUAUUGCUGGUAUUAAACCCUAUAACAAUAACAAUAAUUAAGUAUUUAGUUUAUAUAAUAAUAAGUAAUUAAUAAUACAAGUUAGAAAGAGAUACCUUUUGUCGAUCUGUGAUAAAAGUAAAGUUAGAGUUUGAACCAAGAUCCAAGUCUUCUCCUAAACACUGCAAGAACCAUACCCAACUACUUUUGUUCUCUGUCUCAACAAUGGCAUAAGCAAGGGGGUAAAUACCAUUGUUAGAGUCCAACCCAACUGCUGUUAGAACCUGUCCAGGAAAUGGUCCUUUCAUAUGUGCACCAUCGAAACCCAAAAGAUCCCUGAGGCCAGCCUUAAAACCUUUUUUCAGGGGACCUAAGCAAAUGUAGAUUCUUUUAAACCUCCUCGUUGGGUUUGAUGGGUUUUGUUCACUGUAAACAUCAAUCUUGACAGUUGUGUCAACAUUGGUUGCUUGCAAUUCAAGGACAUAGUCCCUCAAGAUCUCAUAUUGUUUUGUAUAGUCACCCUCCACGAUCUUAGUUGCAAUAUCCUUGGCCCUGAAUACUUUGUCAAUAGAAACACCAACCUCGAAGUCCUUUUGAAGUUGUUCCUGCAAUGCUCGAAGAGGAAUCCUUGGAUUCGUGUCGAUUUGGUCCAUGAUUCUCUUGGAUAUAAAAGUAGCAGUGUAAGCUCUAAUCUUCCUACUUUGAAGGCAAGUAUGGUUGUCAUUUAAUGUCCUUACAAACCAGGGAGAUUCUGUGUUUGACCUAGAAGCAUGAAGGAACCAACUACAGUUUACUUUUUCUGAAUUUACCUCUUUGCCCUUGCUUUUAUUUUUGGUAUUAAGGCCCACCACCCCACUUGCAUUGAUGACAGGGACUACACCUCUACACAAUGCCCGAAGUCUAAGCUUGUCAUUCUUUUUAUAAUAUAAAUUCCUCCUAGUUUCUAGUGCGUGCAUGUCAAUUUUUUCUUUCAAUUCUUUCUUUGAUUUAAACUUUUGCCCAACAUAAAAACUGGCCUUAUGGAUAUUGCCAAGACUGCAUCUUUUCUCCUUAGCCAGAUUUUUAAGAACACAUCUUCUUUUCCUUUCAUCUUCUGACCCUUCAUCUAAAGAAUCCCAUCUAUCAUUGUCAAUGACUUCUAUGUCCUCAUGUUCAUCAUUUGUCCCAACCCCGUUAUGAAACCCAUCCAUUUGAACACAACCAUAAUCCUUAUCAAGAUUGAGGUUAAAGUCAGUCAUAUCCACCUCCACUUCUGAUACAUUGUUUUCAUCAUCAACAAGUUCAUCAUAUUGUUCUUCUGAUUGUUGCCCAAGAUCAUCACUGUCAGCAGACUUUUCAUGUUCAGACUGAUGGUCUUCAACAUUCUCAUCUUCUGGUGGUUGAUAAUGUUCUCCAUCAAAAGGAUCAAAGUGAUCAUGAGAAAAGUUCUCAUAAUGAAAGUCAUCAUAAUCAAAGUUAUCAUGGUCACCACCUUGAUCUUGUACCACAUCAUCCAUGUUAGCAUGCUCAACCUCUUGAUCUUGAACCACAUCAUCCAUGUUAGCAUGCUCACCAGCUUGAUCUUGUACCAUAUCAUCUAAUUUAGGAUUCUCACUACCUUGAUCUUGUACAACAUCAUCCAAUUUAGCAUGAUCACCACCUUGAUCUUCUACUACAUCAUCCAAUUCAACUAAACAAAGUUUUUUGGCACAAGAACUUUGACCAACUAUUGAGUUCACCCUUACAUUUCUUCUAUACUGUGGUGAAACUUCUGUAGGGACUUUGUCAUAGAGUAUCAAGGACAUAUACCCUGCCAACUGUGUUUGAUCAUCAGCUUCAUCUAUCAUUGGGGUUUUAUGCUUUGCUGGUAUUUGAGGUACAUUUGCUUCUUUUGGAAGAUCACCAUCACAGAGCUCCUUAAUAAUAACUUUUUGCUUUCCUUUUGGAGACAUAAAAUAGGUCAGCAAAUUAGUUUGUCCAUGUUCUGUAUACACUUCAAUGACCUUGUUAUCUCCAAUAUACUGAGCCAAAUUCAAGACAUCAUCAUCAUUCCCUAAAGCUCUGAGGCCAAAAUCCAAGUCUUCAUGAGGAAUCCUAAAAUGGUAAUAUAUUACUGGGGGUACAGAGUAACCUAGCUCAACCAUCAUUGCGUCUAGUUCAUGAACUGAGAACUCAUCAAUGUCUACUAAAUCAAUAUAUCUCACUUCACCUUUAACAUAUUUCGUGUUUGGAAGCUUCGUAAAAUUUCCACCAUGGUGUAGCUUUAUGCUGAACAUUGUUGGUACACGCUCUACAAGAUACAAAAAACAUUAAGUAACAAAUUAUCAGAUGUUUGCAUUUUUGGCUUAAUUCUUCAGAUCAUCAAGAAACCUAACAAAAUUUCGUAAACAGAGGAUAACUGAAACUAACCAUAUUCAUUUGUGAUGUCAUACGUCUCGCCUUUUGGCCUAAUCGCCCACAUUACGAACACCAUUUACAGUUGAAAAGCAANUUCAGUUGCUCAUUUAUUUCAGAAUCAUUGAUGCAGAAAACCGAUACUAAUUACGUUUUCCAUUGCGAAAUAUAAUGGAAGUGCCAAAGUAUGAUAUCUAAUGGAUUUACCAUUACACCAUUACUAAACAGGUUGUUCGUUUCAAACAAAAUUGAUUUGUAUCAAACUAACUUUUUUUCCAUAAUGGUCCGGUUCGGUUUCCAAUUUUUUUAGUGUACCUUUAAUUUUCAUUGUGUUUUUUAAUGCUACGAAUGUAUGAUUUUUUUAGGAUAUAUUAUUUCAUACAAAACAGGGGAAAUGGCCACCCAUGGUGCUGGUGGCAAAUAUAUUGAUAUGGGGGAUUUAAAAACUCCAACCAAAUUACAUUACAUUACAUACUGGAAAAUAAGAAAUCAAAAAUAAAAACUAGAUGACAAACUAUGUGUGUCUAGCCUUUUGCAAACUUGAAAUGAACACAACCACUUUCACAUAAACCCAAUCUUUGAAGCUGUCAUAAAAUUGAAAAAAUGCACGUCUCCCUCNUUUACAGUUGAAAAGCAAAAACAAGUAAACACCUUGGACCAAAUCUUGAUUAGGGUUUUUGCGUUAAAAACGAAUGACGAAGAAGAUGGAAGUGGAAGAGAUAACUAAAUAUUUUGUGAUUUUGUGUGUAAUAUGGUGCUAAGACGGUAACAAGCGGGUUUAUUUCAGGAAUUGUAAAAAUGGUCCCUCAAGUAAAAUGACAUUUAUGCCCUCGUAUGCAAUGCACGUGAGGGGUUUAACAGCCACAAACAAACGGCUGUUAACCCCAGGGACUUGUUCCACAAACAAACCUUUCAAUAAGGACCAGAAAUCCAAUUUUUAAAAGGUUUGGACCAUAUCCACGAAAAAUGACAAACCACAGGGACCAUUUUUGCAUUUUUGUCAUUCUAACCAUAUGGUGCUAAUAUGACGUUCAUGUGGACUUGCUCUUUUAUUUAAUUCUUAUUUUAUUAAAUGUUAAAUUUAUUUUAAUCUAAAAGAAUAAUUAAUAUGUAUAUUUUUAUUUAUUGAAAACCUUAGAGUGAUAUUAUGGGCAAAAAGUGCAAGCUCAAACGGUACCUAUUACAUUUUAUUCUCAACCUUUUCUUUCUAAAACAACUUGUUCAUCUAUAGUCAUCUUGGGGUCAUGUGUUGCAGAUACAAUAGAGGCCAUUUGUUGCAGAUACAAUAGAGAACUCAAUAAUAGAAAUGAUAAACUAGAGUAAAUUAAGCUUUCAAUUUCCAUUUAUAACUUUUCUUAUUGGGGUGNCUAAACAGGUUGUUCGUUUCAAACAAAAUUGAUUUGUAUCAAACUAUUUUUUUUCCACAAUGGUCCGGUUCGGUUUCCAAUUUUUUUAGUGUGCCUCUAAUUUUCAUUGUGUUUUUUUAUGCUAGAAUGUAUGAUUUUUUUAGGAUAUAUUAUUUCAUACAAAACAGGGAAAAUGGCCACCCAUGGUGUUGGUGGCAAAUAUAUUGAUAUGGGGGAUUUAAAAACUCCAACCAAAUUACAUUACAUUACAUACUGGAAAAUAAGAAAUCAAAAAUAAAAACUAGAUGACAAACUACGUGUGUCUAGCCUUUUGCAAACUUGAAACGAACACAACCACUUUCACAUAAACCCAAUCUUUGAAGCUGUCAUAAAAUUGAAAAAAUGCACGUCUCCCUCGACGGUUGAGAAGUAAAGCGCCACAUGCUAUCCAAAAUCCAGUAGCAAAACCAAUGCCCACACCAGUAUAAAACCAUCCCCAGAGUUCAUCAUUUGUGUCUUCCCCAUCACCCUCACCUUUACCAAUAAGAGGUGGUACUUUUGAUUCUUCAUCUAGAGGACAACUUUUGGUAAGAGGAGGUCCACAUAGACAUGCAUUUCCAUUGUAUCUUGAUGGUUGAAAGGAUUGGAGUUGAGUGCUGGUUGGGAUUCUUCCAGACAAGUUAUUAAAUGACAAAUCUAGGUCAUUCAAUAAACUCAUCUGAGACAUGCUUGAUGGUAUCCUCCCUGAUAAAUUGUUUCUGGAUAAAUCCACCGUUAGAAGCUUUUUCAUCUCACCAAUAUGCUGUGGAAUCUCUCCAGAUAGAGCAUUCAUUGAAAAAUUCAGGGCAAUCAAAUCUGAAAGAUUGGUAAUUUGAUAUGGGAUUUGUCCUGUUAAGUUGUUGCUUGACAGGUCAAUGCUCUUCACCAAUUUCAGAGUACUUAAGAAUUCAUGUUCACCUCCUUGCCACUGAAUCAUUGCAUGGUCAACAUAUAUCCCUGAUGCAUAUACAAUAUUGUUUAUACUUGUUUGAAAGUAUACAUCUUGUAAGACUCCUCCUUGGUGAACCAUGCUCGUAAGAUUACUCAAACAUGAGGGGAUGGUUCCAUGAAGAUUUCUCAUCGACAGGUCUACAAUUUGAAGAUUACCUAACUGACAUAACUGUAAAGGGAUGGUUCCAAUGAAGUUGUUUGAUUUUGAUAACAACANNNNNNNNNNNNNNNNNNNNNNNNNNNNNNNNNNNNNNNNNNAAACUUGUUGGCCCCCAAAUUCAACGAGAUUAAACCCGUGCAAUUUUUUAAGGACAAAGGCAAUUCUCCAGAGAAGUUGUUCUUGUAUAAAUACAACACCUGGAGUUGUAUCAAAGAUCCAACAGAGGGAGGAAUCCGUCCAAAGAGAUUGUUGUGUCCAAGAUUAAGAACUUGUAGUCCUUUGAAACGCCACAAACAGUCCGGGAGUUGUCCGAUUAAUGAGUUAUGAGAGAGGUCAAGAAAUGAUAAGAACCCAUCAACAAUUUGGCAUACAAAUGAGAUUCCCCCAGAAAAUUUGUUUCUGGAAAUAUUUAAUGAGAACAAGGUGGAAGGAACAUUCGGUAUUGGACCAUAAAAGUUGUUGGAACUCAAAUCUAUCUCUGAAUAUUUGGCAAAAUUUGAUGAUAAAUCUGGUACUUUCCCGCUAAUGUUGUUGGAAGAGAGAUUCAGAUAUUCUAAUUGAGAAGGCCACAUGUCCCAAAACUCCAGAGGAAUUGUGUCUGAAAUUCCAGUAUUGGAAAGAUCAAGACGGGUAAGAUUUUUGAGGUCUGAAUCCAUUUGGGGAAGCGAGGCCCUACCUUGCAAGAGCUCAGAUCAAGAUACUGAAAAUAAGAGAUGUUUGACAAGUGAUCUGGGGAAGGAACUGUAAGAUUAUUAGAAGAAAGGUAAAGAGUUCGGAGCCUGGGUAGUUCCCACAGUUUCUCACUUAUACUUCCAUUUAAGUGAUUAUGAGACAGGUCCAAAAGCUUUAGGGAUGAAAACUUUUGGAUCUCAUCGGACAAUGAUCCUAUAAAUUGGCUAUGAGAAGCAUCCAACCAUUGUAAUGAAAGGGAUGUGCAUCCAGACAAGUUGUUGAGAAAAUCAGGAAAUUUGACAGCAGCAGAGUUGUUGUAGAAGGAUAAAAUUUCCAGACUACAGAGGUUACCAAGAUAUUUGGGUAUCCCAUCUAACAUAUUGUCAUAGAGAUAAAGUCCAUUAAGCUUAUCGCUGGUUAAUGGGAGCAACCAACGAUACAUGGAUGAUGUGAGAUUGUUGUCACUGAGAUAAAGGGUAUGAAUAGAUGAAGAAGAAGAAGAGUUGAGAAAAGAAGAAUAUGGAUACAUGACCUGUGACAGCUCACAUCUCCCUAAACUUAAACUCAACAGUUCUGGGAGACUCGAAAUUACACCUACCCAAUUAUUUGCAUUCGCAAGGGAAAUCCCAUCCAUUCUCAGAUCCUCCAAAUGAGAGAGAUGAGACAACCACUCUACCUUUUCAACUCUACACCUUCCAGCAGAAUCAAGAUGAAGGUAUUGCAAGUUGGUGAGGUUUCCAAACUGUGAAGGAAUGGUUCCAUAAAGAGAGUUACUGGAAAGGGAAAGGUACCUUAACUGGGUCAAGUAACCAAUGGACCUGGGAAUAGCUCCAUGAAAAGAAUUGUAAGAAAGGGAAAGGUACCUUAAUCGAGUCAAAGAACCAAUGAAAGUGGGAAUGGUUCCAUUGAAAAAAUUGAAGGAAAGAUCAAGAUGAUUCAAGUAGGUUAAGUUAAGCAAGGAAUGGCUAAUCUCACCUCCAAGACCAUCCUGUGAAAAGAAGUUGUUGAGUUCAAGCUUUGUGACAUGACCAGUUUGGUUGCUGCACUCAACUCCACUCCAUUUACAGCAGUCAUGUUGGUCAGAUCUCCAUGUAGAGAGAGUAUCAUAAGUGUCGUGAAGGGGAGCUUUGAAGAGAAGGAGCGCAAGUCUCUCAUUAUCCAAACACUUUUUCAUAUUAACACCAUUUCUAUCAUCUCCUCCUUCUCCCACUGCUACCAAUUGGCUGGUAGUUGCAGUCACAAGGAGUACCAAGAAAAGUGAGAAAACUAUAGAAGCACAAAGAUUCAUAAUUUAAUUAAAAAUGAAAAUCUUGGUGAUUUUUGGUUUGUAAUGAUGCCUGCCUAUAUGAACUGCACCCGUGAGUGUUUAUAUAGUCUCAACUGUGAGCAUAACUGAUUCUAAACGGGUGGCCUUGAAUUAAUUGUGUCGGGGAUACAAUAUUUAAUUCCCAUGAAAUUAGAACCAAACUAUAAGAAAAAAUCAAAGAUGAAGAUUUGAAAUAAAUGUCUCAAAUUAGUCGUUCAAAGACUUGCAAGUCUUGACUAUUUGCAUAUAUUAUCUAUAUCUUAUCCGAUCUUUGUGAUAUUUUCAAAGACUUUUAAGUGAUGUUGACCAUAACCUGUAUUAAAUACAAACAUAUAAGAAUGUAAACGCAAACAUUGAACUGACCCCCAAUUUAAUAACAACUAUUUCAUAAAUCUAGUAUUCUCAUUCCAUUGUUAAACAAUUUCUGUUUAUGCUAUCCUAAGAGUAUUUUUAUGAAAUCAAUUAGAAAAGUUUUAGCAGAAACAUAUAUCUAAUUUAUCAUAUCAAUUAAUUCAAAAUUUUCGAACAGAAACAUAAACCCACUAUUCAACAGAAACGANAAAAAAAAAAAAAAAAAAAAAAAAACGUUAUAAAAAAAAAAAAAAAAAAAAAAAAAAAAAAAUAGAGAACAGGGAUGAAGAGAGAAAUGCGUUGAGUUUAGUGAUGGCCAAUUAUUUACCAGACGGAAAACCAAGAAGAUGACAACGGUAGCAAAAAAAACAUAUUUAAAAGAAUAAUAAAGAUUGUAUACAAGUUACAUUUUGUUGGAAGUCAUUUAUACAUAAACAUAUUUUUAUAAAGAAAAGAAUAAUUUAGCAAAAAAAAUACAAUAUUUUAGUUCGAUUUAUUAAACCGUUUAUUAAUAAAUUUUGUUUCUAUAAUAAAAAUAAUGUGUAGUUCGGUUAGUCAAAAAAAGUUAAAUACCUUGCUCAUUAACAACAAUAUUAUACUUAACUUGGCUCAAAUUUAAAAGUGAGUUUUGGAUGUAUUCAAGGGCACUUUAUUUUGUUUUUCUCUCGGGCCCCAAAUAUGUAUGUACCGACUUUGGUCAAAACAUAAAUCAUAAAGCUUAUAAAAUACUUUUUUCUUACAAUACAUUUUGGUAUGUGCAUAUUUAAUCAUGUAUUUUGUGCAUAUUUAUAAUACUUUUAGUUACAAUUAUGCUUAUUUUGGGACACAAGGUACUUAUUAUGUUUAAAAUAUGUUUUGUAGUAGCAAAUACAUGUUCGGUAUGAAAAGAUAGAAACCGAGAAGUUGGAAGUAAGAAAAAUUGGGCAAAGUUAAAAAGAAGACAAAUAAUUCAUGAAGUCUGAAGCCCACGACAUGGUCACUCUAUUCCACGUCGUGGUAAAUGGAAGAUUCACGAUCAAUGAUCUAACUUGGAAAAUACGGGAUUUAACAGAAGACCACAACCUGGUGCCUAUUCACCAUGCUAUAGAGAUCAAGUUUAUGGAAACUAUAUAUAUUCGAACAUUAGAUCGAAUGUAGAGACUUUUGCCCAAUUUUCUGAGAGGGAUUACGACUAAAACCCUCUGGAAAACCUUGGGAAAACUAGGAAUCAAUUGGAGCUCAAGAGUUGAAGAGAUCUAGACGAAAUCAACAUAGAUCUAUUAAGUUUGCUAGCAUUACUCAUGUCUAGUCUUAAUUACAUUGAUUUAGUCUGCUUUUCUAUUGUGAUGAGAGGAUAAAAACCUUAUACUUCUAUUUGGUAAAGAUGAACCCAAAUCUUAUGUGUUGAUUUCAAUUUACGGAUGUUUUACAUUGAUUUUACUUAUGUUUGAUAAUCAAAACCCUAGCAUGUUUUAGUUCUAGUAUUUGAAUGCCUUGCUUUGACUUUAGUGUAGUAGAUGAUCAUUCUAGUGAUUUAUGAUCACUAAAUUGCUAGAGCUAGGAUUAAUCACAUCUUAGAUUAGGUAAUUAAAGCUAGUAACUUUAAAUUUGUUAGAGGGCAUAAUAAAUCUUAAAUUGUGCUUGCUUGCUUAACUUGAUCAUAGCAAAGUAACUAUUAGAUUUAUCAUUCAUAGUCCAAUUUGUGCUUAUAUCAAUUUUUUGUUUAACCUAUGCUUGAUCAUUGCAUAGUAAUUCAUAAAUUGGCACAUCUUUGCAUUUGAUCAUAAUAACUAGUAAAUUAAUGAAUUGGUAUGUCCUGGUAGCAUGUGUUUGCACCAUAAUUCAUUGACAAAGCAUUGCGAAGUCUCAUCAGCUUAUGGUUUUAUAUGCUGAAUCAAUAACUACUUUUAUUAGACGAAUUGGGAGAAGAAUGGUAUGAUACAUGUAAUACACUCUAGUGUUUUGUUGUACCCAUUGACAUAGAGUUUCCAAGCUCUCAUCAACAUUUGUUAUUAAAUGUUGAAUCAUAAAACUUUAAACAAGAAAAUUGGGUAAGAAUGGAUUGAUGUGUGUGAUAGUAUAUGGUAUAUAGACUAACCAUCGGCAUAAAUGUGUCAAGAUCUCAUCAGUGUAUGGUCUUUUAUACUGAAUCAUAAACUUUAAAGAAGAAAAUAGGGCGAGAAUGGAUUGGUGCGUGUGAUAGCCUAACGUACAUAAACUAACCAUCGACAUAAUUUUUUUCAAGCUCUCAAUAGUGUAUGGUAUUUUACGCUGAACUACGAAACUUCAAAGAAGAAAAUCAGGGCAAGAGUGGGUUGAUGUGUAUGAUAAACAACAGUACAUAGUUUAACCUGUUGGAUUAGGUGUCUAAACUCAUAACUAUAAUUGGGAUGUACUUGACCCGAUAGUAGCAUAGUCCUUUUGGGUUGCCUUCACCAUAGCAAUUUGAUAGGAUGAAUUAUGAAGAAAAAGGUUAACUAUGAUUUAUUAUUAUAUUAUAAGAAUAAUAUAUGAAUUGAGAAAUCAUAUUAUUUAAUUAGUAUUUAUCAUAAAUUAAUUUGGAAUUAAUUUAUUGAUCGAAAGAGACUGAUUAAAUUGAUGGGGACUAAUUAUGUAAAUCAAUGAUAGUUGUAAUUUGGGCUAAUGUAUCCUAUUCCCAUCGGAUGGACGAAAAUAUAUGGGAAGCCCAUAGAAUUUCAUCUAAGGCAUGCCAUAUAGGGAUCCAUAUGUUGCUUAGGGCAUAAACAAGGGAAUUAGGGUUUCUAAGUCGUAAACCCUAGGAGCCACAGCUAUAAAAGGAACUCUAUGGCUCACAAAAUUGGACCCUGUGAUUUCAUAAGAAACCUUAACCGAUUUUGAGGCUUCCUUCUCUCUCUCUUGUUCUUCCUUGUUGCUAGUGGUGUUUGUGAUUCCGUUCGAGGUGCAACAUUUGAGGCACUAAGCUCUUAAAGGUCAAGAUCAAAUCAACAACAAGAAAGGUAUUCUUCUAACCCUAAUUUGAAUAUAAUUUCAUUCUUAUAAAUGCUAGAUUAGGGUUCUUGCUUUGGAAUUUUAAUUUGCAUGUAUAACUUGAGAAAAGCCUAGAUUCAAAGCAUUAGGGUUGCAUGUACACCAUAGGAAUGUUGUAGUGCUCAAAACCCAUCAGUGGUAUCAAAGCUUAGGCUGUUUUUCUGUUGUAUGAUGCAAUUGUAAUGUUUUCAAGGCUGAAAAAGUUUCGUUUUUGGCCACUGGCUGCUGGACUUGACGGGUCCCAUGAAGGAACUCGAUGAGUUCAUGCCCUGACUCGACGAGUUGGUUCGUCUGGUGGCAGGAUUUUUGGAGUUUUGGCCUAAAUUAGAUUUGGAUAAUUACCAUAAAUUGUUUUUAUUGGUUAAAUUCAAAUUAUAUAAUUUGGUAAUGGAUAUCCUCAUCUAAUUAAAAGGUAAUUGUCAAAUUUUAAGAUAAUUACAAGAUUAUGUGAUAAAUUAAUUAUUUGUAAAUUUUGAUUUGAGUUUUCUUGCCAAAUAAAUUGGAUUAGAUCAUAUUUGUGAUAAUGAUAAAAUUAUAUGAUUAAUUUAAUUGUUUUAAAUUUGAUCUAGAAGUUUUGAAAAGUUUCAAAAUUUGUCCUCAAGUUUUGGAAUUUAAAAUUUGAUUAAAAGUUUUAGUUGUGAAACAUAAAAUUCUAAAACGCUAGCAUUUUAAAUGGUUAAAAUACUCAUAAUUUAAAUUUACAAUUGAAGGUUUUAAUUUUGGAAAUUUAAAAUGGACACAAGUAGAAUGAAUAAUUAUGGAUUUAUUGAUAAACAAUUAAAAGAUUAAUUAAGAAAGUAAUAAUAAAUCCAUAAUAACAUGGUUUAAACUUUUAAUUGACUUGAAAUUCUAAUUUAUUUAAAAGAUUAAACCACCAAGUAUUUUAAAAGUUUAAAAUACACCCUUGUACUAUUGUAAGAUUAAAAGUUUAAUUUAUAUAUANUAUAUAUAUAUAUAAGUAAAGUCAGUCUUACUGUUAGUAGGCGUCAUUCACGAAAUUGGUCUAUAAGGGGUGUUUAAGGAAGCAGCCUGUAAAAUGACCGCCAUUGGGUAUCCACUCUUACCCACCGCACUCUUGACUAAUGGAGCGUCGUUAGCCGAAUGGUUAGGAUAGGACAUUCUCAUUAAUAAGUAUAAUGAAAUAGAAAGUAACUAAACAUUUUAUAAAUUCUCAAUCUCAGUUACUUUAGGAAAAAUGUGAAUUUAAUGCUAACCCAUGAAAUUACACAUUGCACUUUAUUGGUCGUUAGUGGAGUGUGCGUGGUUAACUGGCACACUAAUAUGAGACUAAUGAAGGAUUGGAAUGGGCAACUCGUAGAUUAUCAUAUAUCAAUGGAGUGUGUGCGGUUAACCUGCACAUUGAUUCGGUGAUAAAUGACUUUGAGAUUACAAUUUAUACCAAAAUGCCAACAAUGUGGCUAAAUAUUGACAUCAUCUUAUGUAUAGAUGAUAGAUAACAAAAGUUAAAUACUAGACAAAUUAACAAUCUUGAAAACCCCAUUUUUAUUUUGAGAGAAGUGUUCUUAUAAGAUUGGACUGUGAUGUUCUAUCACCAAAUGACAUUUUUUUGUAACUCUUGACUUUCAUGGUUUCAACUUUAGAACCGCACCACCCAUCUCCAUCUUUUCAUUUUCUUAUGAUAAUAUGAUCGGACUCCGAGUGUUUGCCUUUUCACACAAGGCUUGAGAACCUAAAAGAUAGUUUGCAACCUUUUAUUCACCACAUUAAUAGCAAGUAGGAUAUCAUACAUGGUAAAAUCUUAAGACUAUCUACAAUAGCACUAACCAAACAUCCCGCUUCACUCUCUAAUUUUGAAUGAUCACAAAAUGUUCGUAAUUCACAGCCUUGGAUAAAGAUUUCACAGUAAAAUCUGGAACGUUAGUAAGUAUGUUUUAGGAGAACUUAGAAAAAUAUGCAAGUUCAAAUGGUAUUUAUAACCUUUUAUUCUCAACCGUUUCUUUCUUGAAAAACUUAUUCAUCUGGAUGACUGUAGUCAUCCAAGUGCCAUGUGCUGCAAAUACAAGAAACAACUUGGUAAUAGAAACUAUAAACUCAGGAGUAAAUUACACUUUCAAUUUCCAUUUUUUUGGGGGGUUAAUGGUAAUUCUCGGUUGCUCAUUCAGUUUUGAAUCACUGAUGCAAAAAGCUGAUUCUAACCAUGUUUUCCAUUACACUUUCAAUUUCCAUUUUUUUGGGGGGUUAAUGGAUUCUCAGUUACCAAACAUUACCAAACAGGCGGUUCGUUUUCAAACCAAAUCGAUUUGUAUCAACAACUGUUUUUUUUUCUAGACUGGUCUGGUUUGGUUUAUGAUUUUCUAGUGCACCUCUAAUUUUCAUCUUGUUUUUACAUGCUACGAAUGUAUGAUUUUUUUAGGAUAUCUUAUUUCAUACAAAACAGGGGAAAUGGCCACCCAUGGUGUUGGUGGCAAAUAUAUUGAUAUGGGGGAUUUAAAAACCCCAACCAAAUUACAUUACAUUACAUAUUAGGAAAUAAGAAAUCAAAAAUAAAAAAUUAAACGACAAACUACGCCUAUCUACUCUUUUGGAAACUUGAAACGAACACAACCACCUUGACAUAAACCCAAUCUUUGAAGCUGUCAUAAAACUGAAAAAAUGCACGUCUCCCUCGACGGUUGAGAAUUAAAGCGCCACAUGCCAUCCAAAAGCCAGUAGCAAAACCCAUGCCCCCACCAAUAUAAAACCAUCUCUCAACUUCAUCAUCUAUGUCUUCCACAUCACCCUCACCUUUACCAAUAAGAGGUGGUACUUCUGGUUCUUCAUCUCCAGGACAAUAUUUAGUAAGGGGAGGUCCGCAUAGUCCUUUGUUUCCAUUGUAUCUUGAAGGUUCAAAGGAUUGGAGUUGAGUGCUGGUUGGGAUUCUCCCUGAAAAGUUAUUGUAAGACACGUCUAUGUAAUUCAGGAAGCUCAUAGUAGACAUGCUUGGUGGUAUCCCUCCCGAAAAACUAUUUCUGGAUAAAUCCAAAAUCUCAAGAUUUUUCAUCUCACCAAUUUUCGGUGGAAUCUCUCCAGAUAACUCGUUCUUUGACA
rnacentral:lncRNA from 1 species